rnacentral:lncRNA from 1 species
UUUUUUUUUUUUUGGUUACAGAACGUAUAUCGUUCAACACCAUGUGCGUAUGUUGUGAGCGUGAAGAUAAUGCGUCCAUGGCGCCGGUCUAUUUCUGGGUCUGACGACAAUCGAUAAAAAUUUUGUGGCUUCAGAAUGGUCAGCAAGGAAGAACUGCGAUCCACUUUAAAUCUCCACAUGAGGCUCUUGAUCUCGAUCCAGCUAGCCAUUUAUCAUAGUAACGUGGACGAGAGAAACUGCCAGGAAACUAACCUGAACAUGCAACAGUCUGCUGAUGAGACCGGACACGAUCGAUAUGCUCCACGGCCGUGUGGACUUUGGAGCUAGAUCACCAAUCGACCACGUCGGCCACCCCCUAUAUAUUUACCGGCUCGUACUACGUACAUGUGGCGUCCGUGUGUCGGUGCGUGCACCUGACUUGACCAACUGCUGGUGCAACGCUCUGAACUUUUCGACGCUUGUAGCUUAGCUUGCUUGACACCACUUUGGCUUAACUGGAAAUGGUUGACCUGUGUGUGAUGAAUUACUUUUAUAUAUAAGGAUAGGUCAAACUCAGUGGUUUGGCACAGUGGGGCAACACGUUAUGUGUCGUUGUCUUUUGGUAUUUCCUUACUUCACGUGAAGUCCUGUUUGCGUAUGUUCUCCUCCUUGCCGACACAGUGACACCACGUGAAACGUGGGAGGAUGAACAGAGGGCCAGGUGGACCGCCACUUAAUCUGGAGACAAGUUUUCCCUUCUUCUUUUUAGCCUGAAUCUAGAUCCAAGUUUUUUUUUAAAUACAAAUCUAGAUCCAAGAUGUUAGAUAAGUGUAAGCCAUUUUGUUCGAGAAAAAGGAGCCACUAAAUGAUGACUCAAUAUUUUCUUUAAAUUAUCUAAAAAAUACAUUUUGUUUACCAUCAACAAGAUGUCUGGACACGUGAAAGUAAGAUACUGUGAUACGUCUCCAAUGUAUAUAUUAUUUUUGAUUGUUCCAUACUAUUAUAUUAUCUGUUUUGGAUGUUUAAUGGGCUUUACUAUGCAUUUUUAUAUUAUUUUUGGGACUAACCAAAGGUCCAGUGCAAAUUGCUGUUUUUUGCCUAUUUCAGUGUUUCACAGAAAACGAAUAUCAAACGAAAUCCAAACGGAAUGAAACCUUCGGAAGAGUUAUUUUUGGAACAAAUGCAAUCCAGGAGACUUGGAGUGGACGUCAAGGAAGCAACGAGGCGGCCAUGAGGUAAGGAGGCGCGCCCCCCACCCUCGUGGGCCCCUCGUGGCUUCACCGACCUACUUCUUUCGUCUAUAUAUACUCAUAUACCCUGAAAACAUCCGAGAGCACCACGAAACCUUAUUUCCACCGCCGCAACCUUCUGUACUCAUGAGAUGUCAUCUUGGGGCCUUUUCCGGCGCUCCGCCGGAGGGGGAAUCGAUCACAGAGGGCUUCUACAUCAACACCAUAGCCUCUCCGAUGAUGUGUGAGUAGUUUACCACAGACCUUCGGGACCAUAGUUAUUAGCUAGAUGGCUUCUUCUCUCUCUUUGGAUCUCAAUACAAAGUUUUCCUCGAUUCUCUUGGAGAUCUAUUCGAUGUAAUUCUUUUUGCAGUGUGUUUGUCGAUGAUGUGAUUGACUUGAGCCAUUCCGGUAGCUUAGCACACGAUCGUUUAGUAUUCUGCUAUUGCUUCCUUCAUGAGUUAUACAUGUUCCUCUGACUAUGAGAUUAUGCAACUCCCGAAUACCGGAGGAACACCAUGUGUGCUAUCAAACGUCGCAACAUAACUGGGUGAUUAUAAAGAUGCUCUACAGGUGUCUCCGAAGGUGUUUAUUGAUUUGGCAUAGAUCAAGAUUAGGAUUUGUCACUCCGUGUAUCGGAGAGGUAUCUCUGGGCCCUCUCGGUAAUGCACAUCACUAUAAAGCCUUGCAAGCAAUGUGACUAAUGAGUUAGUUGCGGGAUGAUGCAUUACGGAACGAGUAAAGAGACUUGCUGGUAACGAGAUUGAACUAGGUAUGAGGAUACCGACGAUCGAAUCUUGGGCAAGUAACAUACCGAUGACAAAGGAACAACGUAUGUUGUUAUGCGGUUUGACCGAUAAAGAUCUUCGUAGAAUAUGUAGGAGCCGAUAUGAGCAUCCAGGUUCUGCUAUUGGUUAUUGACCGGAGAUGUGUCUCGGUCAUGUCUACAUAGUUCUCGAACCCGUAGGGUCCGCACGCUUAACGUUCGAUGACGAUUUGUAUUAUGAGUUAUGUGAUUUGAUGACCGAAGUUUGUUCGGAGUCCCGGAUGAGAUCACAGACAUGACGAGGAGUCUCGAAAUGGUCGAGAGGUAAUAUAUUGGAAGGCUAUAUUCGGACAUCCGAAUAGUUCCGAGUGAUUCGGGUAUUUUUCAGAGAACCGGGGAGUUACGGGAAUUCACCGAGGAAGUAUUGGGCCUUAUUGGGCUUUAGUGGAAAGGAGACAAGGGCCACAAGGGGAGGCAGCGCGCCCCCAUGGGCUGGUCCGAAUUGGACUAGGAGGGGGCGGCGCCCCCCUCUUUCCUUCUCUCUCUCCUCCUCCUUCCCUCUCUCCACCUCUUGGAAAAAGGAAGGGGACUCCAAUUAGGAUUGGGGAUCCUAGUUGGACUCCCCAUAUAGGCGGGCCCCUCCUAGGCCGGCCUCCUCCUCCUCCCUUCUUUAUAUACGGGGGAGGGGGGCACCCCAAAGACACACCAAAGUUUCUCUUAGCCGUGUGCGGUGCCCCUCUCCACAGCUACACACCUCGGUCAUAUCGUCGUAGUGCUUAGGCGAAGCCCUACGCCGGUAACUUCAUCAUCACCGUCACCACGCCGUCGUGCUGACGGAACUCUCCCUCGUCCUCAACUGGAUCAAGAGUUCGAGGGACGUCAUCGAGCUGAACGUGUGCUGAACGCGAAGGUGUCGUACGUUCGGUACUUGGAUCGGUUGGAUCUAGAAGACGUUCGACUACAUCAACCGCGUUACUUAACGCUUCCGCUUUCAGUCUAUGAGGGUACGUGGACACACUCUCCCCGCUCGUUGUUAUGCUUCUCCUAGAUGGAUCUUGCGUGAUCGUAGGAAUUUUUUUGAAAUUACUUCGUUCCCCAACAGUGGCAUCUGAGCCAGGUCUAUGCGUAGAUGUUAUAUGCACAAGUAGAACACAAAGAGUUGUGGGCGAUAAUAGUCAUUGUGCUUACCAGCAACGUCUUACUUUGAUUCGGCGGCAUUGUUGGAUGAAGCGGCCCGGACCGACAUUACAUGAUCGCAUUCAUGAGACUGGUUCUACCGACGUGCUUCACACACAGGUGGCUAGCGGGUGUCUAUUUCUCCAACUUUAGUUGAAUCGAGUUUGACUACGCCCGGUCCUUGUUGAAGGUUAAAACAGCACACUUGACGAAAAAUCGUUAUGGUUUUGAUGCGUAGGUAAGAACGGUUCUUGCUAAGCCCGUAGCAGUCACGUAAAACUUGCAACAACAAAGUAGAGGACGUCUAACUUGUUUUUGCAGGGCUUGUUGUGAUGUGAUAUGGUCAAGACAUGAUGAUAUAUAAAUUGUUGUAUGAGAUGAUCAUGUUUUGUAAAAGUUAUCGGCAACUGGUAGGAGCCUUAUGGUUGUCGCUUUAUUGUAUGAAAUGCAAUCGCCAUGUAAGCUUUACUUUAUCACUAAGCGGUAGCGAUAGUCGUAGAAGCAAUAAUUGGCGAGACGACAACGAUGCUACGGUGGAGAUCAAGGUGUCAAGCCGGUGACGAUGGUGAUCAUGACGGUGCUUUGGAGAUGGAGAUCAAAGGCACAAGAUGAUGAUGGCCAUAUCAUAUCACUUAUAUUGAUUGCAUGUGAUGUUUAUCCUUUAUGCAUCUUAUUUUGCUUAGUACGGCGUAGCAUUAUAAGAUGAUCCCUCACUAAAUUUCAAGGUAUAAGUGUUCUCCCUGAGUAUGCACCGUUGCGACAGUUCGUCGUGCCGAGACACCACGUGAUGAUCGGGUGUGAUAAGCUCUACGUUCACAUACAACGGGUGCAAGCCAGUUUUGCACACGCAGAAUACUCGGGUUAAACUUGAGGAGCCUAGCAUAUGCAGAUAUGGCAUCGGAACACUGAGAUCGGAAGGUCGAACGUGAAUCAUAUAUUAGAUAUGAUCAACAUAGUGAUGUUCACCAUUGAAAACUAUUCCAUCUCACGUGAUGACCGGACAUGGUUUAGUUGAUAUGGAUCACGUGAUCAUUUAGAUGACUAGAGGGAUGUCUAUCUAAGUGGGAGUUCUUAAGUAAUAUGAUUAAUUGAACUUAAAUUUAUCAUGAACUUAGUCCUGAUAGUAUUUGCAUAUCUAUGUUGUAGAUCAAUAGCUUGCGAUGUAGCUCCCCGUUUAUUUUUUAUAUGUUCCUAGAGAAAAAUAAGUUGAAAGAUGAUAGUUGCAAUGAUGCGGACUUGGUCCGUGAUGUGAGGACUUAUUGCUACACAGAAGAAUUAUGUCCUUGAUGCACCGCUAGGUAACGGACCUAUUGCAGGAGUAGAUGCAGACGUUAUGGACAUUUGGCAAAGCUCGGUAUGAUGACUACUUGAUAGUUUUGUGCACCAUGCUUUACGGCUUAGUAUCAGGACUUCAAAAACCGUUUUGAAUGCCACGCGGCAUAUAAGAUGUUCCAAGAGCUGAAUUGGUAUUUCAGACUCAUGCCCGAGUCGAGAGGUAUGAGACCUCUGACAAAUACUUUGCCUACAAGAUGGAGGAGAAUAGCUCAACCAGUGAGCAUGUGCUCAAAUUGUCUCGGUACUACAAUCGCUUGAAUCAAGUGGGAGUUAAUAUUCCAGAUAAUGUAGUAAUUGAUAGUGUUCUCUAGUCACUAUCACCAAGCUACUAGAACUUCAUGGUGAACUAUAAUAUGCAAGGGAUGACGAAAACGAUUCCCGAGCUCGUCGCGAUGCUGAAAUCGGCGAAGGUAGAAAUCAAGAAAAAGCAUCAAGUGUUGAUGGUUGACAAAACCACUAGUUUCAAGUAAAAGGGCAAAGGAAAAGAAAGGGAACUUCAAGAAGAAUGGCAAGCAAGUUUCCACUCCCAUGAAGAAACCCAAAGCUAAACCCAAGCCUGAAACUAAGUGCUUCUACUGCAAAGGAAAUGGCCACUGGAAGUGGAACUACCCUAGAUACUUGGUGGAUAAGAUGGAUGGCAAAGUGAACAAAGCUAUAUUUGAUAUACAUGUUAUUGAUGUGUACUUUACUAGUGUUCAUAGCAACCCCUCGGUAUUUGAUACUGGUUCAGUUGCUAAGAGUAGUAACACGAAAACAGGAGUUGUAAGAUAAACAGAGACUAGUUAAGGACGAGGUGACGAUGUGUAUUGGAAAUGAUUCCAAGCUUUAUAAGAUCACCAUCGCAUACUCCUUUUACCUUCGGGAUUAGUGUUGAACCUAAAAUAAAUGUUAUUUGGUGUUUGCGUUGACCAUGAAUAUGAUUGGAUCAUGUUUAUUGCAAUACAGUUAUUCAUUUAAGUCAAAGAAUAAUUGUUGUUAUGUUUACAUGAAUAAAACAUUCUAUGGUCAUACACUUAAUAUAAAUGGUUUAUUGAAUCUCGAUUGUAGUGAUACACAUAUUCAUAAUAUUGAAGCCAAAUGAUGCAAGGUUAAUAAUGAUAGUGCAACUUAUUUGUGGCACUACUGUUUAGGUCAUAUUGGUGUAAAGCGCAUGAAGAAACUCCAUGCAGAUGGACUUUUGGAAUCACUUGAUUAUGAAUCAUUUGAUGCUUGCGAACCAUGCCUCAUGGGCAAGAUGACUAAAACUCCGUUCUCCGAAACAAUGGAGCGAGCCACUGACUUAUUGGAAAUAAUACAUUUUCGAUGUAUGCGGUCCAAUGAGUGUAGAGGCUCGUGGCGGGUAUCCUUAUUUUCUGACCUUCACAGAUGAUUUGACCAUAUCUACUUAAUGAAACACAAGUCUGAAACAUUUGAAAAGUUCAAAGAAUUUCAGAGUGAAGUGGAGAAUCAUCGUAACAAGAAAAUAAAGUUUUUACGAUCUGAUCGCGGAGGCGAAUAUUUGAGAUACGAGUUUGGCCUUCAUUUAAUGUGGAAUAGUUUCACAAACUCACGCUACCUGGAACACCACAGCGUAAUGGUGUGUCCGAACGUCGUAACCGUACUUUAUUAUAUAUGGUGCGACUUAUGAUGUCUCUUACCGAUUCACCACUAUCGUUUUGGGGUUAUGCAUUAGAGACAGCUGCAUUCACUUUAAAUAGGGCACCAUCUAAAUCCGUUGAGACAACACCAUAUGAACUAUGGUUUGGCAAGAAACCCAAGUUGUCGUUUCUUAAAGUUUGGGGCUGCGAUGCUUAUGUGAAAAAACUUCAACCUGAUAAGCUCGAACCCAAAUCGGAGAAAUGCAUCUUCAUAGGAUACCCAAAGGAGACUGUUGGGUACACCUUCUAUCACAGAUCCAAAGGAAAGAUUUUCGUUGCUAAGAAUGGAUUCUUUCUACAGAAGGAAUUUCUCUCGAAAGCAGUGAGUAGGAGGAAAGUAGAACUUGAUGAGGUAAUUGUACCUUCUGCCGAAUUGGAGAGUAGUUCAUCACAAAAAUCAGUUCCAGUGAUACCUACACCAAUUAGUGAGGAAGUUAAUGAUGAUGAUCAUGAAACUUCGGAUCAAGUUACUCCCGAACCUCGUAGGUCAACCAGAGUACAUUCCGCAUCAGAGUGGUACGGUAAUCCAAUUCUGGAAGUCAUGUUACUAGACCAUGACGAACCUACGAACUAUGAGGAAGCGAUGAUGAGCCCAGAUUCCGCGAAAUGGCUUGAGGCCAUGAAAUCUGAGAUGGGAUCCAUGUAUGAAAACAAAGUAUGGACUUUGAUUGACUUGCCCGAGGAUCGGCGAGCCAUUGAGAAUAAAUGGAUUUUCAAGAGCAAGGCGGACGCUGAUAGCAGUGUUACUAUCUACAAAGCUCGAAUUGUCGCAAAAGGUUUUCGACAAGUUCAAGGUGUUGACUACGAUGAGAUUUUCUCACUCGUAUCGAUGCUUAAAGUCUGUCCGAAUCAUGUUAGCAAUUGCCGCAUUUAUGAAAUCUGGAAAAUGGAUGUCAAAACUGCAUUCCUUAAUGGAUUUAUUUAAGAAGAGUUGUAUAUGAUGCAACCAGAAGGUUUUCUCAAUCCUAAAGGUGCUAACAAAGUGUGCAAGCUCCAGCGAUCCAUCUAUGGACUGGUGCAAGCAUCUCGGAGUUAGAAUAUAUGCUUUGCUAAGAUGAUCAAAGUAUAUGGUUUAUAAAGACUUAUGGUGAAGCCUGUAUUUACAAGAAAGUGAGUGGGAGCACUACAACCUUUCUGAUAAGUAUAUGUGAAUGACAUAUUAUUGAUCGGAAAUGAUGUAGAAUUAUCAGGAAAGCAUAAAGGAGUGUUUGAAAGGAGUUUUUCAAAGAAAGACCUCGGUGAAAGCUGCUUACAUAUUGAGCAUCAAGAUCUAUAGAGAUAGAUCAAGACGCUUGAUAAGUUUUUUCAAUGAGUACAUACCUUGACAAGAUUUUGAAGUAGUUCAAAAUGGAACAGUCAAAGAAGGAGUUCUUGCCUGUGUUGAAAGGUGUGAAGUUGAGUAAAGACUCAAAACCCGACCACGGCAGAAAAUAGAAAGAGAAUGAAAAGUCAUUUCCUAUGCCUCAGUCAUAGGUUCUAUAAAGUAUGCUAUGUUGUGUACCAGACCUAUUGUGCAACUCACCAUGAGUUUGGUAAGAGGGUACAAUAGUGAUCCAGGAGUAGAUCACUGGACAGCGGUCAAAAUUAUCCUUAGUGGAACAAGGAUAUAUUUCUCAGUUAUGGAGGUGAUAAAGAGUUCGUCGUAAAGAGUUACGUCGAUGCAAGCUUUGACACCGAUCUGGAUGACUCUGAGUCUCGAUCUAGAUACAUAUUGAAAGUGGUAGCAAUUAGCUAGAGUAGCUCCGUGCAGAGCAUUGUAGACAUAGAAAUUUGCAAAAUACAUACGGAUCUGAAUGUUGCAGACCCGUAGACUAAAAUUUAUCUCACAAGCAAAACAUGAUCACACCUUAAUGCUCCUGGGUGUUAAUCACAUAGCAAUGUGAACUAGAUUAUUGACUCUAGUAAACCCUUUGAGUGUUGGUCACAUGGCGAUGUGAACUAUGGGUGUUAAUCACAUGGUGAUGUGAACUAUUGGUGUUAAAUCACAUGGCGAUGUGAACUAGAUUAUUGACUCUAGUGCAAGUGGGAGACUGAAGGAAAUAUGCCCUAGAAGCAAUAAUAAAGUUAUUAUUUUAUUUCCUUAUAUCAUGAUAAAUGUUUAUUAUUCAUUCUAGAAUUGUAUUAACCAGAAACUUAGUACAUGUGUGAAUACAUAGACAAACAGAGUGUCCCUAGUAUGCCUCUACUUGACUAGCUUGUUUAUCAAAGAUGGUUAUGUUUCCUGACCAUAGACAUGUGUUGUCAUUUGAUGAACGGGAUAUCAUUAGAGAAUGAUGUGAUGGACAAGACCCAUCCGUUAGCUUAGCUUUAUGAUUGUUUAUUUUUAUUGCUAUUGCUUUCUUCAUGACUUAUACAUGUUCCUCUGACUAUGAUAUUAUACAACUCCCGAAUACCGGAGGAACACCUUGUGUGCUAUCAAACGUCACAACGUAACUGGGUGAUUAUAAAGAUGCUCUAUAGGUGUCUCCGAAGGUGUUUGUUGAGUUAGCAUAGAUCGAGAUUACGAUUUGUCACUCCGUGUGUCAGAGAGGUAUCUCUGGGCCCUCUCGAUAAUGCACAUCACUAUAAGCCUUGCAAGCAAUGUGACUAAUGAGUUAGUUGCGGGAUGAUGCAUUACGGAACGAGUAAAGAGACUUGCCGGUAACGAGAUUGAACUAGGUAUGAGGAUACCGACGAUCGAAUCUCGGGCAAGUAACAUACCGAUGACAAAGGGAACAACGUAUGUUGUUAUGCGGUUUGACCGAUAAAGAUCUUCGUAGAAUAUGUAGGAGCCAAUAUGAGCAUCCAGGUUCCGAUAUUGGUUAUUGACCGGAGAUGUGUCUCGGUCAUGUCUACAUAGUUCUCGAACCCGUACGGUCCGCACGCUUAACGUUCGAUGACGAUUUGUAUUAUGAGUUAUGUGAUUUGAUGACCGAAGUUUGUUCGGAGUCCUGGAUGAGACCACGGACAUGACGAGGAGUCUCGAAAUGGUCGACAGGUAAAGAUUCAUAUAUUGGAAGGCUAUAUUCGGACAUCGGAAUAGUUCCGAGUGAUUCGGGUAUUUUUCGGAGAACUCGGGAGUUACGGGAAUUCACCGGGGGAAGUAUUGUUGGAAAUAUGCCCUAGAGGCAAUAAUAAAAUGGUUAUUGUUAUAUUUCCUUGUUCAUGAUAAUUGUCUAUUGUUCAUGCUAUAAUUGUGUUAUCCGGAAAUCGUAAUACAUGUGUGAAUACAUAGACCAUAACAUGUCCCUAGUGAGCCUCUAGUUGACUAGCUCGUUGAUCAAUAGAUGGUGACGAUUUCCUGACCAUGGACAUUGGAUGUCAUUGAUAACGGGAUCACAUCAUUAGGAGAAUGAUGUGAUGGACAAGACCCAAUCCUAAGCAUAGCACAAGAUCGUGUAGUUCGUCUGCUUAAAGCUUUUCUAAUGUCAAGUAUCAUUUCCUUAGACCAUGAGAUUGUGCAACUCCCGGAUACCGUAGGAAUGCUUUGGGUGUGCCAAACGUCACAACGUAACUGGGUGGCUAUAAAGGUGCACUACGGGUAUCUCCGAAAGUGUCUGUUGGGUUGGCACGAAUCGAGACUGGGAUUUGUUACUCCAUGUGACGGAGAGGUAUCUCUGGGCCCACUUGGUAGGACAUCAUCAUAAUGAGCUCAAUGUGAUCAAGGAUUUGAUCACGGGAUGAUGUGUUACGGACGAGUAAAGAGACUUGCCGGUAACGAGAUUGAACAAGGUAUAGGAAUACCGACGAUCAAAUCUCGGGCAAGUAUCAUACCGGUAGACAAAGGGAAUUGUAUACGGGAUUGAUUGAAUCCACGACAUCGUGGUUCAUCCGAUGAGAUCAUCGUGGAACAUGUGGGAGCCAACAUGGGUAUCCAGAUCCCGCUGUUGGUUAUUGGCCGGAGAGAUGUCUCGGUCAUGUCUACAUGCCUCCCGAACCCGUAGGGUCUACACACUUAAGGUUCGAUGACGCUAGGGUUAUAGGGAAAGUUUGUACGUGGUUACCGAAUGUUGUUCGGAGUCCCGGAUAAGAUCCCGGAUGUCACGAGGAGUUCCGGAAUAGUCCGGAGGUGAAGAUUUAUAUAUGGGAAGUCAUCAUACGAUCACCGGAAGUAUUCGGGGGUUUGCCGGUGUUGUACCGGGACCACCGAAGGGGUUCCGGGGGUCCACCUACCCCGGAGGGCCCUAUGGGCUGUAUGUGGAAGGGAACCAGCCCCUAAGUGGGCUGGGCGCCAUCCCCCCUAGGGCCCAUGCGCCUAGGGUUGGUGGGAACCCUAAAGGGGGCGCCCCCUUGGCUUGGGGGCAAGCCCCCUCCCCUUGGCCGCCGCCCCCCCUCUAGAUCUCAUCUAGAGGGGCCGGCCCCCUUUCCCCUUCGCCCUAUAAAUAGAGGGGUGGAGGGAGGGCAGCCGCACCACAUCCAAGGCGCAGCCCUCCCCCUCUCCAACACCUCCUCCUCCUUCCGCAGUGCUUGGCGAAGCCCUGCCGGAGUACCACGCUGCUCCAACACCACCACACCGUUGUGCUGCUGCUAGAGUUGUCUUCCCCAUCCUGUCCCUCUCUCCUUGCUGGAUCAAGGCGUGGGAGACGUCACCGGGCUGCACGUGUGUUGAACGCGGAGGCGCCGUUGUUCGGCGCUUAGAUCGGAAUCAACCGUGAUCUGAAUCGCUACGAGUACGACUCCUUCAUCCGCGUUCUUGUAACGCUUCCGCAUCGCGAUCUUCAAGGGUAUGAAGAUGCACUCCCCUCUCUCUCGUUGCUAGUCUCUCCAUAGAUUGAUCUUGGUGAUGCGUAGGAUUUUUUAAAUUUCUGCAACGAUCCCCAACAAGUAUUGGGCCUUAUUGGGCUUUAGUGAAAAGGAGAGAAGUGCCACAAGAGGAGGCAGCGCCCCCCCCCCAUGGGCUGGUCCGAAUUGGACUAGGAGGGGGCGGCGCCCCCCUCUUUCCUUCUCUCUCUCCUCCUCCUUCCCUCUCUCCACCUCUUGGAAAAAGGAAGGGGACUCCAACUAGGAUUGGGAAUCCUAGUUGGACUCCCCCUAUAGGCGCGCCCCUCCUAGGCCGGCCUCCUCCUCCUCCCUCCUUUAUAUACGGGGGUGGGGGCACCCCAAAGACACAUCAAAGUUUCUCUUAGCUGUGUGCGGUGGGCCCCUCCACAGUUACACACCUCGGUCAUAUCGUCGUAGUGCUUAGGCGAAGCCCUGCGCCGGUAACUUCAUCAUCACCAUCACCACGUCGUCGUGCUGACGGAACUCUCCCUCGUCCUCAACUGGAUCAAGAGUUCGAGGGACGUCAUCAAGCUGAACGUGUGCUGAACGCGGAGGUGUCGUACGUUCGGUACUUGGAUCGGUUGGAUCGAGAAGACGUUCGACUACAUCAACCGCGUUACUAAACGCUUCCGCUUUCGGUCUAUGAGGGUACGUGGACACACUCUCCCUGCUCGUUGCUAUGCUUCUCCUAGAUAGAUCUUGCGUGAUCGUAGGAAAGUUUUUGAAAUUACUUCGUUCCCCAACACCCCUGUCCUUGGCGUUUGGUCAUAAUUAUGUCAUAAAUGCGACCACAUCGACGACAUAUCUUCCUGUCGGUGUAAAAACCGGUGAACCUCUGGGUAGGGGCUCCCAAGCUGUGGACCUCGAACAGAUGGUAACGGGAACAAGGAGAUGAUGUUUACCUAGGUUCGGUCCCUUUUGAUGGAGGUAAAACCCGAUGUCCUGCUCUUUGUUUAUAUUGAUCUAGAUGUAUCAAGUACAUACUUGAUCUACCUCGAGAUUGUGAGAUGUGUUCUAACUCUAGGGCUAUGUGAAUGAGAUUGCCUUGAUGGCCCCUCUAUGGGCUAAACCCCUUGUCUUAUAUACACGCCAGGUAGGGUGUCUAGCGUAGAGGUGGUGAGAGAAGUCUUGGAGUAUACGACAAGUCUUUGGUAGAUGUGGUCUCAAUCUUCUCCCCAGCGUGCGGCCUUCGGUGUCCAUCUUGAGGAGAAUGAGGGCCCGCCGGCCCAAUCCGAGGAGCGUGGGCCGGCUAGGUUAGACCCCCUAAUCUAGGACACCGUCACUUCCCUUUCGCCCCUCCUCCUGAAGCAGAGCGUUUUCACCAGCUCAUAGUCAUUUCCACAUCUGCAUUGCCAAACAACUAACUUUCACUACAGUAGCUUCCUCAGCACAACAACUUUGCCAACAUAGCAAGUCCAGGGCUGGAUUUUUCAACGUUGCACCCCAAACAAACAGGGCCUUAGUGGCAUUUCUAAGUUAACAAAACUCUUAGUGGUGUUUCUUAGUAGUGUUUCACUAGUGACUUAACAUCAAAAGCAACUAUGAAUAUGUCUCGAAGAGGGGCAAUUAAAGAAAAAAUUAAGCAAAAGAAACCUAUGAUUGGAUUUCUUGUAGAGUAACAAGCACAACUUAUCUCUACCAUAUGAAUAUUGUGAUGUACUAUAUGAAGAGUAGGCAAUGCGCAGCUAACUAGCAACGACACAAUGUUACUCAUCGACAUCCUUCAUCCUUGUAAUGCUGAAAUGUGCAAUCAUAUUUUGACACAAAUGCCAUCCUUCAUGCAGAGUAACACAACGUGGCUAACCAAGACCACACCUAUUUGAAACUCAUCCAGAGAUCCUUCCAAGGCACUGAUACUCUGCAUGCCCAAGUGAUUCGCCAGCUCAUCCAGCAGGAGUACAUGAGGACGUGACAUCCAUAUCAAAGCGGUCAUGACAUGGACCUUCUAAGAGCAUCUCUAACAAAAACACUAAAAGGCUUUAACUCCUCAAAAGAUUCUCUUUGAGGAUUUAAAGCCUUUCUAACCGAACCCUGAACUGGUCUAACUCCUAAAUUUUUUGAGAGAAGUGACCCUCCCUCCUCAAAUUUGAGCAACCCAAAUCGAUUCUCAGUAGAGGAUUCCCUCGUCCGUGUCCAUUUCUCUCACUAAGCCUCGUCCACACUGGUGCAUCCUCCGUCGUGUUCUUUGCCUUCCACUUGCUCUUGGCAGCUUCUUUGCUAUCCUUAGAGCAUCUACAGCCGGGCGCCCCAAACUCUCCCCCCUAAAUGCCCGGGUGGAGAGCCUAGUAACUGACUGGUCAAAAAAUACUUGACCCGGACGGAUGCCUCAUACCGGCCUCAGACGCCAGGGCUGACCGGCAACCCUCAUAUCUAGCCCAAAUCUGCGGCCAUUAUAGGGAGGCCCGGGCGUGUCGGCCACGUCAGAUCAGGCCCACACUGGCCCACCCCGACCCCACAAAUAUUCCUUCCCAUCCUCUUCCCGGACCAGACCCUAGCCACUACACUCUGCUUCGCUUCGCCCCCAAGCUCCCGUCUGGUGAUCUUCGGCCUUUUCCGGCAUGGCGCGUAGUAGAUCUGACUCGGACCACUCCUGAUCCAUCGGCUGGGGCGUCGUCCCAUAUGGGAGGAGGCGCGCGCUACCGCGGAAGAGGAAACCAUCUGUGCCAGCAUCCUCCACAAGCGGCAGAGGAGGAACACGCGCGCCGUCGCCUGAGAGCAAAGCCAGAGUGGUCCGUGCCNNNNNNNNNNNNNNNNNNNNNNNNNNNNNNNNNNNNNNNNNNNNNNNNNNNNNNNNNNNNNNNNNNNNNNNNNNNNNNNNNNNNNNNNNNNNNNNNNNNNNNNNNNNNNNNNNNNNNNNNNNNNNNNNNNNNNNNNNNNNNNNNNNNNNNNNNNNNNNNNNNNNNNNNNNNNNNNNNNNNNNNNNNNNNNNNNNNNNNNNNNNNNNNNNNNNNNNNNNNNNNNNNNNNNNNNNNNNNNNNNNNNNNNNNNNNNNNNNNNNNNNNNNNNNNNNNNNNNNNNNNNNNNNNNNNNNNNNNNNNNNNNNNNNNNNNNNNNNNNNNNNNNNNNNNNNNNNNNNNNNNNNNNNNNNNNNNNNNNNNNNNNNNNNNNNNNNNNNNNNNNNNNNNNNNNNNNNNNNNNNNNNNNNNNNNNNNNNNNNNNNNNNNNNNNNNNNNNNNNNNNNNNNNNNNNNNNNNNNNNNNNNNNNNNAGGACAAUGAUGGGGCGUACAGCUCUGGCGAGGAGGAGAUCCGGUUUGAUCCAUAUAGCAUCUUUGGUCGCUACUUCCGCGACAAAGACGUCAAGGGCGCCGGCAAGAGCAAGCGUGGAUGAUCUUUGCCCAUAACAGUAUGUAUGUAUACCAUGCCAAAUUUUGGUAGUCGGAUGGCAUUGUAUUGAUGUAGUAGCCGGAUGUCCGGAUGCAUCGAAAGUUUAUGAUGUGUGUGUAAUAUGGAUUCGGGGUUUGCUAAUUGAGAGUCCACGGAACAGAGAUUUGAUGUGUGGUCGACCAUUAUCCGUUGACGUAACCGUCACGUCUGUGGACGUAUGAGGUACCGGUUUAGCAGUAGGUGGCUGUAGAUGCUCUUACACAGCGCUUGGCUUUUCACCUUGUCCUGAGCAGCCAUCCUCCAGUUUCUCCUCGCUGCUUGAAUUUGCUACUCGUACACCUCGGCCUUUCUGUUCGCGUCCUUCCUGCUCUGCUUGUACCCGCUCUCAAAAUCAUGGAGGUUGCCACAGCAGAGGUGGAGGUUCUCGUCGUGCAAAUGUAUGACACCGUUGCAGGCGGUGUUGAGCAGGUCCCGGUCGUGGGACACGACGACCAGCAUCUUUGUUCUUCCACUGCGAGCACAGGGUACGGCUCCAGACAGAGCACAUCAUUUCAAUUCGUUUUCAGGCCACCCAAGUUCAGCGAUUUUGCAGUUAUGCAACUGCUAGUACCACGGAAGGCUGUCACAGGGUCAUUGCUGAAACGGAUUCAUUUGAAGCUUCGGCGGGACCAAUGGAAGGUGGGAAUAGUACGGCUGCAGUGAUCAUUGUCGAGGGAGGAACCUGUAACUUGUCCGAGGAGGCCCCAUUUUGGUCAGGCUAACCAAGUUGCUACUGAGAUCGGUCUAAGUUUUGCCAUCUUUGUGAACUGAAACUCGAUCGGUGUGGCUGCGGUAGUCCAAGUUCAGUGUUCAAAUUCCGCGCCCAUUAAACAAUGUCUACGUCAAUAACAAAGCCUUGCCAAAAUAAAGAGUAAAAUGCACUGGCAGUCACUGAACUUGCGAAGAGCGCUCACUUUGGUCACUGUACUUAGAAAUACGGCCAAUACGGUCACCCAAUACGACAAGACGUGUUUGUACGGUCACUGUUGCUCGUAUGCCACCCGUCGCCGCUCUGUUUGACCAGUCAGUGCCGUCCACGUCGGCACGCUCAGGGUUAUUUCUGUAAAUUACGCCGGCGCAUGUAAUUAUCCACCCCCCCUGAAAUACCCCACUCUGUAGUGGAAUCCCUAAAUCCCCACUCUGCUGGCGACGCCGCUGCCCUCUCCCAAAUUCCCCACUCUGCCGCCGACGCCGCCGCCCUCUCCCUGUUGUUGCCGCCGCCCUCUUCCGUGCUGCUUGCCGGCGGCCUCUCCCUGCCGCGUGCCACCGCCCGUUGCUUCACUCCGCCAUGUCGACAAGCUUGGUCAGGUCAUCGGUUGGCGGUCGUUCGGUGGUGGUGCCGCUCAUCAGGUGCCCUUCUUGCCGCACUCGUGUGAAGUUCUAUCUGUCGAACACGGAGAAGCACGAGGGCUGGGUCUUCUACAGGUGCCCUGUUGGUGUAAGUGGAGUGCAUCCCUAGUUCUUCAUUUUGGUCGAAUUUUGGGAACUUGUAAUGGUGAUUUCUGGCGUUUGUUCUUUUCUUUUGAUCUUCAGGACCAUUUCUGGCAUUGGGAGUUGGAAUACGUUGCAUAUUUGGUGGAUAAUCAGUUUCUCGUUGGCAAUGAAGCCGUAGAUGCAUUAGGAGCUGCAGAGGAUAAGAGGGAAGAGCUGAUUCGAGCAAGGAAUCGAAGAUAUGCAGGUGGAGGUGCAGGUGUAGGUGCAGUUGAUCUUCCAGGCUUUGAAGAUGGACAUCAUGGAAGAGUUGCAUGUCAAAUGAGCAAUCAGCAAGCAGAAGCACUCGUAGGGUUAGGCAAUGAAAUAUUGGUGAUGAUGAAGGCACUGUUGGCAGCACUCAUUGUAGUUGCAGUGCUAGUAGCUAUUUCUGUGCUGAAGAAGUGAUGGAGUGGAUGCAAGAGUGAUGCAAUAUGUAGUUGAUGCAGUGUUUGCAGUAGCUAUUUCACUGUUACUAUGUUAGGAAUGAUGCCUAGUUUGUUAGGAGAUGAACUGGUACUAUGUGGUGGUGUUGUUAGUGUCAAGUGUCAAUCUUUUGCAUUGCAUCUCAUGCUUUUGCAAUAUGUAAUGCAAGUGACAAUGUUGUACUGCAAAUGAAGUUAAUGGAUCAUCCUGCUGUCUUAUGAAGAUAUCAUUUUUAUGUUAUAUUUGCCUUGUGUGUGUGCAUUGCAAAGCUAGUUGAUGAUGCUGUCAAUUUGGGCACAUUUGACCAUUGUCAUUUUUGUCUUGUGUGUGUGCAUUGCAAAGCUAGUUGAUGAUGCUUGUAGACCAUUUUCCUGUUCAUUUUGCAUGCAAAAAAAACUAUACAACUGCUGCAAGUUGAAGAGGACAAAUGUGACCAUUGUCAUAUGUUGGGCAAUGUUAUAACCAGGGCAUUAAGCAUAGUCAUAAGUAGGCAAAGAAGUAUCUUGUAGAACUGGUUACAAAAUGAGCAACAAUUGAUCCAUACUCAUGUGUCUACAUCAUUAUGGAUCAAUUGCAAUAUUUUCCUACAUACUACAUGGAUUGGGCAAAAUAAGAUGCUUGCAUACUACAUGGAUGUUCUGGCUGUCCACUGUCUCAUCACCUAAAGAUAUCAAACAUGGAUGUUCUGCUGGCCUUCCUUGGCUGACCAUCUUCUUGGUUCUGUGAAUCAUCCUGGCUUUUACCCAUUGCAAUAGAUAUCAGCCUCAUUUCUUCCUUUCUUUGUGUUGCGGUAGCCUCCUUCUCUGCUUUCUUAUCUGCUCUUCUUUUUGUUGCAGCAGCCUCUUUCUCUGCUAGCUUCUUGGCAGCUUCUUGUUCUUUUUGAGCCUUCUUCUCAGCCUCCUUCUUUGCUUUGUUCUCAGCAGCUAUAGUUUUCUUAACCUCCAAAAGAAUCUGCCUUGUCUCUGCUUGAGCCUGCUUUUUUAUUGCUGCUUCUUCUUUCCUCUUCUCUCUGUUCAGAGCAGCUGCCUGUCUCUUCCUCUCUGCCUCUGCUGUUUUCUUCUCCUCUUGAAGAUGUCUCUUCCUGGCAGCUUCUUCAGCCUUCUUUUCCUGUUCUUCUCUCCUUGCUGCAAGUAUAGCAUUUUUCUUGUCUUCUAACUCUUUGUCUCUCUGCUUUUUAAUGCAAGUAAGUUCUUGGCCAUCUCUCCUUGCUGAAUGGUGCUUGUGCUCCCUUGGUUUUGAUUGACCAAUAACUGAGCAGCAGAAAGGAAUGUUGACUCUGGAACAGGUCCUUGUGCAAUCACUCUUGGCACAGGCCUCUGCAUGACAUAACAAGCAACAGUGACCGUACAAACACGUCUUGUUGUAUUGGGUGACCAUAUUGGCCGUAUUUCUAAGUACAGUGACCAAAAUGAGCCCUCUUCGCAAGUUCAGUGACUGCCAGUGCAUUUUACUCCAAAAUAAAACCCUCGGCAGGUAGUAUAGUGCACAACUACUCCCUCCGUUCCUAAAUAUAAGUUUUUUCAAUAUAGACUACAUACAAAUGUAUAUAGACGUAGUUUAGAGUGUAGAGUCACGCAAUUUGCUCCGUAUGUAGUCCAUAUUGAGAUCUCUAGAAAGACUUAUAUUUAGAACCGGAGGUAGUACACAUCAUCAUCUCAGGAUGUGUGAACUCAACUGACGGAGACGCGCCCAGUUAAAUUUAAAUUCAGAAACACCAGCUAGGUGUCUCGUAAACGCACUGAUAGGUGCUGGCUGAAUAAUUGAACCUUUAAAAAAAAUGCUAUGGAUCCCAGUGAUCAGCUAAUGUCUAGUACUCCCUCCGUUCCCAAAUAUAAGUCUUUCUAGAUAUUCCAACAAGUGACUACAUACGGAGCAAAAUGAGUGAAUCUACACUCCAAAAUAUGUCUACAUACAUCCGUAUGUUGUAGUCCAUUUGAAAUGUCUAAAAAGACUUAUAUUUAGGAACGGAGGGAGUAUAUCAGUAAGUGUCAAUUUUGUCAGAUAAAAUCUGACAAACAAGAAUGUGGAAUUAUCAAUGCGAAAAGCCAGCUACUGUUGUCAUGGCGAAAUAGUCCCAAAGGCAAGCGAGAUCAACUCGUUGGACAGCAGAAAUCCAUCUGGGUCACUCAGACGGAGGAAGGCCAUCCUGCUCCCACUCAUCUCACCCUCGCUUUCCAAAUCUGACUCGAACUCAUUGAACUGCAGGGCCUCUCGCUCCUUGUCCAUGGCGAUCACCAGUCCACUCUCAACAAAAGGCCUAAACGUCUCGCACAAUGACCGUGUCAGAGCCUCUCCAAAAGAUUUACUGAAACUGUGCAGAUCUAGCCCGCGGGCUGUUCUCAGCGAUAGCAUCACCGAGUCCAUCGCCAUAUCCUUUGUCUCGGAGAUGCUAGACUCGUGGCACCAGGUUCCGUCUUCAAGCUUCUGAACCCAAUCCGCGUAGUUCCUCAUUCCUCUGGGCCUAGAGAACCUGACACCGUUGAUGUAGCUUGCUGAUCCAAGACCAAACGCAUAGAACGGCCUGUUUUGCCAGUAUGUUACGUUGUGCUUGCACUCGUAACCAGGCUUGCAGUAGCUACUGAUCUCGUAGUGUUGAUAUCCUGCUUCAGAAAGCCGCUUCGAAGCUAUCUUGUAGAAGUUCGCAGAGUCUGUCUCAUUUGGGAGAGGAAAUACACCAGGCGUAUAGCUGCAACAUUUGAUAUGGAAAGAGUGAGAUAGGCAUCAAUCUGACACAUAUUUAAGGAUGAGCUCAUUUCAUCUUUCAUACAAAAAUGUGACUGAAAAUUAAUAUGUGACCAAAUUGUUAGAAACUUGGAUAUAGGAUGGCAGGCUAGAGAACAACAUGGCUUUAUAAGGUAGUAGUAUAAUGCAAUUGGUUGAGUAAUACACCCGAACACAAAUCCAGUUAAGCCUUUUAACUUGCAACUAUCAGCAGCAUGAGUUCAAUAAGAAGACUGAACUUCUUUCUCUGGAAUGACAUAAUCUUCGCGAACAGUGAGGCAACAGUCAGAGCGUCGGUUCAGUUCUUACUGAACUAUAGGAACACUUUGCAAGAUAUCAAAGAUGAUGUAAAUGAAUACGAUGAAAAGGGCAAGAGUGUAAUCCACGGACAAGCUCGCAAGGAGACAACUCCUUACUAGAUAAGUUGUAUGCCACCUGAUGUCAGAUGGUUUAUGUCAUUAUGUGGACACCAGUUUUACCGCCAAACUAAUACUGCAACUUGGACGGCGGUGAUCAGAAUCAAAGAGGAAAAAGUAAUUCUGUCCGCCUAGGGCAUGGUGCCACGAUGCCUUAAUGCUGAGAAGCAGAAACCAUUGCAUCGCAUGUCUAUAAGGUGUCCAAAAGGCGCUGAUCUACACUAAUCAGGCCGAUGUUGAUUGACAGCAACAGCCUGACGGUGGCUAAUGCCAUCGACCCUCAUAUGUUGUGCUGGUCCACAAUUAGUGGUGGCAUUCAGGAGAUUUGUCUCGUGUUGCCUGAAUUCCUGAGUCACAGAAUUCUCAAAAUCUAAAAGCAGGAUAACAGGGUAGCGCAUGGUUUAGCUCGAUACUGUAGAAAGGAUGUUGUGUGGUGGUGUUCUACAAGAUGCAGUCCCGGCUUGCCUGUUGAUUAUGAUACUGCAGGAUCGUAACCUCAGCUCUGUAACCUAGUUAAUACAAGUAGCCCCUUUCCAAUAAGAGAAGACUGAACUUCUAAAACACAAACAAGUGCAAAUCAAAACAACACUUGUAGCUAACUGUGUGACGAUGAUGGUUGCAGUGUGUUAGUUUUUCUCCAAUUCGUUAUUAUCUAUAGAACAGAACCACCACAAACAACACACAUAUUUGUCAGGAGCGAUAAUGUUUUCAAGAUAGGGAUCAUAGCUCAUAGGUAUGGACAGAAUAAAACUCACAUUUGCCCAAACUUGGUGCCCUGCUCAAUCUGCAGAUCAUAGACAGACACAUGCGUGGGGCGGGCAUCGACGGUGCACCGCAAGCUCUCCUCCCACAUCUGCUGGGUCUGGUUGGGCAGGGAGGAGAUGAGGUCCAUGCUCCAGUUCUGGAGCCCCUCGCAGGCGGUCACGAUCCCGACGGCCUCGUGCACCUCCCGCAGGCCGUGCGCGCGGCCGCACGCCCGGAGCAGCUCCUCCUGGAACGCCUGCACGCCGAGCGACACCCGGUUCACGCCCACGCCCACCAGCUCCCGCAGCUUGGCCGCGUCGAACGUGCCGGGGUCCAUCUCGAUGGACACCUCCGGGCACGCGGACAGCCCGAACCUGCCGCGCAGCGCGUCGAGCACCGCGGCCACCAGCCUCGGCGGGACCAGCGACGGGGUGCCGCCGCCGAAGAAGAUGGUCUCGAGCGGCACGCCGUCGUCGGAGACGGGACGCGUGGCGGCCACCUCCCGGAGCAGGAGGCGCACGUAGUCGGCGAUCCGAGGAUCCUCGCCCUCGCCCGGGCCGCCGGGGGAGGAGGCGGAGGAGCCGAGCGCCACGAUGGGGAAGUCGCAGUAGUGGCAGCGCUUGCGGCAGAAGGGGAGGUGCACGUAGGCAGAGGCCGGGGGAAGCGGCCGUGGCGGAGGAGGCGGCGGCGGGACGGCGGCGGCCGGGGAGGCAUAGCGACGAACAGGUGGUGGGCGGGGUGGGCGGAUUGGGGGCGGUUUCCUGUGCGGCAACUGGAAGACGAGAGGGAAGGCUGAUCUUAGCAUUACUGACCACUCGCCUCCCAAAGGCUCCUCCCGGUGGACUGGUAAAGAGACAAUUUUGCAUUGAGUUGAAAAUGGCGACAAAAUCCAAAUUGACUUUUAAGUAGCAUUCAGCCGUGUGUUUUUUUUUCAAAAUCCAAAUUAACUCGUGUUAGAAUCAUUACAUUGUAAAAUCUAGAUUAUUGACUCUAGUGCAAGUGGGAGACUGAAGGAAAUAUGCCCUAGAGGCAAUAAUAAAGUUGUUAUUUUAUAUUUUCUUAUAUCAUGAUAAAUGUUUAUUAUUCAUGCUAAAAUUGUAUUAACCGGAAACUUGAUACAUGUGUGAAUACAUAGACAAAACAAAGUGUCCCUAGUAUGCCUCUACUAGACUAGCUCGUUAAUCAAAGAUGAUUAAGUUUCCUGACCAUAGACAUGUGUUGUCAUUUGAUGAACGGGAUCACAUCAUUAGGAGAAUGAUGUGAUGGACAAGACCCAUCCGUUAGCUUAGCAUAAUGAUCGUUAAGUUUUAUUGCUACUGCUUUCUUCAUGACUUAUACAUAUUCCUUUGACUAUGAGAUUAUGCAACUCCCGAAUACCGGAGGAGUACCUUGUGUGCUAUCAAACGUCACAACGUAAAAGGAUGAUUAUAAAGAUGCUCUAUAGGUAUCUCCGAAGGUGUUUUGUUGGGUUGGCAUAGAUUGAGAUUAGGAUUUGUCACUCCGAGUAUCGGAGAGGUAUCUCUGGGCCCUCUCGGUAAUGCACAUCAUAAUAAGCCUUGCAAGCAAUGUGACUAAUGAGUUAGUUGCGGGAUGAUGCAUUACGGAACGAGUAAAGAGACUUGCCGGUAACGAGAUUGAACUAGGUAUGAAGAUACCGACGAUCGAAUCUCGGGCAAGUAACAUACCGAUGACAAAGGGAAUAACGUAUGUUGUCAUAACGGUUCGAUUGAUAAAGAUCUUCGUAGAAUAUGUGGGAGCCAAUAUGAGCAUCCAGGUUCCGUUCGAUGACGAUUUGCAUUAUGAGUUAUGUGUUUUGGUGACCGAACUGUGUUCGGAGUCCCGGAUGAGAUCACGGAAUGACGAGGAGUCUCGAAAUGUCCGAGAGGUAAAGACUGAUAUAUUGGACGAUGGUAUUCGGACACCGGAAUGGUUUCGGAGUGGUUCGAGUAUUUUUCGGAGUACCGAGGGGUUACCGGAACCCCCCGGGGAAGUAAUGGGCCUACAUGGGCCAUAGGGGAGAGGGGAGGCAGCCCACAAGGGGUGGCCGCGCCCCCCUCCCAUAGGGAGUUCGAAUUGGACUAGGGGAGGGGGCGCGCCCCCUUUUCCUUCUCCUCUUCCCUCUCCCUUCCCUCUUUCCCCCUCCAUGAGAACGAAAAAAAGGGGGGCCGAAUCCUACUAGGACUGGAGUCUUAGUAGGACUCCCCUCUCCUUGGCGCGCCCCUGGUGGCCGGCCUCCUCCUCUCCCUCCUUUAUAUACGGGCAGGGCACCUCUUGGAGACACACCAACUGUUCUCUUAGCCGUGUGUGGUGCCCCCCUCCAUAGUUUACUUCUCCGGUCAUAGCGUCGUACUGCUUAGGCGAAGCCCUGCGCGGAUCACAUCACCAUCACCGUCACCACGCCGUUGUGCUAAUGAAACUCUCCCUCGACCUUCUGCUGGAUCAAGAGUUCGAGGGACGUCAUCGAGCUGAACGUGUGCUGAACUCGGAGGUGCCGUACGUUCGGUACUUGAUCGGUUGGAUCGUGAAGAUGAUCGACUACAUCAACCACGUUAAACUAACGCUUCCGCUUUUGGUCUACGAGGGUACAUGGACACACUCUCCCCCUCUCGUUGCUAUGCAUCUUCUAGAUAGAUCUUGCGUGAUCGUAGGAAUUUUUUUGAAAUUGCAUGCUACGUUCCCCAACAAUGUGCUUUGUGAAAGUCCAAUUAAGUGUCUUGAUCUAUCUCUAUAUGAUCUUGAUGCCCAAUAUAUAAGCAGCUUCACCGAGGUCUUUCAUUGAAAAACUCUUAUUAAAGUAUCCUUUUAUGCUAUCUAUAAAUUCUAUAUCAUUUCCAAUCAACAAUAUGUCAUCCACAUAUAAUAUUAAAAAAGUUAUAGAGCUCCCACUCACUUUCUUGUAAAUACAGACUUCUCCAAAAGUCUGUAUAAAACCAUAUGCUUUGAUCACCUCAUCAAAGCGUAUAUUCCAACUCCGAGAUGCUUGCACCAGUCCAUAAAUGGAUCACUGGAGCUUGCACACUUUGUUAGCACCUUUAGGAUCGGCAAAACCUUCUGGUUGCAUCAUAUACAACUCUUCUUUAAGAAAUCCAUUAAGGUAUGCAGUUUUGACGUCCAUUUGCCAGAUUUCAUAAUCAUAAAAUGCGGCAAUUGCUAACAUUAUUCGGACAGACUUAAGCAUCGCUACGGGUGAGGUCUCAUUGUAGUCAACUCCUUGAACUUGUCGAAAACCUUUCGCAACAAGUCGAGCUUUGUACACAGUAACAUUACCAUCAGCGUCAGUCUUCUUCUUGAAGAUCCGUUUAUUCUCUAUGGCUUGCCGAUCAUCGGGCAAGUCAACCAAAGUCCAUACUUUGUUCUCAUAGAUGGAUCCCAUCUCAGAUUUCAUGGCCUCAAGCCAUUUCACGGAAUCUAGGUUCAUCAUCGCUUCCUCAUAGUUCGUAGGUUCGUCAUGGUCUAGUAACAUGACUUCCAGAACAGGAUUACCGUACCACUCUGGUGCGGAACGUGCUCUGGUUGACCUACGAGGUUUGGUAGUAACUUGAUCCGAAGUUUCAUGAUCAUUAUCAUUAGCUUCCUCACUAGUUGGUGUAGGCAUCACGGGAACGGUCUUCUAUGAUGAGCUACUUUCCAAUUCGAGAGAAGGUACAACUACCUCAUCAAGUUAUACUUUCCUCCCACUCACUUCUUUCGAGAGAAACUCCUUCUCUAGAAAGGAUCCAUUCUUAGCAACAAAGAUCUUGCCUUCGGGUCUGUGAUAGAAGGUGUACACAACAAUUUCUUUUGGGUAUCCUAUGAAGACGCACUUCUCCGAUUUGGGUUCGAGCUUAUCAGGUUGAAGCUUUUUUACAUAAGCAUCGCAACCCCAAACUUUAAAAAAUGGCAGCUUAGGUUUCUUGCCAAACCACAGUUCAUACAGUGUUGUCUCAACGGAUUUAGAUGGUGCCCGAUUUAACGUGAAUGUAGCUGUCUCUAAUGCAUAACCCCAAAAUGAUAGUGGUAGAUCGGUAAGAGACAUCAUAGAUAGCAUCAUAUCCAAUAAAGUAUGGUUACGACGUUCGGACACACCAUUACGCUGUGGUGUUUUAGGUGGCGUGAGUUGUGAAACUAUUCCACAUUGUUUUAAAUGAAGGCCAAACUCGUAACACAAAUAUUCGCCUCCGCGAUCAGAUCAUAGAAACUUUAUUCGGCCUCCUCUCCUAGUCCUAUUCGGCCUCCUUCCCUGUGGGGGGCGCGCCACCCCUUUGUGGCCUGGUGUGCCUCCCGCCUAUGGCCCAUAUGGCCCAUAUCUUCCCUAAGGAUGGCAAUGGGUAGGGUAUGGGGCGGGUAGGGCAAUAUCAUGCCCAUACCCGUGUAGUUAAUGGGUAAACAAUUUUACCCAUACCCGUACCCAUGGGUACAAAACUUAACCCGUGCCCAUACCCGAUGGGUGUUGGAAAUAUGCCCUAGAGGCAAUAAUAAAAUGGUUAUUAUUGUAUUUCCUUGUUCAUGAUAAUUGUCUAUUGUUCAUGCUAUAAUUGUAUUAACUGGAAACCGUAAUACAUGUGCGAAUACAUAGAGCACAACAUGUCCCUAGUAAGCCUCUAGUUGACUAGCUCGUUGAUCAAUAGAUGGUUAUGGUUUCCUGACCAUGGACAUUGGAUGUCAUUGAUAACGGGAUCACAUCAUUAGGAGAAUGAUGUGAUGGACAAGACCCAAUCCUAAGCAUAGCACAAGAUCGUGUAGUUCGUUUGCUAAGAGCUUUUCUAAUGUCAAGUAUCGUUUCCUUAGACCAUGAGAUUGUGCAACUCCCGGAUACCGUAGGAAUGCUUUGGGUGUACCAAACGUCACAACGUAACUGGGUGGCUAUAAAGGUGCACUACAGGUAUCUCCGAAAGUGUCUGUUGGGUUGGCACGAAUCGAGACUGGGAUUUGUCACUCCGUAUGACGGAGAGGUAUCUCUGGGCCCACUCGAUAAUGCAUCAUCAUAAUGAGCUCAAUGUGACUAAGGAGUUAGCCACGGGAUCAUGCGUUACGGAACGAGUAAAGAGACUUGCCGGUAACGAGAUUGAACGAGGUAUUGGGAUACUGAGGAUCGAAUCUCGGGCAAGUAACAUACCGAUAGACAAAGGGAAUUGUAUACGGGAUUGAUUGAAUCCCCGACACGUGGUUCAUCCGAUGAGAUCAUCGUGGAACAUGUGGGAGCCGAUAUGGGUAUCCAGAUCCCGCUAUUGGUUAUUGGCCGGAGAGGUGUCUCGGUCAUGUCUGCAUGGUUCCCGAACCCGUAGGGUCUACACACUUAAGGUUCGGUGACGCUAGAGUUGUUAUGGGAAAUAGUAUGUGUUUACCGAAGGUUGUUCGGAGUCCCAGAUGAGAUCCCGGACAUCACGAAGAGUUCCGGAAUGGUCCGGCGGUGAAGAUCGAUAUAUUGGACGAAGGGUAUUGGAGUCCGGAAGUGUUCCGGGGGUACCAGGCUAUGGCCAGCAUGACCGAAAGGUGUUUCGGGAGCCCCGGCAAGUGUUGGAGGGCCUCAUGGGCCAAAGGGGAAGGGGAAAACCAGCCCACUAAGGGGUGGUGCGCCCCCCACACCCUUUCCGACGUUACUUGGGGAGGUGGGGCGCCUCCACCUGGCUUGGGAGGCAAGCCUCCACCUGCUUGGCUUGGGGGGCAAGUCUCUCUAGGAUUUCCCUAGGGAGAUCCAAUCUGCUUGGCCGCCGCCCCCUAGGGGAAACCCUAGGGCGCCUCCCCCUCUCCCCUUGCCCCUAUAUAUAGUGGAGGGGUGGGAGGGCAGCCGCACCUCUUCCCUGGCGCAGCCCUCCCUCCUCAUACACCUCCUCCUCCUCCGUAGUGCUUAGCGAAGCUCUGCCGGAGAACCACGAGCUCCAUUGCCACCACGCCGUCAUGCUGCUGGAGUUCUCCCUCAACUUCUCCUCUCCCCUUGCUGGAUCAAGAAGGAGGAGACGUCCCCGGGCUGUACGUGUGUUGAACGCGGAGGCGCCGUCCGUUCGGCGCUAGAUCGGAACUUCCGCGAUUUGAAUCGCUGCGAGUACGACUCCAUCAACCGCGUUCUUGUAACGCUUCCGCUUAGCGAUCUUCAAGGGUAUGAAGAUGCACUCCCUCUCUCUCGUUGCUAGCAUCUCCUAGAUUGUUCUUGGUGACACGUAGGAAAAUUUUGAAUUAUUGCUACGUUCCCCAACAGUGGCAUCAUGAGCUAGGUCUAUGCGUAGAUUCUAUGCACGAGUAGAACACAAAGUAGUUGUGGGCGAUGAUUUGUUCAAUUUGCUUACCGUUACUAGUCUUAUCUUGAUUCGGCGGCAUUGUGGGAUGAAGCGGCCCGGACCGACCUUACACGUACACUUACGUGAGACAGGUUCCACCGACUGACAUGCACUUGAUGCAUAAGGUGGCUAGCGGGUGUCUGUCUCUCCCACUUUAGUCGGAUCGGAUUCGAUGAAGAGGGUCCUUAUGAAGGGUAAAUAGCAAUUGGCAUAUCACCGUUGUGGCUUUUGUGUAGGUAAGAAACGUUCUUGCUAGAAACCCAUAGCAGCCACGUAAAACAUGCAACAACAAUUAGAGGACGUCUAACUUGUUUUUGCAGGGUAUGCUAUGUGAUGUGAUAUGGCCAAAAGGAUGUGAUGAAUUAUAUAUAUGUGAUGUAUGAGAUUGAUCAUGUUCUUGUAAUAGGAAUCAUAACUUGCAUGUCGAUGAGUAUGACAACCGGCAGGAGCCAUAGGAGUUGUCUUAAUUUAUUGUGUGACCUGCGUGUCAAUGAAAAACGCCAUGUAAUUACUUUACUUUAUUGCUAACCGUUAGCCAUAGUAGUAGAAGUAAUAGUUGGCGAGACAACUUCAUGAAGACACGAUGAUGGAGAUCAUGGUGUCAUGCCGGUGACGAAGGUGAUCAUGCCGCGCCUCGAAGAUGGAGAUCAAAAGGCGCAAGAUGAUAUUGGCCAUAUCAUGUCACUUUAUGAUUUGCAUGUGAUGUUUGUCAUGUUUACAUCUUAUUUGCUUAGAACGACGGUAGCAUAAAUAAGAUGAUCCCUCACUAAAAUUUCAAGAGAUGUGUUCCCCCUAACUGUGCACCGUUGCGAAGGUUCGUUGUUUCGAAGCACCACGUGAUGAUCGGGUGUGAUAUAUUCUAACGUUCGCAUACAACGGGUGUAAGCCAGAUUUACACAUGCGAAACACUUAGGUUGACUUGACGAGCCUAGCAUGUACAGACAUGGCCUCGGAACACAAGAGACCGAAAGGUCGAACAUGAGUGGUAUAGUAGAUACGAUCAACAUGGAGAUGUUCACCGAUGAUGACUAGUCCGUCUCACGUGAUGAUCGGACACGGCCUAGUUGACACGGAUCAUGUAUCACUUAGAUGACUAGAGGGAUGUCUAUCUGAGUGGGAGUUCAUUAAAUAAUUUGAUUAGAUGAACUUAAUUAUCAUGAACAUAGUCAAAAGGUCUUUGCAAAUUAUGUCGUAGCUUACGCUUUAGUUCUACUAAGAUAUGUUCCUAGAGAAAAUUUAGUUGAAAGUUGAUAGUAGCAAUUAUGCGGACUGGGUCCGUAAACUGAGGAUUGUCCUCAUUGCUGCACAGAAGGCUUAUGUCCUUAAUGCACCGCUCGGUGUGCUGAACCUCGAGCGUCGUCUGUAGAUGUUGCGAAACAUCUGACAUACACGUUUUGAUGACUACGUGAUAGUUCCGUGUGUGAUGCUAACGGUUUAAAAUUGUGGCACCAAAGACGGUUUUGAAACGUCGCAGAACAUAUGAGAUGUUCCAAAGAUUGAAAUUGGGAUUUCAGACUAGUGCCCACGUCAAGAGGUAUGAGACCUCUGACAAGUUUCUUAAGCCUGCAAACUAAGGGAGAAAAGCUCAAUCGUUGAGCAUGUGCUCAGAUUGUCUGAGUACUACAAUCGCUUGAAUCGAGUGGGAGUUAAUCUUCCAGAUGAGAUAGUGAUGGUUCUCCAUAGUCACUGACACCAAGCUAUUAGAGCUUCGUGAUAAACUAUAACAUAUCAGGGAUAGACAUGAUGAUCCUUGAGCAACUCGCGAUGUUUGACACUGCGAAAGUAGAAAUCAAGUAGGAGCAUCAAUUGUUGAUGGUUAGUAAAACCACUAGUUUCAAGAAGGGCACGGGCAACAAGGGAUACUUCAUGAAACGGCAAAUCAGUUGCAGCUCUAGUGAAGAAAGCCAAGGUUGAACCCAAACCCGAGACUAAGUGCUUCUGAGAUGAGGGGAACGGUCACUGAAGCAGAACUGCCCUAGAUACUUCGUGGAUGAGAAGGCUGGUAAGGUCGACAGAAGUAUAUUGGAUAUACAUUAUAUUAAUGUGUACUUUACUAGUACUCCUAGUAGCACCAGGGUAUUAGAUACCGGUUCGGUUGCUAAGUGUUAGUAACUCGAAAUAAAAGCUGCGGAAUAAACGAGACUAGCUAAAAGUGAGAUGACGAUAUGUGUUGGAAGUGUUUCCAAGGUUGAUGUGAUCAAGCAUCGCAUGCUCCCUCUACCAUCGAGAUUGGUGUUAAACCUAAAUAAUUGUUAUUUGGUGUUUACGUUGAGCAUAGACAUGAUUGGAUUAUGAUGUUCAUUUAAGAAGAAUAAUGGUUACUCUUUUUAUUUGAAUAAUACCUUCAAUGGUCUUGCACCUAAAAUAAAUGGUUUAUUGAAUCUCGAUCGUAGUGAUACACAUGUUCGUGCCAAAAGAUAUAAAAUAGUAAUGAUAGUACCACAUACUUGUGGCACUGCCAUUUGAGUCAUAUUGGUAUAGAACGCAUGAAGAAGCUCCAUGUAGAUGGAUCUUUGGACUCACUCGUUUUUGAAAAGAUUGAGACAUGCGAACCAUGUCUAUUGGUAUAUAUGCAUGAAGAAACUCCAUGCAGAUGGAUCGUUUGGACUCACUUGAUUUUGAAUCACUUGAGACAUGCAAAUCAUACCACAUGGGCAAGAUGACUGAAAGGCCUCGUUUUCAGUAAGAUGGAACAAGAAAGCAACUUGUUGGAAGUAAUACAUUUUGAUGUGUGCAGUCCAUUGAGUGUUGAGGCAUGCAGUGGAUAUCGUUAUGUUCUUACUUCACAGAUGAUUUGAGUAGAUGCUGAGUGUAUUUACUUGAUGAAACACAAGUCUGAAUUAUUGAAAGGUUCAAGUGAUUUCAGAGUGAAGUUGAAGAUCGUCGUGACAAGAGGAUAAAAUGUCUAUGAUAUGAUCAUAGAGAUGAAUAUCUGAGUUACGAGUUUGGCACACAAUUAAGACAUUGUGGAAAGUGUUUCACAAUUAAUACCGCCUGGAACACCAUAGUGUGAUGGUGUGUCCGAACAUCAUAAUUGCACCCUAUUGGAUAUGGUGCAUACCAUGAUGUCUCUUAUCGAAUUACCACUAUCGUUUAUGGGUUAGGCAUUAGAGACGAACGCAUUCACUUUAAAUAGGGCACCACGCAAUUCCGUUGAGACGACACCGUAUGAACUAUGGUUUAGAGAAACCUAAGUUGUCGUUUCUUAAAAGUUUGGGGCUACGACGCUUAUGUGGAAAAGUUUCAGGCUGAUAAGCUCGAACCCAAAGCGGAUAAAUGCAUCUUCAUAGAAUACCCAAAAACAGUUGGGUAUACCUCCUAUUUUAGAUCCGGAAGCAAAGUGAUUGUUUCUAGAAACAGGUCCUUUCUCGAGGAAAAGUUUCUCUCGAAAGAAUUGAGUGGGAGGAUGGUGGAGACUUGAUGAGGUUAUUGAACCAUGACUUCAACUAGUGUGUAGCAGGGCACAGGAAGUUGUUCCUGUGGCACCUACACCAAUUGAAGUGGAAGCUUAUGAUAGUGAUCAUGAAACUUCGGAUCAAUUCACUACAAAACCUCGUAGGUCGACAAGGAUGCGUACUACUUCAGAGUGGUACAUAAUCCUGUCUUGGAAGUCAUGUUGCUAGACAACAAUGAACCUACGAGCUAUGGUGAAGUGAUGGUGGGCCCGGAUUCCGACGAAUGGCUCGAGGCCAUAAAAUCCGAGAGAGGAUCCAUAUAUAAAAACAAAGUAUAGACUUUGGAAGAACUACUUGAUGGUCGUAAGGCUGUUGGGUGCAGAUGGAUUUUAAAAGGAAGACGAACAAUGAUGGUAAGUGUCACCAUUAAGAAAACUCGACUUGUCGUUAAGAUGUUUUCCGACAAGUUCAAGGUGUUGACUGCGAUGAGACUUUCUCACUCGUAGCGAUGCUAAGAGUCCGUUGGAAUUAUAUUAGCAGUUACUGCAUUAUUUAUGAAAUCUUGCAGAUAGGAUGUCAAAACAUUGUUUCCUCGACGAUUUUCUUGAGGAAGAUACAACCAGAAGGUUUUGUCAAUCCUGAAAUAUGCUAACAAGUGUGCAAAGCUCCAGCAAUCCUUCUAAGGACUGGAGUAAGCAUCUCGGAGAUGGAGUGUACGCUUUGAUGAGAUGAUCAAAAAUUUUUGGUUUAUACAAAGUUUAUGAGAAACUUGUAUUUCCAAAGAAGUGAGUGGGAGCACUAUAGAAUUUUUGAUGAGUAUAUGUUGUUAACAUAUUGUUGAUCAGAAAUGGUGUAGAAUUUCUGGAAAGCAUCCAGGGUUAUUUGAAAAGUAUUUUUCAAUGGAAAACCUGGAUUAAGCUACUUGAACAUUGAGCAUCAAGAUCUAUAAGGAUAGAUCAAAAACGCUUAAUAGUACUUCCAAAUGAAUACAUAUCGUGACAAGAUUUUGAAGGAGUUCAAAAUAGAUCGGCAAAGAAGGAGUUCUUGGCUGUGUUACAAGGUGUGAGUAUUGAGUAAGACUCAAGACCUGACCACGGCAGAAGAGAGAGAAAGGACGAAGGUCGUCCCCUAUGCUUUAGACGUAGGCUCUACAGUAUGCUAUGCUGUGUACCGCACCUGAAGUGUGCCUUGCCAUGAGUUAGUCAAGGGGUACAAUAGUGAUCCGGGAAUGGAUCACAUGACAGCGGUCGAACUUAUCCUUAGUAUCUAGUGGACUAAGGAAUUUUCUCGAUUAUGGAGGUGGUAAAAGAGUUCGUCGUAAAGGGUUACGUCGAUGCAAACUUUGACACUAAUCCGCAUGACUCUGAGUAGUAAACCGGAUUCGUAUAGUUGAGCAGUUAUUUGGAAUAGCUCCAAGUAGCGCAUGGUAGCUGUAAGAUGACAUGGAGAUUUGUAAAGCACACACGGAUCUGGAAGGUUCAGACCCGUUGACUAGUAACCUCUCUCACAAGCGAGAUAUGAAUAAACCCCAUGGGUGUUGGAUUCAUUACAAUCACAUAGUGAUGUGAACUAGAUUAUUGACUCUAGUGCAAGUGGGAGACUAUUGGAAAUAUGCCCUAGAGGCAAUAAUAAAAUGGUUAUUAUAGUAUUUCCUUGUUCAUGAUAAUUGUCUAUUGUUCAUGAUAUAAUUGUAUUAACUGGAAACCGUAAUACAUGUGUGAAUACAUAGACCACAACAUGUCCCUAGUAAGCCUCUAGUUGACUAGCUAGUUGAUCAAUAGAUGGUUAUGGUUUCCUGACCAAGGACAUUGGAUGUCAUUGAUAACGGGAUCACAUCAUUAGGAGAAUGAUGUGAUGGACAAGACCCAAUCCUAAGCAUAGCACAAGAUCGUGUAGUUCAUUUGCUAAGAGCUUUUCUAAUGUCAAGUAUCGUUUCCUUAGACCAUGAGAUUGUGCAACUCCCGGAUACCGUAGGAAUGCUUUGGGUGUACCAAACGUCACAACGUAACUGAGUGGCUAUAAAGGUGCACUACAGGUAUCUCCGAAAGUGUCUGUUGGGUUGGCAUGAAUCGAGACUGGGAUUUGUCACUCCGUAUGACGGAGAGGUAUCUCUGGGCCCACUCGGUAAUGCAUCAUCAUAAUGAGCUCAAUGUGACUAAGGAGUUAGCCACGGGAUCAUGCGUUACGGAACGAGUAAAGAGACUUGCCGGUAAUGAGAUUGAAAGAGGUAUUGGGAUACCGACGAUCGAAUCUCGGGCAAGUAACAUACCGAUAGACAAAGGGAAUUGUAUACAGGAUUGAUUGAAUCCCCGACACGUGGUUCAUCCGAUGAGAUCAUCGUGGAACAUGUGGGAGCCAAUAUGGGUAUCCAGAUCCCGCUAUUGGUUAUUGGCCGGAGAGGUGUCUCGGUCAUGUCUGCAUGGUUCCCGAACCCGUAGGGUCUACACACUUAAGGUUCGGUGACACUAGAGUUGUUAUGGGAAAUAGUAUGUGGUUACCGAAGGUUGUUCGGAGUCCCGGAUGAGAUCCCGGACAUCAUGAAGAGUUCCGGAAUGGUCCGGCGGUGAAGAUCGAUAUAUUGGACGAAGGGUAUUGGAGUCCGGAAGUGUUCCGGGGGUACCAGGCUAUGGCCAGCAUGACCGAAAGGUGUUUCGGGAGCCCCGGCAAGUGUUGGAGGGCCUCAUGGGCCAAAGGGGAAGGGGCAAACCAGCCCAUAAGGGGUGGUGCGCCCCCCACACCCUUUCCCACGUUACUUGGGGAGGUGGGGCGCCUCCACCUGCUUGGCUUGGGGGGCAAGUCUCCCUAGGAUUUUCCCUAGGGAGAUCCAAUCUGCUUGGCCGCCGCCCCCUAGGGGAAACCCUAGGGCGCCUCCCCCUCUCCCCUUGCCCCUAUAUAUAGUGGAGGGGUGGGAGGGCAGCCGCACCUCUUCCCUGGCGCAGCCCUCCCUCCUCAUACACCUCCUCCUCCUCCGUAGUGCUUAGCGAAGCUCUGCCAAAGAACCACGAGCUCCAUUGCCACCACGCCGUCGUGCUGCUGGAGUUCUCCCUCAACUUCUCCUCUCCCCUUGCUGGAUCAAGAAGGAGGAGACGUCCCCGGGCUGUACGUGUGUUGAACGCGGAGGCGCCGUCCGUUCGGCGCUAGAUCGGAACUUCCGCGAUUUGAAUCGCUGCGAGUACGACUCCAUCAACCGUGUUCUUCUAACGCUUCCGCUUAGCGAUCUUCAAGGGUAUGAAGAUGCACUCCCUCUCUCUCGUUGCUAGCAUCUCCUAGAUUGAUCUUGGUGACACGUAGGAAUGGGUACUCAUACCCAUUGGGUACCCAACGGGUAUAUUAAUAGUACACAAGUUAUUUGCAAUUUUACAUUCAUCUAUAGCAUGUUUGGUAAAAACAUUGAUCGCAACUAAAUAAUUGGUAGAUGAGUGCAUGAAAAUUAUGUCAAUUCAAAUUGACAAUUGGUGAAAACUUUAACAUAGGUUCACAAACUCAUGGCACAACUUUAACAUAGCUACACUUGUGAAUCAUGGGUAAGGCUAACAUGUCAGUAUAAAUAGGUAGGGUAUGGGAAUAUCCAUGGGUAAAAGGCUAUACAUGUGCCCUACCCAUGACUUAAUGGGUAGCGUAUGGGUACUACCCGUGGGUAUAAAAUUAUGCCCAUACCCUGCCCGUGUGGGUACGGUAUCCGCGGGUUCCCGUACCCAUGGGUAAAAUUGCCAUCCUUAAUCUUCCCCAGGGGGUUCCGGUAACCCUCCCGGUACUCCGAUAUGUACCUGAUACAUUCCGGAACACUUCCGGUGUCUUAAUACUAUCAUCCAAUAUAUCAAUCUUUACCUCUCGACCAUUUCGAGACUCCUCGCCAUGUACGUGAUCUCAUCCGGGACUCCGAACAACAUUCGGUCACCAAAUCACAUAACUCAUAUAAUACAAAUCGUCAUCGAACGUUAAGCGUGCGGACCCUACGGGUUCGAGAACUAUGUAGACAUGACCGAGACAGCUCUCCGGUCAAUAACCAAUAGCGGAACCUGGAUGCUCAUAUUGGCUCCCACAUAUUCUGCGAAGAUCUUUAUUGGUCGAACCGCAAUGACAACAUACGUUAUUCCCUUUGUCAUCGGUAUGUUACUUGCCCGAGAUUCGAUCAUAGGUAUCUUCAUACCUAGUUCAAUCUCGUUACCGGCAAGUCUCUUUACUCAUUCCGUAAUGCAUCAUCCCGCAAAUAACUCAUUAGUCACAUUGCUUGCAAGGCUUAUUAUGAUGUGCAUUACCGAGAGGGCCCAGAGAUACCUCUCCGAUACUCGGAGUGACAAAUCCUAAUCUCGAUCUAUGCCAACCCAACAAAACACCUUCGGAGAUACCUGUAGAGCAUCUUUAUAAUCACCCAGUUACGUUGUGACGUUUGAUAGCACACAAGGCAUUCCCCCGGUAUCCGGGAGUUGCAUAAUCUCAUAGUCAAAGGAAUAUGUAUAAGUCAUGAAGAAAGCAAUAGCAAUAGAACUUCACGAUCAUUAUGCUAAGCUAACGGAUGGGUCUUGUCCAUCACAUUAUUCUUCUAAUGAUGUAAUCCCAUUCAUCAAAUGACAACACAUGUCUAUGGUUAGGAAACUUAACCAUCUUUGAUUAACGAGCUAGUCUAGUAGAGGCUUACUAGGGACACUGUGUUUUGUCCAUGUAUCCACACAUGUAUCAAGUUUUCGGUUAAUACAAUUCUAGCAUGAAUAAUAGACAUUUAUCAUGAUAUAAGGAAAUAUAAAUAACAACUUUAUUAUUGCCUCUAGGGCAUAUUUCCUUCACACCAUGCAUCCAUGGCCCUAAGGCUACAUGAGACCGAUGCAGACCGGCGACGGUGCCGGCGGGUUCCCUAGUGGUAGGGUUCCCUUGCCUAGGAGCGAAGGGGUACGAGCUUUGCGCGUAUUAACCAUGUUUAUUGAUAGUUUACACAAAGUACGUCAGAUCAAACAAAGACAAAAAAAUCAAAAGGUCAAGAUAAAACAUAAAGUUACAUCAAAAGUCCUUGGUGGUCAUUAACUCCAAAUUCAUCUUUUGCAUCUCGACUUUUCUUCAAACAUCCAGCGAAGAAACUGCAGAAGAGCGAACUUGCACACGGUGCAUUACCAAAUUCAAGGAUUCAAAUAGCUGUAUGAGCCAUCUACGACAACGGCUUAGAAGCUAAGACCGUCAAACAUACUGUGAUCAAGGGUACAUCAUUUGUAAGAUAGGUUGUGGAAUUGUUGCUUAGCCUAUUAGGAGCACACGCAAAAAAUCAACAUACCCAGUGACAAGAGUAUGCUUGACAAAAGAACGAACAUACAUGCCUGGUGAUGAGAGCGUGCUUGACAAUACUAUCGUGGCCACCAUCGAAUGAUAGGCUGAAGCGUCGAGCGACGAUCUACAAGAGCGGGAGCCAUUGAUCUGCGGGACUAAGGGGUCUGCUAGAGAUGCUCUAAAACACCAUCAAUCCUCGGUAAGUCGUAUCAGCCACGAUAGCCACAUUAGAACGACGGUAGAAACCAUGAGAACUAUUCCGUAGUACGCCACCUCCAUCGUCUAGACUUUGUUGUCAAGGACACGUAAAUAAAACAUAGAUGAAAAGUAAAUUGGAUUCCGAGUGUUGAUCGAUAGUUCCCCCCAAGGCUGGGAGCCAUCGAAAACCACGAACCUCCAAAACGAAGGAAGAGCUUAAGCACGCACACUUCUUAAGUAUUUGUUUGCCUUUUUGCUUGCUUUCAUCAUACUUAAAACGAAAAUUGGUCAUCUUGUUCUUAUCCUUAGGGCUGCGCUACGCGUCGGCCGGUGGCUUAGUUAAAAACAUCCGCCGCCUAGCUGGCCGUUGGAUGGACGCGCUGCUAGCCGUCCAAUGUACCACCCACGUUCCCCAUCUCCCUUCUGCAACAAGUGUGGUGUUGCAGAAACAAGGGCCGUGCUACGCGUCCGUCGGUUGAAGUUCGGGAAGGUUCGACCACCUCCCACGCCGUUAGAUCUCCCCACGUGAGCGUCACAAAUUGCAAUAAGCUAGUUUGUUACGCUCAUCCCUCUGCAACAACGACUUUGUUGCAAACCACUGUGAAGAGUUAUCGUGUGACUUCACGAAUUGCAACAAGUUGGUUGUUGCUGAAACAAAGACUUUGUGUGGAGACGUGAUGUAACUUUUGCUAUAAUGAUAUUGUUGCAGAAAAUUUUGCAACUGUGGUGAUGUUGCAGAAAAAAUUGUCUCCACUUUUAUGCAACAAAGGUAAUGUUGCAGAAAUUUUUUGCCUUCACAUUCAUGCAACGUAGGUGAUGUUCCGGGAGCAAGUUUUGCAACAUUACUGAUGUUGCGGAAUUUAUUUGCAAUGAAUAGGGUUGGCCCAGGUAGUAGGGACCAGGCACGUGCACCAAGUCUUCAUGCGAGUCACGCGCCUUCACAAUCCAGUGGACCAACGGGUCGCGAUCUGACGGCCGCGCGAGCGACGGUUGCAGCGAGAAAGAUCGGCCGGUUGAUUGGAAGCUUUUUCCUUAUCCUUAAGUACGUUCUCCCUUUUUUUCAUUUUGAUUUUUCUUCUUGUAUAUUUGUUUCUUUCAUUGUUUUUUCUUGAAAUAUUUCUUAACGUCCUACCAUUUUUUGAUAUACCAAAUAAAUUAUGUUUUCUUUAACAAGCCAAUAGUUUACACCAAAUAAAAUCCUGACAUUUAUUAAGCUAGGUAAAUCACAGGUAGUAGCAUUUUGUAAACAAUUAUUCACAUAAUUACAUUAAUAUGAAAAAUUAAACUCAGGGACUAACGUGCUAUAAUAUUUAUUGCCAGUUAUAAACACGGACAAUUAUUUAAAGUUUUCUACAAGAAAAAAUAUUUAAAAAGCAUUCCCUCGAAGAAGGGGAAACAAAACCUAAUGGUGCGUGGGCCGAGUUAACCAGGCCAAUAUCUGGCCUAACGCGUGGCUCGCUAUGAAGGCCCAACACGUGGCAUUGCGCUUGCCUGCCGCCGCGUGCCCUAUAUAGCUUGAGCCGCCGCGGCCCGCGUCACCGCCGACGCAUCAACCCCGCCUCCCACGAGCGUCGCCGCCAUCGCCGUCCCGUUCCGCAUCGUCGCGGCGUCGCAUCCCUGCUGUCUCCACACGCCCACGAGCUUUGGCCACUGGCUUUUGGGUUCCAAGGUCUGGGCUUGUGAUCAGCCAAACCCCACUGACCCCCACGAUUGCAGGGCAGAUGAAUGCUGCUGCUUCUUCUAAUCAACAUGCCAAUGCCACGAUAACUACUCAAUUUUGUCACCAGAAGUUUCUUCCUGUAAAUUCACUCGCGUGGUUGUCUCGUUGUUAAUUUCCAUUUUCCAUUGUGAGUUUGUGACAGGUUGAGAAGGAAGGGGGUCGCCAUGGAAGGAGACCCCAGAGAGAGGGAGAACCGCCGAGGCUCUCUGGACGAGAUGGAGAUGAAGGUGGCCAGGUUCUCGCGGGGGAAGGCGGCAAACCUGGGGGUAGGAAUAGGAUUGCUGCUCUCCUUCUGUCCUACUAGUGUGGUUGUUGGAAAUUCAGGUGCUACAUGCUCUGCCUGCUAUAAUACUUCAGAAGUGAAUUUGACAUCUUUGGUUUUCUCCGUAACAGGAUUUGCGCGACAAGAAACUGAAAGGGCAGCUCGCUGGAAAAGAGAAGCUGAUUGGAGUGUCCGCCAAAGCUGCCGCUCAGGCUGAAAAGGUGUGUGUUUGUGGAUUUGUGGAUUUGUUGCAGAAUGUAUGUGAAUUUGUUGUUUCAUACAACAUAUAUGUAGCUAUCUCACUGGAAAUCUCGGGGGCACUAACCAACGGUGUAUGCAUGAUAAGGGAAUCUGGCAUUCUAGACUAGUGACUUGUGGCAAUGUGAUGUUCUAGAAUACAGCUCUGGUUUAGCUGUUCACCAGUGUCGUGCGGAACUGUUUGAAUGAAGUGCUCUACUCAUAUGUAUAGAAUCCACAUUUUAAAUGUAAACAUAGAUUGAUCUGGCGUUGCCGUUAAAGAGAUGAUGGCCAGCCGGCGAAAGACCAGCCAGUAGAUUUUCGACGCAUCUACCGUGACAAGGAGUAAAAUUUACUGAGUGUACACAUACUCUUUUUGGAUCGUUUUAAUUCACAUUACUUGACAAUUAUGGCAUAGAUAGGUAUGGCUAUCACUUUCAUGUCACUUUGAGUAUGGACUCUCUUGCAUAACUCCAUGGUGCUCGUUGGAACAUAAUAUAACAGUGCACCCAUCUAAAUUCUUUGCCUACCUCAUGCCUCUUGAUUUUCAUGCUAAACAAUUAUCCAGUCGAACUGACUUGUGCAAACAUGAGAUAAUUUGCACUAUGCUGAUUUUUCUUUUACUCAAUUUACAGUGGCUAUUGCCUAGCGUUGGGGGCUAUCUAGAGCCUGAAGGUCUCGAAAAGACAUACAGAUUUGAGCAGUGGUCGAUUCUGCCAAAGGUGGACAUUGGGAGUUCAAGAAAAUCAUUUGACAUGAUCUUACCUGGUAAAUAUGUAGAUCUGUUACACUAUUAUCUGAAUCUGCCACCCUAUCUACAUUAUCCAGUAUCAAAAUAGCCACAUGAUGGCCAGCUCAGAUUGACGAUAUCGUAUUUCUUGAUUCUUAUUGUGUAUGCCUUUAUAGACUUACCAUGUGGUUGUUACAUAUACCCUCCUUACUGUUUACGUGAAAGGAAGAUGCAAGUUAGCCUGUAAAACAUUUGUAACCAUAACAUAACAUUGAAACUAUCAGCUUUGUAUGACUAAACAGUUUUCCUAAUCGAAUAGUUCAGUGAAAGAAUUUUUCUGCAGGCUCUUAUGUUAUUUCAUUAGGCAUACUCUAUGCUGCGACCUUGCUGAAUGCUGACUGUCAGUUUCCCUAAUUAUGGUUUAUGACCAUGAGUUGUAUGAGGGUGCUGAUCGACUAGCUGUUUUGUAUGCAGUGUUUGGUCCUUAUACUCUGGAAUACACACCAAAUGGGCGCUACAUGAUAGUAGGUGGGCGAAAAGGUCAUAUUGCAUUUAUGGAUAUGUUGAAUAUGGAACUCAUCAAUGAAUUUGAGGUCAGCUUUCGGUAUUUAAGCAGUUUGUCAGUAUGUAGGUUUACUUCUCUUUUGUUCUUUUUUCCUCAGUAAAAUGUUCACUAUUGAAUUUCAGUGCUUUGCUCAUAAAUUAGGCUCGCGAGAAUGAUAUUAGUAUGGUCCUCAAUAUUGGUGGAAAUAGCAGUAUUAAAAGUUUGUGCCUUUUGUUAGACCAACCUGAAAGCAAGAACUAAAUGAACUCUGGGGUUUAGUCUGCUAGUUCGACAAAUAUACAAAUGUGAAGGCUAAAAGGAGCCUAAGAUACCAUUGUGAAAUAAGGAUAUCUAUUUUAUGUACUCAUAAGUUGUAGAGUAAAGAUGAUACACAUUUUAAUUGUGGAGGGCGUGGAUGUUGAAGUCAAGGAACUACUUAUAGUUCAUAUUUUUCCAAGGUAUUGAAACUAGAAACUAGAGUACCUGGUAGGUACCCAAGAGUUUGCUCACCUUGCAGGGAUUACACGGGUUAAUCGCCCUUAUACUUAGUUAUAAUCAGCCUUAUACUCUGGUUGUUCUGAUAACCUAGUCAUUGAGUUUUUUUCAUUUCAUACGGUUUGAGUGAUAGCAGCUCAAAUUCGGAUAAAAUAUGCUGAGUUUAGAGUAGGUAGUUUUUCUUGUUUGCCUAGAAAAGACAAAAGAGUAAAGUCUUCAGAGACUUUCCCGUUGUCUCCCCGUUGGUUUCCAAGGUUUGCAGAAGUGAUAGCUAGGCACUAAGCGGGCGGUGUAUGGAUGCCUAGUUCCUAGACAGUAGCCUAGAACAUGGUGACAAGCAGCCAAGCAGCCAACCGAAUACCUGGGCCAAGGACCAUGCAUCCAAGAGCAAAAAUACAUAGGUAAGGGAGUAGGAUGGAGGGUGUAUGUGGAGAAUGUACAGGUCGUUGCAGCAGGCAGCUGGAGGAGGAUGUUUUGUGGUGGUAGGGGAGUGUGGCUCGUGGAGUCUGGAAAAUGAUGUCCCCUGUCCCCAUGUUUUAGUCCAUAAAAUGGAGCGUCUAAGCAGCGCCGAAUAGCACCUUUAGAACCUUGAUUAAAGAAAGCGGACCUGAAUCCUUCACAUUGUUUGUCCCUCGUCAAAAAAGAGAAAUUCCUAUAUAAGGAUAGCACGGAUCUUGACACAAACUGAAUGGUCUAGAUAGAGGGUACACUGGUAUGUGGGUACAAAAAAUCCACACUCCAUCCUAAUACUGUUCCCCACUUUUCUCCAACAUAUCAGCCCCUGGUUUUUAUAAUCACGGUGACUGUAGACAUCUCCAACAUUAUUUCUUGUUGCACCUCAUAUAUGUAUUGUAUUUCUCUGAUCUUAUCUUUUUUAUAGGUGAAGGAAACUGUGUGCGACGUGGCAUUUUUACAGAACGAGCAACUCUUUGCAGUCGCCCAGAGAAAGUAAUUUAUUGACUGUACUCAAGCUUUGCGACAUAUUUCCAUUUCUCAUGAAGUAUAUCAACAUGUUCCAUGUGCUAAAAAAGAUGUAAUAAGAUGACCCCUACAGCUUGAUGAUGUAAAGAAAGGAUGGACAAACCCAUGCUCAGCAAAAUAAGAACCGUUGUCAGAAUAUGUUUGAUAUGUGGAUCAAUCAGGCUACAGAAUGACGCAACAUUUCAACAUGAUUCACUACACCGUUUCCCUGUACAAUUUCCCAUGAGUGGGAUCAUCAUAAAAUGGCAUCUGUGAACAAGACUAAUUUUUGGCAGUUUCUUGAACUGUUAGUGCAUAAAUAUGUGGGCUAGGUACAGCUUAGGGUUGCCUUCUGACUUCAAUAUUCGAGAAUGGGUGAUCUGGACUCUGGAACUGUUAGUUUCUUAAAUCGUGUAUUAAUACUCUAUGUGCAAAUGGUGCUUACAAGCUGUGAAGGGCUGAUUAUGCUAAUGAUUUCUAUAGAUUUUUUAUAGUUCCUCACAAGAAUAUUGUUCAAACAGGUAUCCGUACAUAUAUAAUCGUCAUGGCACAGAAAUUCACUGUCUGAAGGUAAUCAUGAUUUAAAUACCUCUAUGUUCUUGGUAACUUUGCCCUGGUUUUUGAUGAUUUUGAAGAAGUGGUUGUAUGUAUAGUAAAUCCGGGAAUAGGAGCCUUUGUAUGAUCUCUACAGAACUAGUGAUUGAUUAAUAUAACUCUUAUGUUAGGUACAUUCAGUGAUUUGUUCUUAGAUCAGCUAAUGGGAAUACAUGACCUCCCUUUUUUGUAGUUGGAAAACUAAUAACUAGUGCCCAGACCACAUAUUGAUAUGCAUCUGCAUGUCAGUGUGAUAUUCAGAUGCAUUUUCAACAACUGAAAGCUUAGUGGUGGCAAAAUACCGGGCAUGCAAAUAUCCGAAUUGAAUGUUCCUUUGUUGAUGAAUGUGAUGCUUUUUUUCACAUAGGGCUUUCCAAAAGGAACUUAUUGGUACGUACUAAACAGUUGAGUACUGCAAAAAAUUGGUCUCAAGGAAUUACUUUGGACAGUGCUUCUGUUUCUUAUAAGCAUCAUAACACUAGUGUAGCGACACCUUCAUAGCUACCAGUCAAUUAUCGAAUUUGUACCCAAUGCGUCUCCACAAAAGACGUGCUAUCUCCAAAAUACUUCUUUUGAGAGUCUAACAGUGAUCACUCUUCCGUUUCACAGGAACAUGGCAAAUCGCUGAAGCUUCAGUUUCUGGAUAAACACUUACUCUUGGCAUCGAUAAACAGCUAUGGGCAGCUCCACUACCAAGACAUGAGCACUGGUGAGAUGGUUGCAAACUACAGCACAGGUCUUGGACGUACGGACGUGAUGCGGGUAAACCCCUACAAUGCCGUCAUUGGCCUUGGACAUGCUCGUGGGAAACUCACCAUGUGGAAGCCAACCAGUGUGAAACCCCUUGUCACAAUGUUGUGCCAUAAGGGCUCUCUGACUGCCGUCGCAUUUGACAGGGGUGGUCACCUUAUGGCAACUGCAGGUGGAGACCAGAAGAUUAAGAUUUGGGAUCUCAGGAAGUUUGAGGUUGUGCAUUCAUACACCGCACGUGCUCAGUCCCUGGAUUUCAGCCAGAAGGGGUUGUUGGCGAGCAGCAACGGAUCUCUAGUGGAGAUAUACAGGGAUUGCGGGGGCCAGGACUAUAAAAUCUAUAUGAAGCACAGAAUGGUAAAGGGAUAUCAGGUGGGCAAGGUUUUGUUCCGCCCUUACGAGGACAUCUGUGGGAUCGGGCACUCCAUGGGAUUUUCCUCCAUGCUCGUUCCUGGAUCAGGCGAGCCAAACUUCGAUACCUUUGUUGACAACCCCAUGGAGACCGGGAAGCAAAGGCGGGAGAAGGAGGUGCAGGCCCUCCUUGACAAGCUCCAACCAGAGACCAUCAUGCUUGAUCCGGAUGUGAUAGCCACUGUAAGACAACUGAAGAAGAAACAGAAGAAAACCAAGAAAGAGAUCGAGGGCGAGAUUGAAGGUGCCGUCGAGGCCGCCAAGAACAUUAGGGUCAAGAAGAAGACAAAGGGUAGGAGUAAGCCGAGCAGGCGGGCCAAGAAGAAAGAGGAGGAGGUUCUCAGAGCCAAGAGGCCUUUGUUGGAUCAACACAAGGAAGCCAGUGGGCACCCUGACAAGAAACUGCGGAUUGGCGAUGACACCGAGCUGCCGAAAGCAUUGCAGCGGUUUGCCAAGAACAGGCAAUCGUGAUCUUAGUUAUCAACUUAUCAUUAGCGAGUGUGUGCUGUAGUCUAUUAUGUGAAGGAGUAGCUGGCAAGUAGUAGUUCAUGUGAACUUGUUAGAAAAAUAUGCACCUUUAUUCUCUGCUGGGCAUUACGUUCUCCAGGUUGAAGUUUGGUUUAGGUCAGCUCUUCUUCCUGGGCUGGCAUAUUUUUUAUGUUUGAUGAUGCUGAGGUUGAGGCUUGAGAGUACCGUUUGAUCUAAUUACUUGUGCCUUGGUGGUGUCUAACACUGUUUUAUGUGCUCAGCUCCAAUUCCUAUUGGAAUUCAGAACACUGUUUUCAUAGGAUAAAUGUCCUUGGGUCAGAAAUACUCGACCAAUGCAGCAUAGAAAGAAACUAUAAGUAUAGGUCUGGUGGCUACUGGUUACUGCUGUGAAAGGAGCAUGUGUUACUUGUGUAUAUGUUUGUUUUAGGAUCACUCAGAUUCAUGAAGAAACUAUCAAAACCCACUGAAAAUUAUACAGAACGAUCUCCUGUUCCCAACCUUAGUUGUCGCCACCGCCGAAGGUCUCCAUACCGCUGUCUCGGACCCUCGCCUCUCCCCUGUCUGAUGUUCUCGUCGGUGACAAUAGGAGUGGGGACCUGUUUUUGUUUUUUGUUUUUUAUUAGGUUUUGUUUCCAUGGCGGUGGUGGCGAUGAAGGCGAGUUAUUGACAAAAAAACUACCACUUUAGGACUUGUUCGGUUGCAAGAGUUUUGAAGAGGGUUGGGGAGGAUUAAAUCCCCUAUAAGUCAAAAUCCACCUCAAUCCCUCCAAACCUCUCCAUUCCUCUCCAAGAGAGGUUUAACUGAACAUAGCCUUAUGCUUCGUUUGACAUGAGAGGUUUUGGGGGGUAUCGAGUGGAUUUUCCACACGUGGCCCAGAACCCUCUACAAUCCUCCUUGGACCAUUUGGCAGACGAGGUUUCGCUGGCCCAAUCCAUCUGAUUCCCCCUCGAUCCGCCUCGACCCACGCGGGUCAGAAGGCACGAGGAGGCCCUCGUGGAAUUGGAGCCACGCGCGAGACCGAGCCUUCUCCUCGCGCCGCCGUCGGCAGCAGCCGUCCUCGCGGAGGGGAUGCGUGGCUGGAGGGGAUGUGUGGCUGGAGAAGGAUUUAAGCUUUCAAGGGGAUUGGGUGAAAGAGGGGGAUUUACCAAAUCCCCUAAAAUCCCCUCCUCCCUAAACCUCCACGAUCUCUUCCUGUCAAACAAAGCCUUAGGGGUUUGCGUCCCAGUGAACUACCACAUUUUAAAAAGUGACCGAAAACUACCAAUAUUUUUUUAUUUUGUGACAAAAACUAUCACUUUCAGAAAAUGAUCAGUUUAGAUGAUUUAAACACGUUUAUGACAUCCGGGACCCACCUGCCAGGGCUGACAUGGCGACAAAGUCAACUCCAUUUAAUUUGACUGUUAAGUUGACCAGUGGGGCCCGCAUGUCAGCAUCAACUUCUUCCUCCUCAUCCUCAUCCUCCUCUCUCUCUCUCUCUCUCUCUCUCUCUCUCUAUGUCUCUCUCUAAACUGUUAUUACCUUGUAUAACCACGACAAAAUACUAUCAUCCAAGGCAACAAGAUAUAGUCAUCAUGCAGGUUGCCCUAUUAUUAGCCAACGGCUAUAGGCAGCCAAUCUUUUCAAUGAACGCGCGUUGAUCCCAGCAAUCAAGUCUUGAGAUUCAUGUCACUACAUAGGAAGCCUAUCCCCCAAAAUCCAAUCAAACCCUUCCUAUGCACGUCUUCACCUUCGACUAUAUAAGAAGCCUGCCCCAUCUCCCUCCUGUCAUCUGCAAACACAACUUCCUACAUUCUCUCUUACUCCUUCAGAAGAAAAACUCCCGCAACAAUGGCGGUUUCGUCCAAGCUUUUCCCGGCCGCCGUCCUCCUCCUGCUUCUCCUCCUGGCCACAGGUAAUCGACUGCAUGUUCGUCCUGACGGGCUAGUAACUUCCAACCUAACCUGAGACUGAUCGUUCUUGAUGCGUGCAGAGAUGGGGCCUGUGCGGGAGGCCAUGGCGUGCGAGCACGCCCCGUGCAAGAAGUGCACCGGGUCGUGCUUCGACCCGGAGGAGUGCGCCAUCACGUGCCGGAACGAGGGCUACGACUCCGGCGACUGCACCGGCGGCGGAGCCUACCGUUGCACGUGCAGCAAGAAUUGCUAGCUAGCUAGUGCGUGAAGAACACACGAGUAGAAUAAAAAGGGGAUUAUAGUUCUGUGCUACUCUAGUUUGUUCUUUCCUUUUUGACCUUGGAUUUUGUUCGAAGGUUCACACGAAUGUGGCCGAAACUCAGUGGACUCCACUAGGGUCCAGUUCUGAGAUUAUUUUGUGUCGCAAGUUAUGUACUAAGAGAGAUUUCUCUCAAAAAAGAAUAUACAAAAAGAGAGUAACUGUUAGUCAAAGGUUUAUCCUUCAGAACGGGAGUACGGUGGGCUAUCAAAUUGACAUGCAAUGAGACGUACUCCCUCCGUUCCCAAAUAUAAGUCUUUGUAGAUAUUCUAACAAGUGACUAUAUACAGAGCAAAAUGAAUGAAUCUACACUCCAAAAUAUGUCUACAUACAUCUGUAUAUUGUAGUCUGUUUGAAAUGUCUAAAAAGAUUUAUAUUUACGAACGGAGGGAGUAGCCAAUUGUUGACUCUAUUAUUAGACAUGCUCUUUUAACUAACAUCCAAGACUUUGUUUGAAAGACUAAGGGCAUGUACAAUAGUUGAUAAGGUAGUCUUAUCUUAAGUUUUGCAUGUAAUUUAAAGAUGACAAUAUUUUGUCUACAAUGAGUCAUCUCUUAGCCUUAUCUUCAAUAACUAGUCAUUCCUAAAAACAUGGUGAGACAUAUUGUGCUAAAAGAUCAUCUCUUGUCUUCUCUUAAAUAAGAGAAGACAAGCCUUUUCUUAUGAGUUCUCUCUCCUCCACCUCAUCACUUAUCCUACGUGGCAAUGCUAAGAUAGCACCAUUGUACAUGCCCAAAACUGCUUAGCAGCGGUCGAAUAAGUGGGUAAUGUUGGGAUGAACCAAAAAAGUUUGGUAGAGCUGGAUCUAAGUGUUGGCUGGUAAACGUCCUGCAGUAAGUAAGAUGGGUAGUUAUAAACCCUGUCUUGAUUUGAGGAGGGAAAAUAGGGGUUGAGAUUCAUAUAAUCAUCGCCAAAAUCCAAUCCAAACAUAUCUUAACAUUUCAGAACUAUCCCAGUGGCGGUUUUCUCGGUCAUCCUUCUCCUGGCCACAUGUACGUUGUAAUUGAUUGUUUAUAUAUCCUAAUAAUAUUGGGUGCUUACCUGGCUUGAAUGCAUGCAUGGAUUAGACGUCUCCAACCACAAUGGUCAAAUUUGACCCUUUUCCCCAGAAACAUGUCCGAACCAUGUACAAUGUGUAGGCUCUAGACCCUCAUUUGUCCAUGUACACAACGAUAUCUCUCAAUUUAUUUCUAAAUUGUCCAAACACAUGCACAAGAUUGAUAGGGUGGUUUGCUCUCCAUUAGAUAGGAAAGACUAAAAAAGAUAGAAUGUGGUCAAAGAUGGGAGGUCUGAUGGACUAUCGGGGCACCCCUAUUUCUUCCACACUUAUGGUUGUGUUUGGGGAUUUGCGAAUGGGGAUUUGGGAACAACCAGGACAAAUGAGAGGAUUUGGAGGACUUGGUUGAAGAGGCCAUUCUUAUCCGCACAUUGUCCAGGCUGUUUAUUCGGAUAUAUAGAUAUAUGAGGACAAUUUGAGUGUCUAGUUGAAGAUGCUCUUACAUGAUGAUCAGUAAACAUAGGAUCUGACCAAAUAUAUUUCUUUGUCUAGCGUAGACUCAUUCAUACGUGCUAGAAAAUUCUUGGAGCUGCCAGUUACACUCAGAGUUGGCAGCUUGGGGCUGCCACUCCGUUCCCGUAUAUAAGGUGUGUUUAUUUUUUACUAAUGUGUAUUUCUUCUAAUCUCACAUAUUUUCGUUUCUAUCUAUCCACCCUCAUGUACGAAGCAACCUCACAAUCAAGCCCAAAAGAUGCUAGUAUCAUAUCAUGAUACCGUAGCUUAAUAAAAAAUAGUACUAUGAUGUGUCAUGCAAAACAAUAAAUAAAGUUAUCUAAGAUGCUAACACGUUAGAAUUUGCACUAGGAAGAUAAUAUUUAUACACUACGAGUAGGCUAACCGUACGUGUGUGCUACACAAAAUAAUUUGUUCCCGGCGGAAAGGCAUGCAACAUGCAUUUCUGUUUUUACAGAUAUAUACUUCUAAGGGACCCCGCAAAAAAAUACUUCUAAGGGAUUAUUCAAGGGUAUUUUUGUCUCAAACUCUGCUAGAUUGCGUGCCUUGCUGAAAAAAUACACCUGACAUAUGAAGGGGGUAGAAAGAAAAUUACUUCACGGUUUUCCCCGUGGGAUUUUAAAACUAACUCCGAUUAUGGGUAUCAUUGGCUUUAAAAAGAAAUCAAAAUUCAUUUAUCCACUAGUAAAAAAGGGGCUUUCGUUCGGGCCUGGCCAGCCCAUUAGUCCCGGUUCUGCCACGAACCAGGACCAAUGGAGGCAUUUGUCCCGGUUCGUGAGCCCAGGGGGCCGGCCGAGGCCUCGUGGGCAUUGGUCCCGGUUCGUCUGGGCCCAUUUGUCCCGGCUCUUGGCACGAACCGGGACCAAUGAGCCUCGCUCCUGGCCCACAACCAUUGGUCCCGGUUCGUGGCAGGAACCGGGACAAAAGGAUGGCCUUUAGUCCCGGCUCCAGCCACGAACCGGGACAAAUGAGUUGCCUAUAUAUACCCCAUUGCCGGCGAGCAGAGAACUCCACAGUGCUUUGUUUUUUGCUGGCCGGCGAGGAAGGGCAUUUGGGUGCUCUAGCUCACCUCUUAUGCAUGUGAGGUGUUCGAUGAAAUGCCCGAGCCACACUAGUUAAGCUUUCUCCUCUCGAAGCUCGACCUCCGAGAUCCAUUUUUUCCAAGAUUUGUCUAGGUUUAGCGGUCCGUCACGUCGCGUCCUCGUCUUCACCACCGUCGAUCGCCCGCGCCGACCUCGUCGCCGGCACCACCGUGGUGAGCCUCUUGUUCUUAUCUUCUUUCUGAAAGAAAAAAAUCUUACUUUAGAUAGAUACUUGUCUAAUUUUCUUACUUUUGACACACAUAAUUAUAUAUAAUGCACGCAGAUGAACCGGCAAUGGAUGUACGGUGACAGACACACCUCUGAGUACAUUAAGGGCGUGCAUAAUUUUCUCAAAGUGGCUGAGGCAAACAAGCAGAAUGGUUUUAUGUGUUGUCCAUGCCCUAAUUUGUGGGAAUACGAGGUCUUACUCUGACAAGAAAAUCCUUCACACCCACUUGCUUUAUACGGGUUUCAUGCCACACUAUAAUGUUUGGACGAAGCACGGAGAAAUAGGGGUUAUGAUGGAAGACAGCGAAGAAGAAGAGGACGAUGACAACUAUGUGCCCCCUGAAUACGGUGAUGCUGCAACGGGGAAAGCUGAAGACCGAGAGGAAGCUGAAGAUCCAGAGGAACCAGACGAUGUGCCCUAUGAUGAUCUCCGCCGGGUCAUUGUUGAUGCAAGGGAAAAGUGCGAAAGUGAAAAGGAGAAGCUGAAGUUCGAUCGCAUGUUAGAGGAUCACAAAAAAGGGUUGUACCCCAAUUGCGAAGAUGGCAACACAAACCUCGGUACCAUACUGGAAUUGCUGCAGUGGAAGGCAGAGAAUGCUGUGCCUGACAAAGGAUUUGAGAAGCUGCUGAAAAUAUUGAAGAAGAAGCUUCCAAAGGAUAACGAAUUGCCCGACAGUACGUACGCAGCAAAGAAGGUCGUAUGCCCUAUAGGAUUGGAGGUGGGGAAGAUACAUGCAUGCCCUAAUGACUGCAUCCUCUAACGCGGUGCGUACAAGGAUUUGAACGCAUGCCCGGUAUGCGGUGCAUUGCGGUAUAAGAUCAGACGAGAUGACCCUAGUGAUGUUUAGGGCGAGACCCGCAGGAAGAGGGUUCCUGCGAAGGUGAUGUGGUAUGCUCCUAUAAUAACACGGUUGAAACAACUGUUCAGAAAGAAAGAGCAUGCCAAGUUGAUGCGAUGGCACAGUGAGGACCAUAAGAAAGACGGGAAGUUGAGAGCACCCGCUGACGGGUCGCAGUGGAGAAAAAUCGAGAGAAAGUUCUGGGCUGAGUUUGCAAGUGACCCAAGGAACGUAUGGUUUGCUUUAAGCGCGGAUGGCAUUAAUCCUUUCCGGGAGCAGAGCAGCAAUCACAGCACCUGGCACGUGACUCUAUGUAUGUAUAACCUUCCUCCUUGGAUGUGCAUGAAGCGGAAGUUCAUUAUGAUGCCAAUUCUCAUCCAAGGCCCUAAGCAACCCGGCAACGACAUUGAUGUGUACCUAAGGCCAUUAGUUGAAGAACUCUUACAGCAGUGGAAUGGAACAGGUGUACGUGCGUGGGAUGAGCACAUGGGGGGAGAAUUUGACCUAAGGCGUUGCUAUUCGUGACCAUCAAUGAUUGGCCCGCUCUCAGUAACCUUUCAGGACAGACAAACAAGGGAUACCACGCAUGCACGCACUGUUUAGCUGACACCGAAAGUAUAUACCUGGACAGAUGCAAGAAGAAUGUGUACCUGGGCCAUCGUCGAUUUCUCCCGACCAACCAUCAAUGUCAAAAGAAAGGCAAGCAUUUCAAAGGCAAGGCAGAUCACCGGAAGAAGCCCGCCAUGCGUACCGGUGAUCACGUACUUGCUAUGGUCUCUAAUUUACACGUAAUAUUUGGAAAGGGUCCCGACGGACUAGCUGUUCCGAAUGACGCUGAGGGACGCACACCCAUGUGGAAGAAGAAAUCUAUAUUUUGGGACCUACCCUACUGGAAAGAGCUAGAGGUAUGCUCUUCAAUCGAUGUGAUGCACGUGACGAAAAACCUUUGCGUGAACCUGUUAGGCUUCUUGGGCGUGUAUGGGAAGACAAAAGAUACACCUGAGGCACGGGAGGACCUGCAACGUUUGCACGAAAAAGACGGCAUGCCUCCAAAGCAGUACGAAGGUCCUGCCAGCUACGCUCUUACCAAAGAAGAGAAGGAAAUCUUUUUUGAAUGCCUGCUCAGUAUGAAGGUCCCGACUGGCUUCUCGUCGAAUAUAAAGGGAAUAAUAAAUAUUCCAGAGAAAAAGUUCCAAAACCUAAAGUCUCAUGACUGCCACGUGAUUAUGACGCAACUGCUUCCGGUUGCAUUGAGGGGGCUUCUACCGGAAAACGUCCGAUUAGCCAUUGUGAAGCUAUGUGCAUUCCUCAAUGCAAUCUCUCAAAAGGUGAUCGAUCCAGAAAUCAUACCAAGGCUAAGGAGUGAUGUGGCGCAAUGUCUUGUCAGUUUCGAGCUGGUGUUCCCACCAUCCUUCUUCAAUAUCAUGACGCACGUCCUAGUUCAUCUAGUCGACGAGAUUGUCAAUCUUGGCCCCGUAUUUCUACACAAUAUGUUCCCCUUUGAGAGGUUCAUGGGAGUCCUAAAGAAAUAUGUCUGUAACCAUGCUAGGCCGGAAGGAAGCAUCUCCAUGGGCCAUCAAACAGAGGAUGUCAUUGGGUUUUGUGUUGACUUCAUUCCUGGCCUUAAGAAGAUAGGUCUCCCUAAAUCGCGGUAUGAUGGGAGACUGACUAGAAAAGACACGCUAGGAGCGGACUCAAUAAUAUGCAGGGACGGGCAUUCUUCGUCUCAAGCACACUACACAGUUCUACAGAACUCUACCUUGGUGACCCCGUAUGUCGAUGAACACAAAAACAGUCUGCGCUCCAAACACCCGGAGCUGUGUGACGACUGGAUUACAUGUGAACAUAUCAGGACUUUCAGCAGUUGGUUGGAAACACGUCUCAGAGGUGACACCACUGUUUGUGAUGAGCUGUACUCGCUGUCCAGGGGACCAUCUUCGACUGUAUUGACUUACAAAGGAUACGAGAUAAAUGGGAAUACAUUUUACACGAUCGCCCAAGAUCAAAAGAGCACCAACAAAACAGCGGUGUCCGCUCUGAUGCAGCAACCGAGAGGGGAAAGGACACAUAUUAUGGUUACAUAAUGGACAUAUGGGAACUUGACUACGGACAUGAUUUUAAGGUCCCUUUGUUUAAGUGCAAAUGGGUCAAUCUGUCAGGAGGCGGGGUACAGGUAGACCCACAGUACAGAAUGACAACAGUGGUUCUGAACAAUCUUGGGUACACUGACGAACCGUUCGUCCUAGCCAAUGAUGUGGCACAGGUUAUCUAUGUGAAGGACAUGUCUACCAAACCGAGAAAAAGAAAAGAUAAGCAAGCGAAUACAUCAUACAAUGAGCCAAAGCGCCACAUAGUUCUUUCAGGAAAAAGGGACAUUGUGGGAGUGGAGGGCAAGACAGACAUGUGAAGAUUAUGAAAAGUUUCAUGAAAUUCCUCCCUUCAAAGUCAAAGCAAAGCACACAAGCGAAAAAAGUGAAGACUUUCUCUCCACAACUAUUAUGAUGAUACCAUGCCAACUUUCAACCUUUUCGUAGUUCAUUUGAAAUGUCUAUUGUAACAGACGAGUUUCCGUAUGAAAUCCUGAUACUUUGAAACAGAUUGUCCGUUUUGUACACGAAGUGCAUCCAGUUUUUGCCGUAACCCUCUCUAAUUUUUUGCACAUGCUAUGUGGGUGAAAUGAUGAUACCAUGCCAACUUUCAACCUUUUCAGAGUUCAUUUGUAGUGCUUUUCAAUUUCAUGGUCUUAUAGCUCAAAAUAAUCAGUAAAUGCAUGGAAAAUAACAAAUGAAGUCAGAAAUGGUUGAAAAUUGAUGAUGUGGCUUUGAAUGGUGCAUUUUGAACACAGAAAAACUAUGGAGUUCAAAUAAGUUCUAAAAAAUGAAAUCCCUUUGUAACAGACGAGUUUCCGUAUGAAACCUUGAUACUUCGAAAGAGAUUGUCCGUUUUGUACACGAAGUGCAUCCAGUUUUUGUCGUAACCCUCUCUACUUUCUUGCACAUGCUAUGUGGGUGAAAUGAUGAUACCAUGCCAACUUUCAACCUUUUCAGAGUUCAUUUGUAGUGUUUUUUAAUUUCAGGGUCUUAUAGCUCAAAAUAAUCAGUAAAUGCAUGGAAAAUAACAAAUAUCAUAAAAAAGUAAUUAGAAAUGGAAUAAAAUAAACUUUAAUAAAAUAUAUAAGUAGAAACAAAAUAAAAUAAACUUUAAUAACAUAAAUAAAAUUUAUGAAACUAAAAUUAUCAACAUAUUUUCUGUUCAAAACAUUAUAAGCAACCUCUAGUAUUACUGAAACUAAAAUUAUAUAAAAUUGAUGCAACUAAAAUUAUCAAAGUUUUUUCUGUUCAAAAUCAUUAAAAGCAAAAAGAAUUUUCAUAAAGAACUUUUUUGUUAGAAACUUUAAUAGCAAAAAGAAUUAUCAUAAAAUAAAAUAAAUAAGUAAUUAGAAACAAAAUAAAAUAAAAUAAAUAAGUAUUUUGUUGUAAGUAGAAACAAAAUAAAAUAAAUAAAGCAAAAAAUAAAAAAAUAAACUGGGAAAAAAUAAAAAAAGCCACCUACUAGGCCACCACGGCCUGAAUACGACUAGAAACCCACCCAUGGGCCAGGAUUCAGGCCCGUAGAAGGCCCAAUAGGCCCACAGGCAGAUACAGUGUGUUUAGACCCGAAAGCCUGCAUUUGAGAGGAGCUCGAGAGGGCAGCGGGAGUGGGGCUUAUAAACCACUCUCGAGCUCCCUCAGCUAGCGAGGUGGGACUAAACUUUCGUGCCACGAUGCGGGCAGCACAAGGCCUUUAGUCCCGGUUGGUGCCACCAACCGGUACUAAAGGCAUACAUUGGUACCGGUUCAUGCCAACAACCGGUACCAAUGCGCACCCUUUAGUCCCGGUUUGUGCCACCAACCGGGACCAAAGGCCUCUGCUUCCCGCCCUUUGGACUGCUGAAAAGCGACCUUUGGUCCCGGUUGGUGGCUCCAACCGGAACUAAAGGGGUGCUUUGGUCCCGGUUACUGCCACGAACCGGGACCAAAGGUCUGUCUAUAUAAGCCACACUUGUGAAAUUUUCGGUUCAGUUCUUCUUCCCACUGCCCCGACGCCGUCGCCGCGUGCUCCUCUGCCCCGACGCCAUCGCUACGCGCGCCCCUGCCCCGACGCCGUCGCCGUGCCGCCNNNNNNNNNNNNNNNNNNNNNNNNNNNNNNNNNNNNNNNNNNNNNNNNNNNNNNNNNNNNNNNNNNNNNNNNNNNNNNNNNNNNNNNNNNNNNNNNNNNNNNNNNNNNNNNNNNNNNNNNNNNNNNNNNNNNNNNNNNNNNNNNNNNNNNNNNNNNNNNNNNNNNNNNNNNNNNNNNNNNNNNNNNNNNNNNNNNNNNNNNNNNNNNNNNNNNNNNNNNNNNNNNNNNNNNNNNNNNNNNNNNNNNNNNNNNNNNNNNNNNNNNNNNNNNNNNNNNNNNNNNNNNNNNNNNNNNNNNNNNNNNNNNNNNNNNNNNNNNNNNNNNNNNNNNNNNNNNNNNNNNNNNNNNNNNNNNNNNNNNNNNNNNNNNNNNNNNNNNNNNNNNNNNNNNNNNNNNNNNNNNNNNNNNNNNNNNNNNNNNNNNNNNNNNNNNNNNNNNNNNNNNNNNNNNNNNNNNNNNNNNNNNNNNNNNNNNNNNNNNNNNNNNNNNNNNNNNNNNNNNNNNNNNNNNNNNNNNNNNNNNNNNNNNNNNNNNNNNNNNNNNNNNNNNNNNNNNNNNNNNNNNNNNNNNNNNNNNNNNNNNNNNNNNNNNNNNNNNNNNNNNNNNNNNNNNNNNNNNNNNNNNNNNNNNNNNNNNNNNNNNNNNNNNNNNNNNNNNNNNNNNNNNNNNNNNNNNNNNNNNNNNNNNNNNNNNNNNNNNNNNNNNNNNNNNNNNNNNNNNNNNNNNNNNNNNNNNNNNNNNNNNNGGGGGGGGGGGCGAUAAAUAAUAGAACUAGUUAAACAAGUUUAUUUUUAGUAAGUACUACUUUAUUUUCUUUAUAGUAAGUGCUUAGUAGUUGAACUAGUUGAUUUAAUAAAACUACUUUAUUUCACUAUAUAUAGAACUAGUUUAUUUUUAGUAAGUACUACUUUAUUUUAUUUAUAGUAAGUGCUUAAUUAGUAGUUGAACUAGUUGAUUUAAUAAAACUACUUUAUUUUACUAUAGAAGUAGUUUAUUUUUAGCGAGAAAAUUAAUAGAACUAGUUUUUUUUAGUUCAAGCAAUUAUUCCCGCAUCGACGUUGACGAUGCCUAUCCCGCAUCCUCAUCGUCGACUCGGCGGAGGAGGCCGGCUUGAUCAGAGGGGCCAUCUCCGGGACUGGGCUCCGCCGGGCUGGUAUUGGGAGGUGCUACCUUCCGAGGGGCGUAGGUUGGUGAGGAGCCAGCCCGUCGUUGACCCGGUCCUUGUUUGGUGGCGGUCGUGUGGGCCAGUGACGGUGCCUAGGCUUCCGGACACCGCGGAGGUGGUGAUGAGGACAUGUACCUAGGGUAGGGUCACAUGCCUGACCUAAAUACCUUCCCCAAGGACAUCACUCUAAAGCCAGAAGCAUUCGAGGGGUACCAUCACCCACUCGACCAGAAACAUUUCCACUCGGAGGAAUCAAGAUCACUCGACCGUAACAAGAAACACUCGACGGACAGAAGACCUAAAGCCACUCUACACAGCAACGGUCGAGCAUUAACUCCUAGACUUAAUAGCCAUUUAUAACACUUUAUUACGGACGUUACCAGUAACGCCCCCCUCUUGAUGUACCUUAAAUCCCUUGUAACGUGGGCUGGCCGGGGUGCUGGCGCACUCUAUAUAAGCCACCCCCCUCCACAUGCACAAGGGUUCGCACCCCCUGUAACACACACGCAUAUAAUCCAGUCGACCGCCUCCGGGCUCCGAGACGUAGGGCUGUUACUUCCUACGAGAAGGGCAUGAACUCGUAAAACUCGUGCGUACAACUUCUCCAUAGCUAGGAUCUUGCCUCUACAUCCCUACCCCCCCCCCCAUUCUACUGUCAGACUUAGAACCACGACAGUUGGCGCCCACCGUGGGGCAGGUGUCUUAGCGACUUGUUGGAGAAGUUGCAAUUUUUUCGAUCCCCAUCAGCAUGGUUUCAGGCAGAGGAUUGGCCGAGGACUGCGAGAUCCGUCUCGGCGCGCUCGUGUUCGUCGCCGACGACUCCGCUUGGCUCCAAGAAGCUCCACUCGACGUCGAGGCGCUCCCCGUCCGCGGGGCAACGCACUUUCGCGCGUGCGUCCGCGGCGUCCUCUUGCGGCAGCCGUCGACCCAGUAUCGGUCGGCUCCGGUGGCGUCUCCACUCCCUGCUGCCCGCCGGCGCAAGCGUUCCGGUCGGUCGAGGCUCCAGCAGUGGGUGAGGCACGCGGUGGCUCGCCACUCGGCCACCCCCCAAGUCGUGGCAAUCGAGCCCGACGAAACUCUCUACAGCCUGUUCGACCUAUCGACUGGCUCCGUUGAGACCGCAUCCGAGUGCGACAACAGUGACCCCGCGACGGAAGUCCUGAUGGUCAACGGACCGCGCAGUCCUCCUGGCUUCCCCCGCGACGACGGUGGUGAUGGCGGAGGCGAUCCGUCGCGUGUCCACGAGGAGUACCGCCCUGAGCCCCUCUCUUCGCAGCAGAGGGAAGAGCUUCGCCGCCGUAACAUGGAUGCACUUCACACUCCUAUCGUUGGAGAAACCCCCGAGGCCCGGGCCUUGGAGGAGGUGCGCCUGGCCAACUUGGCUGAGCACACUCGACUGGAGAAUCUCCAGCACGCACUCGACGAGCGUGCUCGGCAGCGAGUUCCUGAAUCCAGUCGACGACAACUUUUUCCGCCUCCAACCCAGGUAUAUCGAACUCCGAUCCAGAAUCUCACAGCUGCUGCCCGAAUAGCAGAGUCGAUUCAGCCUUCCCAGUCGGAGGCUGGUAGGGGUUUGAUGCAGAUCCAGGCUUUGCUCCGGGCGGCGGGGGAGCAGAACACAGCAGUGUCAUAGUCUCGGAAUAGGAUUCAUAGUAGAUCUGUAAUGGCAGACACAGCUCAGUCGGCUCACAGCCCGAGAUCACCUCCAAGGCGCGAGGGACGUGGAGAUCGACAGGAUCAGUACAGAAACCGUGAGCAGUAUGAUCGUCGUCGAGUACCCACGCCUCCCCCAAGGAGUGGGUCAUACGCGCCUCGGCAACACGAUGACAGGCGCCCUCACAGUGGUGGGCGAAGGAUUCCAGUCGACCCCCGGGAGCCGGGCUUUGACGCGAGAUCCAUUCUCGUUCAAGGUCUGGUUGAUAGAACAGAGCACACAGAGAUGGCCACGAUAGAGAUUACCUGACCGGCAGCAGGGUGCAUGUUUUAGGUCCCGAGUGUUUCAGCAGAGCCAUCAGAACAGCAGUGAUUCCUCCCAACUUCAGGUUGGCGACUGGAGUCAGCAAGUUCACUGGUGAGUCCAAGCCUGACACUUGGCUUGAGGACUACCGAGUGGCUGUGCAGAUUAGUGGUGGUAAUGAUGAAGUGGCCAUGAAGCACCUUCCUCUGAUGUUAGAGGGCUCGACCAAAGCGUGGUUGAAUCAGUUAGCACCUAGCAGUAUUUAUAGCUGGGAAGAGCUUGCCCGAGUGUUUGUCAGAACAUUUGAAGGUACAUGCAAACGGCCAGCAGGGCUAACAGAGCUACAGUCCUGUGUGCAGAAGUCGAAUGAAACUUUGAGAGAUUAUAUCCAGAUAUGGAUCCCGUUGCACCACACGGUGGAGAAUGUGUCUGAUCACCAAGCAGUUUGUGCCUUCAAGGAAGGCGUCAAGUAUAGAGAAUUGAAUCUGAAGUUCGAUCGGACCGGAGAUAUGUCUCUGAGUCGAAUGAUGGAAAUUGCCACCAAGUAUGCUAAUGGUGAAGAGGAGGAUCGGCUCCGGAAUGGCAAGCACAAAACAGUCGCCCACGAACCGGGGGAGGGAACUCCAGUCGGAAGCAGAAGCGUAAAGCCGAGCCAGCUGCUCCCGGAGAAGCCUUAGCCGUGACUCAAGGAAAGUUCAAGGGGAAGCCCAAAGGGCCAUGGAACCCCAAGAAAGUAAAAGAUCAAGAUGGAAAUGAUGUGUUGGAUUUACCAUGCCACAUUCACACCAAAAAGGAUGAGGAGGGUAAUCUCAUUUAUCCGAAACAUACCACUCGACAAUGUCGGCUCCUAAUCCAGCAGUUCCGAGAGAAACAGCCCAAAGAAAAGGAGAAAGAAUCGGACAAAGUUGAGGAUAAGGAAGAGGACGAUGAUGGUUACCCCCACGUCAAUUCCACUCUGAUGAUUUUUGCUGAUGUUGAGAGCAAGAGUUGACUGAAAGUCAUCAACAGAGAAGUGAACAUGGUCGCUCUGGCGACGCCCAGUUAUUUGAAGUGGUCUCAGACUACCAUUACAUUCGACCAGUCUGAUCACCCGACACACAUAGCCACCCCUGGGAGGCAAGCGUUGGUGGUCGACCCAGUCGCCGAAGGCACUCGGUUGACUAAGGUUCUGAUGGAUGGUGGCAGUGGCCUGAAUAUACUGUAUGCGGAGACCUUGAAAGGAAUGGGCAUUCCGAUUUCCAGACUCAGUGAAAGCAAUAUGAGUUCCCAUGGGGUUAUUCCUGGCAAGAAGGCUGAGUCACUCGGCCAGAUCGCCCUCGAUGUGGUUUUCGGUGAUUCCAAGAAUUACCGCAAAGAAAAGUUGACGUUUGAAGUCGUCGAUUUCUAGAGUGCUUAUCAUGCUAUUCUGGGCAGGCCGGCUUAUGCACAUUUCAUGGCUCGACCAUGUUACGUUUGCCUCAAAUUGAAGAUGCCUGGUCCUAAAGGAGUGAUCACUAUCACUGGCAAUCGGAAGAAGGCAGAAGAGUGCUUCCAGAAGGGCUCAAAGAUCGCCGAUGCGCAAAUGGCAGUAGUGGAAUUGCAGGAGUACCCAAAAAAUGCAGAUCCAAGUGAUUUGUUGCGAGCUAAGAAGCCUGCCACGGAUUGAGCAUUUCAGUCGUCUGGUGAAACGAAGCCGAUUCAUAUUCACCCGACCGAUGCCAAUGCUGCUCCGAGUCACAUUUCGAAAACACUCGACUCCAAAUAGGAAGAAGCGCUCAUCCAAUUCCUCCGUGAGAACUGGGACAUCUUUGCAUGGAAACCUUCUGACAUGCCGGGUGUUCCCAGGGGGCUGGCUGAGCACCGUUUGCGAGUCGACCCAAAAGUGAAACCAGUCAAAGAACAUCUUCGACGGUCCGCCGUACAGAAGAGAAAAGCAAUCGGUGAAGAAGUGGCUCGGCUCCUAGCAGCUGAGUUUAUCCGAGAGAUUUACCACUUCGAGUGGCUAGCCAAUGUUGUCAUGGUCCCCAAGAAGGACGACUCACUUCGCAUGUGCAUUGACUUCAAGCAUAUCAAUCGGGCCUGCCCGAAAGAUCACUUUCCUCUCCCCGCAUCGAUCAAAUAGUUGACUCGACUGCAGGGUGUGAGCGCUUGUCCUUUUUGGAAGCUUAUUCCGGGUAUCAUCAGAUCCGACUGUAUGGACCCUAUGAGAUAAAAACAGCUUUCAUCACUCCUUUUGGGUGCUUCUGUUAUGUUACCAUGCCAUUCGGCCUGAAGAAUGCUGGAGCCACAUUCAUGAGGAUGAUUCAGAAGUGUUUACUCACUCAAAUCAGUCGGAAUGUGGAAGCAUACAUGGAUGACAUUGUGGUCAAGUCACGUAAAGGUUCCGACCUGUUGGCUAACCUUGCUGAAACUUUUGCCAACCUCAGAAGGUGCGAUAUCAAGCUUAAUCCAUCAAAGUGCACAUUCGGAGUUCCGGGCAGAAAAUUACUCGGAUUCCUCGUUUCCGAACGGGGGAUCGACGCUAACCCAGAGAAAGUUGGUGCCAUUCUCCGAAUGAAACGCCCUGUGCGUGUGCACGAUGUCCAGAAGCUUACAGGUUGUUUGGCCGCCUUAAGUCGAUUCAUUUCUCGCCUCGGUGAAAAGGCAUUGCCUCUUUACCGACUGAUGAAGAAGUCUGAUAAGUUCGAGUGGACUCCUGAAGCUGAUGCAGCAUUUGCAGAGCUCAAAGCCCUGCCUUCCACCCAGCCGGUGCUUGCUGCCCCAAUCAGCAAAGAGCCUUUACUGCUUUACAUUGCAGCCACUGAACAAGUCAUCAGUACAGUACUUACGGUCGAGUGGGAAGAAGAAGGAAAAGCCUGUAAAGUUCAGCGCCCAGUAUACUAUGUUUCUGAAGUUUUGACUCCGUCAAAGCAAAGAUAUCCACAUUAUCAGAAGCUUGUUUAUGGGAUUUAUAUGACCACGAAGAAGGUUGCACAUUAUUUCUCUGACCACUCCAUUACAGUCGUCAGCAGCGCUCCAUUAUCAGAGAUUCUGAACAACAGAGAUGCAACCGGUCGAGUGGCAAAGUGGGCGAUUGAACUCCUUCCCUUGGAUAUUAAGUUUGAGGCAAAGAAAGCUAUCAAGUCCCAAGCAAUAGCAGAUUUCCUCGCCAAGUGGAUCGAACAGCAACUGCCGACUCAAGUCCACUCGGAGCACUGGACCAUGUUCUUUGAUGGUUCCAAGAUGCUGAAUGGUUCCGGUGUUGGGGUGGUACUAGUAUUCCCCCGAGGAGACAAGCUCAGAUAUGUUCUCCAGAUUCACUUUGAUUCCUCCAAUAACGAAGCGGAAUAUGAAGCACUCUUAUAUGGGUUACGUAUGGCCAUCUCGCUCGGCGUCCGUCGCCUCAUGGUCUACGGUGACUCAGAUUUGGUAGUCAAUCAAGUGAUGAAGGAGUGGGAUGUCAGAAGCCCAGCUAUGACUGGUUACUGCAAUGCGGUGAGGAAGUUGGAAAAGAAGUUUGAGGAGUUAGAGCUCCAUCAUAUACCCCGACUGAAAAAUCAAGCAGCCGAUGAUUUGGCAAAGAUAGGCUCCAAGAGGGAAGCCAUUCCCAGCAACGUGUUUUUGGAACACAUUCAUACACCUUCAGUUCAAGAAGAUCCUUUCACUGAAGAGCCCCCGCAGCCUAAGAGUGCCACAGAUCCGACUGAAGUCGAAGUCCCAGCCGUGGUCAACCUAAUCACGGAGGUUUUGGUCAUCACUCCCGACUGGACAGUGCCAUACAUUGCGUAUAUCCUUAGGAAGGAACUCCCAGAGGAUGAAGAAGAGGCUCGACAGAUCGUCCGUGGAUCCAAAGCUUUUACUGUGAUAAGAGGACAACUGUUCAGGGAAAGCGUAACCGGAGUCAGCCAGAAAUGCAUAACACCAGAAGAAGGUCGAGUGAUCCUCGACGACAUCCACUCGGGGACCUGUGGUCACCAUGCGUCCUCUCGGACCAUUGUGGCCAAAGCAUACCGAGCUGGAUUUUAUUUGCCACGAGCAAAUGAAAUGGCGAAAGAUAUAGUCGACAAAUGUGAAGGCUGCCAGUUUUACUCCAAUAUGUCCCACAAGCCUGCGUCAGCCCUGAAGACCAUUCCACUCGUCUGGCCCUUUGCUAUUUGGGGAUUGGAUAUGGUUGGACCCCUGAGGACUGCUAGGAGCGGCUUCACUCAUGUGCUUGUAGCAGCCAACAAGUUUACCAAAUGGAUUGAAGCCAAGCCUAUCAAGAAUCUUGAAGCCAGUACUGCCGUCAGCUUCAUCAGAGAAUUGACAUUCAGAUAUGGAGUUCUGCACAACAUCAUCACUGACAACGGGUCAAACUUCGAUUCUGAUGAGUUCAGAGCCUUCUGUGCUUCCCAAGGCACACGAGUCGACUAUGCUUCAGUCGCCCACCCCCAGUCGAAUGGACAAGCAGAAAGAGCAAAUGGCUUGAUUCUCAAAGGACUGAAACCCCGACUGAUGCGUGAUCUCAAGCACGCAGCAGGCGCCUGGGUCGAUGAACUUCCAUCAGUUCUUUGGGGAUUGAGGACAACUCCCAAUCGGUCGACUGGCCGAACUCCAUUCUUCUUGGUUUAUGGAGCUGAAGUUGUUCUACCGAGUGACUUGCUUCACAAUGCACCCCGAGUCGAGCUCUUCUCUUAAGAUGAAGCAGAAUAGGCCCGGCAGGACGCAGUCGAUCUCCUAGAGGAGGAAAGAGAGAUGGCCUUAAUCCGGUCGACCAUUUAUCAGCAAGACUUGCGUCGAUUCCACGCCAGAAACGUGAGGGGCCGAGCCUUUCAAGAGGGAGACUUGGUUCUUCGAGUGGAUCAGCAGAAACCACACAAGCUCGCCCCUGCUUGGGAAGGUCCCUUCAUUGUCACCAGAGUUCUCCACAAUGGAGCAUACCAUCUUUACAAUGUGAAGCAUCAGAGAGACGAGCCACGGGCUUGGAACGCGGAGCUGCUCCGCCCCUUUUAUACUUAAGUACUCAUUCGGAUGAGAUGUAAUAAGAAAUACCUUUGUAGUUUGUUUAUCAAAGACAAGAGCUUUACAGUCUUCCUAAAUGGUUGUUGUUGCUUUUGUUUGUGUCUGAAAUCCCCCAGUGGGUAACUUUGCCGCGAAUCUGUUUCGCCUAAAGUUUGAAAAAUCCUACCGAGUGAUGAGCAAGCCUCUCACUCGGGGGCUUAGCCGUGAAUCUGUUUCGCCUAAGUUUGAAAAAACCUACCGAGUGAUGAGAAAGCCUCUCACUCGGGGGCUUAGCCGCGAAUCCGUUUCGCCUAAGUUUGUAAAAUCCUACCGAGUGGUGAGCAACCAUCCCACUCGGGGGCUUAGCUGCAGUCCAGUACUCGCCUAAGUUUGAAAAAUCCUACCGAGUGGUGAGCAACCCUCCCACUCGGGGGCUUAGCUGCAGUCCAGUACUCGCCUAAGUUUGUAAAAUCCUACCGAGUGGUGAGCAACCCUCCCACUCGGGGGCUUAGCUGCAGUCCAGUACUCGCCUAANNNNNNNNNNAGUCCAGUACUUGCCUAAGUUUGAAAAAUCCUACCGAGUGGUGAGCAACCCUCCCACUCGGGGGCUUAGCUGCAGUCCAGUACUCGCCUAAGUUUGAAAAAUCCUACCGAGUGGUGAGAAACCCUCCCACUCGGGGGCUUAGCUGCAGUCCAGUACUCGCCUAAGUUUGAAAAAUCCUACCGAGUGGUGAGCAACCCUCCCACUCGGGGGCUUAGCUGCAGUCCAGUACUCGCCUAAGUUUGAAAAAUCCUACCGAGUGGUGAGCAACCCUCCCACUCGGGGGCUUAGCUGCAGUCCAGUACUCGCCUAAGUUUGAAAAAUCCUAUCGAGUGGUGAGCAACCCUCCCACUCGGGGGCUUAGCUGCGGUCCAGUGCUCGCCUAAGUUUGAAAAAUCCUAUCGAGUGGUGAGCAACCCUCCCACUCGGGGGCUUAGCUGCAGUCUAGUACUUGCCUAAGUUCGAAGUCCAUCCCUAUCCGCAAGGACGACGAGGUGCAGGUCGACUGCAACUUUCUCCUUCGGAGCUGCGCCACAAGUACAACAUGCGCUCCACCCCUAUCCGCAAGGACGACGAGGUGCAGGUCGACUGCAACUUUCUCCUUCGGAGCUGCGCCACAAGUACAACAUGUGCUCCACCCUUAUCCGCAAGGACGACGAGGUGCAGGUCGACUGGAGCAUCAACCUCAGAGCUACAUCUGAAGCACAAAGAUUAUUCCGUGUGAAGAACAAAUUCCACUCGAAGACAAAUACAAGCAUAUUCAGAGAUAAAUCAAGUUCAGAUAAAUUCUAAAGUUCAAGACCACGGAUCAAAGUACUCGGGCGUUCAGCCCGAAGGAGUUUAACGGUUACAAAAUCACUCGGCAUUCCGAGGCAAAUUUAAGGCAGAGCAUAAAAGUUUGUUCACUCCGCAGGAGGAGGGCUGGCAGGCUCGACGAAUUCGUCCAGGUCGAUCCCGUCAGCAAUCCGAGUGGCGGCAGCAAUGAAAGUCUCCAUGAAGGACUGGAAGUCGUGCCUCUUGGUGUUAGCAACUUUAAUCGCCACUAGCUUCUCUUCCCGAGCUUCUCGACAGUGGACGUGAACCAGAGAUAGUACCACAUCAGCGCUGCACCGGGCAGAAGACUUCUUCCAUUCUUGAAUUCGACUGGGAGCUUCAUUGAGCCGAGCCAUCAUAGACUCGAGGUCAUUCUGAAGUGUUGCCAUGGGCCAGAGAGCUGCGUCAAUCCGCGACAUCGCGACUUUCAGUCGGGCGAGAUAAUCGACAACACCAGUGAUGCGGGAUUUCAGUCGGAGCACGUUCAUGGCAGCUUCAUCCUUCACUGGAGAGUUGAUGGGGUCCAAGCUUGGUUCAAUUCGCCCGGUCUCUUCCUCGAAGUCCUGGCAAAACUCUGCAUACACAAUUCAAGGGUAAGCCAAUGAUCAUAUGUCGAGUCGACAAGAACAAACCAGUCGGAUCAAAGGAAACACCUUCAAGCAUGACGAACAACUUCUUAGCAAGGCUUCCCAGAUAAUUCUCUAGAUCGUUCCUCCUGCGGGCAAUACCUUCCAUCUUCUCGUUCAGAUUUUCCUUGUCCUUUUUCAGGCGAGUCACUUCCUUAUUGGCUUCAUCAAGGGCAGUUUUCAGCCUGGAGUUUUCUUCCUCCAACUUGCCGACUGAAGCCAACUUCUGUUCAGCGAGCGCGGUUUUCUCAUCAGCUUUUUUCUGCGCGGCCGCCAGAUCUUGAUCCGUUUUCGCCAGAGCUUGGUUCAGUUUCUCUGAAAGAAAUAAUGUUGGAUUCAGAAAAAGCAGAAUGAAAUCCGGUUCAGGGGAAACUUAGUCGACAGGUCUUCCUUACCAGCGGCGUCAUCCUUGGCUUUCUGCAGUUCUGUCUUGGCCAGCUCCAGAUCGAGGUUGAGCUGAAUCUGCUGCUUCUCCAGGUCAGCAAAACGAGCUCCAAGAUCACAAGAUUUCUGCAACCAAAGAACAGGUCAGUCGACUGGUGAAAAGAUUGGUUAUUUCGGAGAGGUAAAAGGAUAAAGCCAACAAAUUCUAAGACUACUGCCGAAUCGAACAUCCAACAGUAGUCUCGGGUACUACACCCAGUGGGUGCACUUAGCGUGGCCCCACUGGUUCAGUUUACACUCGACAAGGCCUGUCCAGCACGAGUGCAAAAAACAGAGUCUUCACACCAUAGUCGACUGCCAGCAGUCGACCACGGUCUCGAGGACUACACCCAGUGGGUGCACUCAGCGUGCCCCCACUGGUUCAAAGUUCCACUCGACAUGGCCCGACCAGACCGAGUGAAGAAAUUCAAAUUCUGAUGCUCAGACCAUAGUCGACUGCCCGCAGUCAAUUAUGGUCUCGGGGACUACACCCAGUGGGUGCACUCAGCGUGCCCCCACUGGUCAAAAGAUUCAAUCGACAACAACAUUAUCAGCUCAAAGUGCGAAUCUGUUCAGUGACAAAUCAAAACACCCAGUGGGUGUACAGAUGCAAGGCGCAGACAGAUGCAAAGAUUCUUGGAAAGAAAGUUUUCAGGUACCAUAUCCUAACAGAACAAGCCAAAGGAGUCAGUCGACGAUCUACUAACCUGGACGUUGCUCUGGAGAGCGGAGCUGGCAUCAUAAGCAGCUUGGCUGGCUUCCCGCACCAUCUUCAUCUUCUCCAUCAUAAUGCCCGCCUGGCGUAUAGCCUCUUUUGCAGCACCCACUUGGUCCUCUGGGACGUGAUGUGUAGCAAAAAGUGAAGGUGGAUCGGUGGGAGUCUGUGCAGCUGACGAGGAAGGCCGAGCACUCGACAACGGUAUGGCGAAGGAGACGGAAGUCCGAUUGGCAUCGCCAGCAUCCUGAAUUACCGGUUCCGCCAUCGGUGUCGAUUGAAGCGUCUUGCCAGCGGACGUUUUCCUAUUUCUUCUCCCCAAGGGCCUCUGUGGCUCGUCCUCGUCGUCGUCGGGGAGGUCAAUGAUGUUGAGGGCUGUAAAAAGAUCAGUCGCCAAAGUUUCAUCACCCGAUUGGAUAUAUCGCAGUUCAAUCGACAAAUCGAAGAUAAAAUCACGAGGAUUGUACCCGGAUUGGAGGUCGCCGCAUCUUCCAUUUCCUCAUCCUCGUUCUUAUAAGCAGAGGUCCUAGAGGUAGCCGCACUGCCAGUUUCAAGAUUCAUUCGGUCAAACCAAGGGAAAAAUAAACAGCACAGAACGUCGAGUAAAAGCGAAAGAAGAACACUCACACAGAAGCAACGGGAACGUCUGUCGGAGUAAAUGGCCACGGGUAGCCUAACCGACUGCCCCUGGCUCUUCCAAAAAAUUAUCAGGCCUUUGGGCCUUCAAGCACUGGACCGCCUCCCCUGGCUGGCUACCUCUGAAGCCGACUCAUGGAAGGCGGCCCGGCCUGAGCAACCUCCCCCCAGGACAACCACAGGGUGGCCGACUCCAGGAAGCCGGCCUCGAAGAGCACCGACUCCAAGAGGCCGGCCAAGACCGCAACCACCAAAGCUACGCCACAUAACGGCGACAAGACGGGGUGUGGCCACAGCAUGGCCCACUACCCCCGAAAUCCGAGGCAGGCAUGGCCACAGGACGCCGUACGGGACGGCCAUCUCCCGUCCGGCUCGGCACUGUAGCCAUGCCAGCCUCGACGUCACCCACGGACGACGCCAGUACGGCCCACGGGCGGUGGGUCCCUUCGGCCAGAGAGAGGCGCGGAGGCGGCUCGGCCUCCCCCAGUCGGCCAAGGGCGUAGCCGGCCCCCAGAAGUCGGCUACCCCCUCCCUCGAAGCAUGCGCCACAUUAAGGAGACAAGACGAGGUAAGGCUACAGUGAGGGCCCUCGAGGCGGCUCACUGUAGCCACGAUUACCUCAACGAAGCCCUCGUCAUCAGGGGCGAGGCUACAGUAAGCAGCCGCCGACAAGAUCCUAGGCGGUGGGGCCGGCCUGUCGACCAAGAGGUAGGCAGCCGGCGGGACCCACUAGUCGGCGGGCCCCAACAGCCGGCGGAGAAGCCGGCGAGCGUAGACACUGACGGCUGGGACCAGAGCCCAGCCGGAUUACAAUUGUACCCCCGGGGGGUGGGCCUAUAUAAACCCCCCGGGGCACCCAUGCAAAGGGUUGGCUUCUGAGCAUAGCACACACACCAUAGAGAGAGAGAAGCAAGAGCUAGCCUUGUUCUUCUUCUCCCUUGAACCCAACAGCUCUAGGAGCGAUUGUAGCUACCUUUUCCUGAUCUAGUGAUCAUGCGGAGACCCCGCAGAGCAGGACUAGGGGUGUUAUCUCCUCGGAGAGCCCCGAACCUGGGUAAGAUCCACCGGCGUGCAUGUCUUCGCCUCAUCCCGUUUCCAGGCACCGGCGACGUCUUAUUGGCACCCACAAUGAUAAGCCACCCGUUGGCAUAUGUCGCACCUACCACCCGACAUUUGGCGCCCACCGUGGGGCCAGGUGCACCGUCAUCCGGAGACCUGUUCUGGACGGGAACCCUCUUCCUCCCCCGCGAGCGCAGCCAGCCUGCUGCGCCCGAUGGCGUUUGCCUCGACGCGCUGCAAGGCGUCGACGACGCCUGCGCAGCGAGCUGCCUCGCCGAUCUGCUCGGCGAGACUCGCCUCUCCGACGAGCCUGCGUCCGACGCAGGCACGGACUACCCCGAGAGCCGCCUCGUCAGCCUCCUCGACCAGCUUCACGUCUCCAGCGAGCCUACUGCAGAUGUGGAGUCGGUCGGCUCCACCGACCCGAUGCUCGUCGACUCCGACACGGCAUCGCUCGACGCCUACCCCUCCGACGUGGUGGUCUUCGACGAUCCCCUCCCUCGAGCUGACAGCGGAAGCAGCACCGUCACCGAAGUGUUGGUCAUCAGCCACGUCGCCAACUCGGGCGAGAAUGCCCACGACGCCCUGCAAGCGGCGAUGCACGACCUCUCCGUCCCCAUCCCGGCCGACGCCGACGCCGAGACCCUGGAGGCACGCCGCCUCGCCCUCAUCGCGGAAGGCCAGAAGAUAGCCUCCAUGAGACGCCUCACCAAGGCCCACCAGCGCGAAGUCGACCGCGCCGCCUAGCGGCCCGAGCCGAGCCGGCUUCGUCCAGAAGCGCGGCGCGGCCGUCGCCGGCAUGCUGGGGGCAGAUCGCCCCGUAUACGCCACCCCGCUCGAGAAUCUGUGAGCCGCUCAGGUGGCCGCAGAAGAGCUCAAUGGGCUGGGAGCCGAUGAGCUCCCCUACAUGACAAGAGGGAUCCAGCAGCUGAUCGACGUGGCUGCAGAACGGCACGAAGCCGGGGCCCGUGCUAAUAGUCAUCCCCCGCGCCGGGAGCACGCCGCGACGUCCCGCUCGCCGACUGCGAGCGGUGCCCACCAGAAGAAAGACAAGGAGUCGGCUGCUAGCCGCAGCCGGACUCGCAUCACCAUCGAACACGACGCGGAAGGCCGCCCACGAGCGGUGGAGCACCAAGGAAAUCUGCCUCCUCCCCCGCCUCGAAGAGAGAGACGUCUCACCCCGCCGCCUAUCACGCACCCGACACUUGGCGACCGACUCGGCCGCCGAGAAGGAGUCGGCGAGAACGACGCCCGCCACCGGAUCGACCGCCUUGCUCGAUCCUUGGCGUUAGAAGAAGAAGACGAUGUCGGCCCGCCAUGUUUUGGCCCCCGCAUCCGCGACGAGCCCUUCCCCAUAGGGUUCUCGCUCCCCAGAGACACGCCCAAGUACAACGGCUCAGUGAAGCCGAAAGAUUGGCUCAUCGACUACUCCACGGCCGUCAGCAUAGCCAACGGCAAUCGGCGCGUCGCCGUGAAGUACGUCCCCCUCAUGCUGCAAGGCACGGCGCGCACAUGGCUCAACAGCCUCAAGCCCUACAACAUCAACAGUUGGCUGGACUUCACAGAAGUCUUCGUCCGCAACUUCACCAGCACCUACAAGCGGCCUCCCAAGCCUCGCCAGCUCUCCCUCCGCGUCCAAGGACCCAACGAGUCGACCCCCGACUACCUCACGCGGUGGGCCGAGCUCCGCAACUCCUGCGAGGGGGUGCACGAGGUUCAGGCCAUUGAGUACUUCACCGCCGGGUGCCGAGAGGGCACCCUCCUCAAGCACCGACUCCUCUGCGACGAGCCGGCUACCCUCGACGAGUUGCUGGUCAUCGCGGACAAGUACGCCACAGCCGACUCCUCGAUGAAGACCGAGCUUCGAGUAGACGCCUCGGGAAAGGUGAUUGCUCCGGCUCCCAAGACGCCGGCUGGCGACCAUAAUCGGCGCCCCUACCAGAACGAUCACAAGCGCAAGGCCCCCAUGCCGACUUCCACCAGUCGACAGGUGGCCACAGUUGAAGAUGAGCAGCCCGAAGAACGGCCCGCUCCCAAGAAGAAGGGUGGCAGGCCGGCUUGGCAGCCGACUUUCUCUUACGAGCAGGCUCUAGACGCCCCCUGCAAAUUCCACAGCGGUGCGAAGCCGUCUAACCACACGACCCGAAAAUGCCACUGGCUCACGCGAAUCACCAAGGGCGAGGGGAUGUUGCCGCCUCCGCCUCCCGGUCCGCCGCCUCCAGCCCCCCAGCAGUCGGCGGCUCGGCCGGCAAUCGGCGCCAUCCAAGACGAAUUCCCUGAAGAGCACGCCGCCUACGUCGUCUUCACCAGUCAAGCCGACGACAAGCGCAGUCGGCGCCAACAGCAUCAAGAAGUUAAUGCAGUCGCCUCUAGCGCCCCCGAGUUCAUGCACUGGUCAGAGAAGCCAAUCAGCUGGAGCCAGGCUAACCACCCAGAGGUGAUGCCCUCUCCUGGCUCCUAUGCAAUGGUCUUGGAUGUCACCCUCGCGACGGAGAGGCGAGCUGCCCGAUUCUCCCGCGUCCUGAUAGAUGGCGGAAGCAGUAUCAACAUACUGUACCGCGAUACCAUGGAGAAUCUGAACAUCAAAACGAAGCAGCUUAUGCCGAGCCGCACCAUCUUCCAUGGUAUCAUCCCCGGCAUGUCUUGCUCCCCAAUCGGCAAGAUCAAAAUGGAUGUUCUCUUCGGAGACAAAGAUCAUUUUCGCCAAGAAGCAAUCUGGUUCGAGGUAGUGGAUUUGGAGAGCCCCUAUCAUGCUCUGCUUGGCUGACCUGCCCUGGCCAAGUUCAUGGCUGUGCCCCACUACGCCUACCUGAAGAUGAAGAUGCCGAGCUCGAAGGGGAUCAUCACGGUAGCCGGCGAUUACAAGAAGUCCAUCGAGUGUGCCAUGGCCAGCAGCCGGCUGGCCGAGUCCCUCGUGGUGGCAGAGCAGAAGAAGAUGCUGGAGCGGGUUGUGGCCAUGGCCGGCAAGCAGCCGGCCCUGUCCCCCAACCCCAAAGAUUGUGAUGCGCAGGGCUCCUUCCAGCCUGCCAAAGAGACGAAGAAGAUACCUCUGGACCCGGAGAACCCGGAGAGGUUCGCUGUCAUUGGGGCGAACUUGGACAGUAAAUAGGAAGGCGAGCUCGUCGACUUCCUCCGUGAGAAUCGAGACAUUUUUGCAUGGUCCCCAAAGGACAUGCCGGGUGUCCCGAAGGAUUUCGCCGAGCACAAAUUACAUGUCCGCGCCGACGCGAAGCCGGUCAAGCAACCCCUCCGCCGACUGUCAGAAGAGAAGCGAAGAAUCGUGGGAGAAGAGAUAGCCCGGCUCCUUGCCGCUGGCUUUAUCAUGGAAGUGUUCUUUCCAGAAUGGCUUGCCAACCCAGUUCUGGUUCUGAAGAAGAAUAACAAGUGGCGUAUGUGCAUAGACUACACCAGCCUGAACAAGGCCUGCCCAAAGGAUCCGUUUGCUCUACCACGGAUUGACCAAGUGAUAGACUCCACAGCCGGAUGCGAGCUGUUGAGUUUUUUGGAUGCGUACUCAGGGUACCAUCAGAUCAAGUUGGAUCUAGCUGACCGCCUGAAGACUGCCUUCAUCACACCCUUUGGAGCUUUCUGCUACCUGACUAUGACAUUCGGCUUGAGGAAUGCCGGUGCCACUUUUCAGCGUUGCAUGCAGAAAUGCCUCUUGAAACAACUCGGAAGAAAUGCCCACGUCUAUGUAGACGACAUUGUGGUGAAGACAGAGAAGCGCGGCACCUUGCUGGAAGACCUGAAAGAAACAUUCGCCAACUUGCGCCGAUUCCAAAUCAAGCUCAACCCCGAGAAGUGCGUGUUCGGAGUACCAGCCGGCCAGCUGCUAGGCUUCCUGGUCUCCGAACGCAGCAUCGAGUGCAACCCCGUCAAGAUCAAGGCCAUCGAGAGGAUGGAGAUUCCCACCAAACUGCGAGAUGUGCAGAAGUUCACCGGCUGCUUGGCCUCCCUGAAUCGUUUUAUCAGCCGACUAGGAGAGAAGGCUCUUCCCCUGUACCGACUCAUGAAGAAGUCCACUCACUUCGAGUGGAACGACCAAGCCAACCAAGCCUUCCAUGAGUUGAAGAAAAUGCUGACCACUCCGCCUGUCCUGACAGCGCCGACUGAAAAGGAGCCCAUGCUCCUCUACAUCGCCGCGACUAGCCGAGUCGUCAGUACUAUUGUUGUGGUCCAACGCCCGGAAGAAGGCCGAGCCCAGCUAAUCCAGAGGCCGGUGUACUACCUAAGCGAAGUGCUAUCCAGCUCAAAGCAGAACUACCCGCACUACCAGAAGAUGUGCUAUGGGGUAUACUUCGCCGCCAAGAAACUGAAGCCCUACUUCCAAGAGCACCCCAUCACGGUCGUGUGCACCGCCCCGCUCGCCGAGAUCAUAGGCAGCCGGGAUGCAUCCGGCCGGGUGGCUAAAUGGGCCAUUGCACUGGCGCCCUACACGAUCUUCUACCAACCCCGCACCGCCAUCAAGUCCCAAGCAUUGGCCGACUUCCUCGUCGACUGGGCCGAGACCCAGUACCUACCGCCGGCUCCCGACUCUACCCAUUGGCGGAUGCACUUUGACGGGUCCAAGAUGCGCACCGGCUUGGGAGCCGGCAUCGUCCUCACCUCUCCCAAAGGUGACAAGCUCAAGUACACGCUGCAGAUCCACUUCGCCGCCUCCAACAACGUGGCCGAGUACGAGGCGCUCGUACAUGGGCUCCGGCUAGCCAAAGAGCUCGGCAUACGCCGGAUCCUGUGUUACGGCGACUCAGACUUGGUGGUCCAGCAGUCGUCUGGCGACUGGGACGCCAAGGACGCGAACAUGGCGAGCUAUCGAUUCCUCGUCCAGCAGAUCAGCGGAUACUUCGAAGGUUGCGAGUUCCUCCACGUGCCAAGGGCCGACAACGACCAAGCAGAUGCCCUAGCACGGAUCGGCUCCACCCGACAAGCCAUACCGACUGGCGUCUCCCUCCAGCGCCUCCUCAAGCCGUCCAUCAAGCCGUCUCCAGAGUCGGACUCUAUCUUCGUACCGCCUGCGCCAGAUGCAGCCGGAUCCGACUGGAGAAACCCCGCAGGCGGCACGGGGACUUCAACAACUGGCCCGGGGACUGCCGUAGUCGCACCCGGCCCGGGGACUGCAGUAGUCGGCCCGGGGACUGCAACGACACAAGAAGCGAUGGCCGACUCCAAUGCCGUGCAACCCAACCCACCCACCCGAGUCAUGGUGGCUACACUAACAGAAGAAGAAGUCACAGCUCCGUCAUGGGCCCAGCCCAUACUCAAGUUCCUGGUCAGCAGAGAGCUGUCGGCUGAUGAGAUCUCAGCAAGAUUAGUGCAACGAUGAGCCGCAGCAUAUGCAAUAAUCAACAGAGAGCUUGUGAAGAGCAACGUCACUGGAGUCUUCCAGCGUUGUGUCGAGCCAGAAAAAGGAGUGGCAAUCCUCAAGGAUAUCCACCAAGGCGAAUGCGGCCACCACGCAGCCUCAAGAUCACUCGUGGCCAAGGCUUUCCGCCAUGGUUUCUUCUGGCCGACUGCCUUGGAGGAUGCUAAAGAAAUAGUCAAGAGCUGCAAAGGAUGCCAAGUUUUUAGUUCCAAACAACACCUGUCGGCUUCUGCACUCAAGACCAUUCCCCUCACCUGGCCUUUUGCCGUCUGGGGACUGGACAUGGUGGGCCCUUUCAAGACAGCCCGCGGCGGCUUGACGCAUCUACUUGUCGCUGUGGACAAGUUCACAAAGUGGAUCGAAGCAAAGCCGAUUAAGAAGCUGAACGGGCCGACUGCCGUGACAUUCAUCACUGACAUCACUACUCGGUACGGCGUGUCGCACAGCAUCAUCACCGACAACGGCACGAACUUCGCCAAAGGAGCACUGGCACGUUUCUGCGCGACGCAGGGCAUCCGACUGGACCUAGCGUCCGUUGCCCACCCGCAGUCAAACGGCCAGGUCGAGCGAGCAAAUGGACUCAUCCUCUCCGGCAUCAAGCCCCGACUGGUUGUACCACUGGAGCGAUCGGCCGGCUGUUGGCUCGAUGAGCUGCCGGCUAUCCUCUGGAGUCUGCGCACUACACCCAACAAGUCAACCGGCUUUACUCCAUUUUUCCUCGUGUACGGUGCCGAGGCUGUCAUCCCAACAGACAUCGAGUUCGACUCGCCUCGGAUCACCAUGUACACGGAGGAGGAGGCCAAGGAAGCAAGAGAAGACGGCGUCGACCUACUGGAAGAAGGUCGGCUGUUAGCACUCAGCCGGUCCGCCAUCUACCAGCAAGGGCUGCGCCGCUACUACAAUCGCAAGGUCAAGCCAAGAUCCUUCCAAGAGGGCGACCUUGUGCUCCGGCUGAUCCAGCGAACAGACGGCCAGCACAAGCUCUCGGCCCCUUGGGAAGGCCCCUUCGUCAUCAGCAAGGCACUAGGCAACGACUCCUACUACCUGAUCGACGCGCAAAACCAAGAGCACGCAAGAGAGACGACUCCGGCAAGGAGUCGGAGCGACCAUGGAACGCAAACCUCCUGAGAAGAUUUUACAGUUGAAAGCAGUAUGUAUCAUGCUACCCUUUUGUAUUAAGUACAAACCAACAGGCCCCCCGAACAGUACUCGGGGACUGCCUUUGUUUAUCUAUGAAUGACAAGUGUCAUAUCCAUGAAUGUAUUAUUACAUUUGAUUUCUUGUCUGGCACCGGGUUCGACUAGUCGGCCCGGGGACUGGCCGCCUUGAGCUAUAUUAAAAGUUCUACCUGAAGUCAGAAAAGUAGUGUGCCGGCUCCCGAGUCCUCUCUUGUUGAAAGUCGCAGCUCGAAGAACCGACUGUCCGACUAGCAAGAGGCAAGGCAGAAAGGAUGCCCACACGAAAAAUGGCUAAGGAACAACGAACUUAUAUAGCAAAAAGAUGGCCUCCAAACACGCCUGCCGGCUGUCAGAACAGCCGGCUGGCCGGCUUCCUAAACACUUAGCUUUAGUCCAGCAAAGCUAGAGUACUUCCCCCCCCCCCGAAUUGGCCAAGCACUCCUCCAGCUACAGAUUGCAGAGCAACUGUCUGACUGGGGAGGCGGCAACCAAGGGAGGGCGGCAAAGGAAACAGCAGAAGGAUAAAAAGCAAAGUACGAGGAAAAGCCAAAUGCAUAUAUAAGUUAUAUAUACAUAUAAAGCCCCCAACAGGCCAGCAAUCAACAUGGUUCGAAUACACCCCCAGUGGGUGGAAUUGUGCAGACUUAACAGAGUAUUGUUCCGAAAGUAACAGGAUAGGAAAACAAAAGAUGGCAGACUAGACUAGGGCGUGGUGCGGAAGCUGAGCUGGUCGGUGGAGACGGCGUCGCCGGCUGAAGGAGUGGCCGCCUAGCGGGUCUCGGCUUGGUCACCACCAGUGGCAGGCGACGCACUCGCGCGCGACAUAGUACUGGAGGCGCGGUUAGGCUGAGGCUAGUCGGCUACUCCAUCAGCCGGCUCGGCGUCUUCACCCUCCUCCUCCUCCUCUUCGCCCUCGUCGCUGGAGUCGAUCUCCUCCGCCGAGUCUUCAUCGUCUGCCGGGUUCAGCCCGAACCACUCCUCCGGCUGGGCGACACCGUUGUCAUCUACCUCGGGGGCGAAGACGCUGGUGUCGGUGUAAUCGGCGAUCGCCGAAGCCCGCCGGAUGAUAGCCGGCCGCGCCGGCUCCAGCUCCGUGUCGGCUUGCUGCCGCCAGCUAGCCAGCUGAUCCAGGCUCAGGCCGGGAUACCAGGCCUUGACGAACUCCAGCGCCCGCAUGGCGCCAGACCGAGCCGCCGAGGCCUUCCAGGCUUCGAAGCGGCCGACUGCCACCUCCAGCCAGUCGGCAGUUCGACUAGGGGUGCGAGGAACUACUUGGCCGGGCCAGAGGGUGGCCAAUACUUGCGCCCCGGCACGCUGAAGCCGGCGGAGCAGUCGGUGAGCCGGCUGGAUGCGGGCCUGGAUCGCCAGGAGCUGCUCCUCCAGCGAACGGCCGGCGGUUGGCGAAAUCUCGAAGCCAGCCUGCCUUCGCGCUUGGCGGCGGGCCUCGAUGAUCUGGUUGGCGGCGGUAGAAUAGCCAGGGAAAUACUCUGUGUAAGAAAGAAGAAGAAAAGAAGAGAAGAGCACCAAGUCAGAAAUCGAGCCAAAAGCGGCAGACGGCAAGAAAGGAUGAAGAAGUAGGCGGCUUACCGUCAACCAGAUCUUCGAUCUGACCAUAGCCAGAGAUCAGAGUUUGCCUCGCUUCAGCCCAGCCAGCCGCCUCCGUCUCGUACUCGGCCUGGAGGGUGGCUUCGCGGUCCUGCACCGCCUUCAGAGCCGCCUUGUGGCCCUCCUCCUGGUCGGCCAACUUCUUGGCCAGGCGGUCGCGUUCCUGCACCAAGGCGGCGAGCUCGGCAUCCUUGGCACGGAGGGCAGUCUGAGACUCUCCUAGUUGUGCCCUCAAACUGGCGUUGGCCGCUGCAGAGACGGCAGAGAAAUAAAGAACAGUAAGAGGAAGUUGUCGAGGAAGAUCCGACCCGACUGCUCAGCAGUCGGCCCGAAUCUCGGGGACUACACCCAGUGGGUGCGCUGACGCGCCCCCACGUGAGAUAAAGAACAAGGCAUGUACCCCGGCUCUCAGUAAGGUCGGCGGUCUUCUGGGUCAGCUCCCGAGCCUGGGAGUUGAAGGCGGCUGCACGAAGAUUGUGGUAGUCCUGCAAGAUAGCCAGAAGAUCGAAGUAAGAACAAGAAUAGCAAAGCCAAAUCCACUAAGAAGUUCCAAGCCGCCUGCUCAGCAGCCGACUCAGAACUCGGGGACUACACCUAGUGGGUGCGCUGACGCGCCCCCACGGAAGAAAUCAAGAUCAAGAAGAAGCAAGAUGGGAAGACUAACCCGGAUGGCCGCCCGCGUCGCAAGGAACUCGUCGGUGAACUGCCUCAGCGCCGUAGCCUGGGCCUGGAGCCGGGUCCGGACGUCCUGCGCGGCCACGUUCAUCACGGCCGUCCCUCCGCCUGGCGUCCACCCCGAGGUAGCGCUGGCCACCUCCACGUCCUGGGCCGACGAGCUGGAGCCCACGGCCGGCUGCGGCUCCUACGCGGCCUUCUGUGGCUCUGACACAGCCUUCCCCGCGCGCCGGCUCGGCGGCAUCCGGACCGCCAUCUCAGUCCUCGCGGCCGGCUCGCCCCCCGCCGACUGCGCAGGCGGCAGAUCAGGCCAGCCGCCUUGAGCCGCCCCAGUUGGUGGGGUCGGCACCGGUGCCCUCUCCAGGACGACGACGUCGUCGUCCCUCCCCAGCCCUGGCUGGUCGCCGCCGGCUCCUUUUGGCGAGGCUCCAUGGCCCCAGGCGCUGCGACGCGCGGCGGGGUGACCAUCAAGGCCUCCUCCGCCGCCGCCGCAGCUGCAGCCUCCGCUUGGGCCUUGGCUGCAGCGUCGGCGAGCGCCUUCGCCGCCUCCUCCUCCUGCGCCGCCUGGGCGGCCGCCGCCUUCCGUGCCUCCGCCUCUCGCGCCUCCCGCUCCUCCCGCGCCUCCCACGCGUUCUGUUAUGUCGCUUCCUGAAGGUCGGCACGGGGGUCCACGCAACGAGUGGCGCUCCCAGACCCCCUCGGCGACUCGACGACGGAGGCGGCAGCCGCCCGCUCAAGCGACAACGGAGCUCUGGUUGUUUGGAGAAAAAGACAAGGGUUCAGGAACCACCAGAGAAAAGAAAGAAAAAAGAGUGCACAAAAGAAUUCGAACUUACGCCGACACAGUCUGUGGUUGCUUCACCGUCUUGCAUAAGCGAGCCGCCUUCGCGGCCGCCUCCUCCCGCCUGGUUGCCGCCGCCCCGCCCCUGGGUUUCUUCGUCCGACUACCGAACAAGCCCUGGGCGGCGCGACGCUUUUGCCCUCCGCCCUGAGCAGGCGGUGCAGCGGAGGAACCCACGCCACGUCCAGAUGCCGGCCGGCGAUGCAGGACGACUUCGGCCUCAUCGUCGUCCGGCCAGUCGUCGAAGGUGACUCCAUGCCCGGAGCCGCCUGCUUCGCCGCCGGCUUGGCCACCACCCGGCUCGGUGUUGUCGUCCAUAGCGGCCGCCCCCAAGUCGGGGUCCUCCAGGUCGUGCUGCGUACGGUCGGGGACGAAUCGGCGCUCCGCAUCCGACCCGCUGGCAAGCCGAAGGAAAGGACUCUGUCGAAGACAAGCCGACUAGUCAGAGUCGGCCAAAGGAACUCGGCGACAAAGUUAAGAGAAAAAGAAGAGACAAGGAGAGCAUACCGUGGGCGGUGGAUUGGCUCGGCUAUAUGGCUCCUUGCCGAACUGCCACUCUUCGGAGAGUUUGCAGUUCGCGAGGUAGUUCACCAUAUAGGCGACCUCCUCGUGCGGCAUGUCCUUGGUACACAUCCGGCUCGGAUCGAGCUGGCCGCUCAUCUGACAGAUCAGAUGAGGACGGCUCUGGAGCGGAAGUACCCGGUGCGUGACGAAGGCGGCCAGCAGGUCGGGCCCCGUCAAGCCCUCCGACUGGGUCAUCGUUCGCACUCGGGCGACGGCUGCGGACCCAGCCGGCGUCAGAGUCACGGCCCAGUAGGACCACUGGGGCCGCCUGCCCGCCGGUGGGCCGGCUACGUAAGCCGGCAGGUUGACGUAGUCGCCCUGCGGGGCGAUGCUUCUGACGUAGAAAUACGACUUUUGCCACUUCUUCACCGACUGGAUCAGCGGGAUGACGGGGAAGGGGUUGUCGGCGACCGCCCUCCGCGCCGCGAUGAAGGCGCCAGUCUGAGCCGGCACGCCCUGCAUGCGCGUGCCCAGCUUGGACUGGAAGAGCUCCCCCAGAGCUCGAGGGUAGGGAGGACGCCGAGGUAGCCUUCGCACAGGGUGACGAAGGCAGACAGCAGCACCACCGCGUUUGGGGUGAGGUGGUGCGGCUGGAGCUGGUAGAACUCGAGCCAGGAGCGGAAGAAGGCGCUCACGGGCAGGCCGAUGCCGCGCAAGAAAUGCGAGCGGAAGACCACCCGCUCGCCCUCCCGCGGCUCUGGCGUAAUCUCCUUCGCCGGCGCGAGACGGACCUCCACCUUGUCCGCGCUGGGCAGCCGCCGCAUCUUGCGGAGGAAUUCGAUGUGAUCUUCGUGGACGUUGGAGCCAUCCCAAUCCCCGCCAUAUUGCUCCGUGGCGGGAGGCAUGGUGAACACGAGCGCGGCGGCGGAGGAACGAGUGGUGGAAGAGCGCGGCGGCGAGGCGCAGUCGCAAGAAACGGCAAGAGAAAGAAGAUGGUGGAAGGAGGAGGAGCGUGCGAGAGCCUGCCGCCCUCCCUCUCCCCCUACUUAUAGCUUCGCGAGGUGAAGCCGGGGAGGCCGGACAUGGGGUGAGACGUGGGAUUAACUGCACCCACUCCCCCCACGCCUCGCGAUUAUUACGCCCUAAAGGCGUGCCGAAACUGCCGCAAGGAGACGUGCGGGCGGUUUCGGGCUGCAGAGAAUCCGCGCCUGGGCCCGGGCGUGGACGUGGCGGGCCCCCACCCUACGGCGACGUCCCGUCGCGCGCGUGGGCUGGCAGGCUUUCUGGCCGAGAGAGGCCACGUGGUUCACAGACGGCAAGUGGCCGGCCCGCGGCCCGGUGCACGUACUGGCAAGCUCCCGCCCUCCGACCCCGGAGUUUUCGACCAAGGCGGCGCGCCUAACCAAAGCCGGCUCCCAGCUGCCGACUUGUCAAGAUAGGAAGCUGACCGAGCUUCUCAACUCCUACCCAACCUCGAAGCCCAAUCAGCUUCGGGGACUACUGUCGGAGUAAAUGGCCACGGGUAGCCUAACCGACUGCCCCUGGCUCUUCCAAAAAAAUUAUCAGACCUUUGGGCCUUCAAGCACUCCAAGCACUGGACCGCCUCCCCUGGCCGGCUACCUCUGAAGCCGACUCAUGGAAGGCGGCCAGGCCUCAGCAACCUCCCCCCCAGGACAACCACGGGGUGGCCGACUCCAGGAAGCCGGCCUCGAAGAGCACCGACUCCAAGAGGCCGUCCAAGAGCGCAACCACCAAAGCUACGCCACAUAACGGCGACAAGACGGGGUGUGGCCACAGCGUGGCCCACUACCCCCGAAAUCCGAGGCAGGCAUGGCCACAGGACGCCGUACGGGACGGCCAUCUCCCGUCCGGCUCGGCACUGUAGCCAUGCCAGCCUCGACGUCACCCACGGACGACGCCAGUACGGCCCACGGGCGGCGGGUCCCUUCGGCCAGAGAGAGGCGCGGAGGCGGCUCGGCCUCCCCCAGUCAGCCAAGGGCGUAGCCGGCCCCCAGAAGUCGGCUACCCCCUCCCUCGAAGCAUGUGCCACAUUAAGGAGACAAGACGAGGUAAGGCUACAGUGAGGGCCCUCGAGGCGGCCCACUGUAGCCACGAUUACCUCAACGAAGCCCUCGUCAUCAGGGGCGAGGCUACAGUAAGCAGCCGCCGACAAGAUCCUAGGCGGUGGGGCCGGCCUGUCGACCAAGAGGUAGGCAGCCGGCGGGACCCACUAGUCGGCGGGCCCCAAUAGCCGGCGGAGAAGCCGGCGAGCGUAGACACUAACGGCUGGGACCAGAGCCCAACCGGAUUACAAUUGUACCCCCGAGGGGUAGGCCUAUAUAAACCCCCCGGGGCACCCAUGCAAAGGGUUGGCUUCUGAGCAUAGCACACACACCAUAGAGAGAGAGAAGCAAGAGCUAGCCUUGUUCUUCUUCUCCCUUGAACCCAACAGCUCUAGGAGCGAUUGUAGCUACCUUUUCCUGAUCUAGUGAUCAUGCGGAGACCCCGCAGAGUAGGACUAGGGGUGUUAUCUCCUCGGAGAGCCCCGAACCUGGGUAAGAUCCGCCGGCGUGCAUGUCUUCGCCUCAUCCCGUUUCCAGGCACCGGCGACGUCUUAUUGGCACCCACAAUGAUAAGCCACCCGUUGGCAUAUGUCGCACCUACCACCCGACAACGUCAAUCUUGAUUCUCGGCAGCGCCUUCCGAGUCUUCUGCACUACAACCUUGGACUGCUUUGGAGCUUUUUCAGUUGGUGCCGGAGAGGACGUCCGAGGACGCUUUGACGACUGCCCGGUCUGAACGGCCGCCUUGUCACGGGCGCUCGCCGGGUCGUGAGUAAGUUUGGAUCGCCUUUCCCUGCGGGGAGAAGAGUCGACCUCUUCUUCGUCACUCGGGUCGUCGCUCUCCUCGUCCCCCUCUCCGUCGGAAUGCCACUCGCCGCUUUCACCUCCGCUUGCCUCCCCCUCCGAAUCCUGCUCCUGCUCUCCGUUGGGCAUCGAAUACAUUUCAGUAAGGGCCUAGAAGAAAACAAGCAAGACAAAGUCAGUCGGUGAAGCAUAAACAGUUGCAUGUUAAAUCAAGAUGACACUCGGUAAUUCAGAAUCAGACCUUGUCUGGUUCGUAGGAUUGGUCAAGUGGAGGGAUUCUCCUGGCUCCUCUGGGGUUAUCCUUGUUGCCUGUGAUACUCCUCAACCACUUCUCCACCGUAUCCUCGUCGACUUCUUCUGGGUGCACCCGAGUGGAAUCUUCAAUGCCCGAAUACAUCCACUUCGGAUGGUCGCGGGCUUGAAGUGGCUGAAUACGUCAUCUAAGGAAGACUUCCAGCAGAUCCAUUCCAGUUACACCCUCACGGAUGAGAUAGACCACUCGCUCAACCAGCACUUUCACCUCCGCUUUCUCCCCUGAAGUCACUUUCAAGGCGGAGGGCUUCUCUAUGCGAGCCAUAGAAAAAGGAGGAAGUCCAGUCGACUGACCUGGAGUCGGCUGGUCUUUGUAGUAAAACUAGGUUGACUGCCACCCUCUUACUGACUCAGGAAGAAUUAUGGUUGGGAAAGAGCUCUUACCCCUCAUCUGAAUCCCAAGACCCCCACACAUCUGGAUCACUUAAGUCCUCUCGUCACUCGGGUUGGCCUUUUUGACCGACUGGGAGCGACACGUGAAAAUGUGCUUGAAGAAACCCCAGUGUGGUCAACAACCCAAGAAAUUUUCGCACAGAGACACGAAAGCAGCAAGAUAUAUGAUGGUGUUGGGGGAAAAGUGAUGAAGUUGUGCCCCAAAGAAAUUCAAGAAAGCCCGGAAAAAAGGAUGCGGAGGCAGAGAAAAUCCACGGUCGACGUGAGUGGCGAGGAGGACGCACUCACCCUCCCGCGGUCGAGGUUCAGUCUCAUCCUCCGGGAGCUGCGCCGAUCCGUGAGGAAUUAGCCCCUCCUCCGCCAGAUCGUCGAGGUCAUCCUGACUGAUCGUCGACCGGAUCCAGUCGCCCUGGAUCCAGCCGCGCGGCAAACCGGACCGCGACGAGGAUCCGCCCCGGCUGGACUUUUUCCCCUUCGCCUUCGCCGUCGCCUUCUUUGCGCGCUCCAGAGCCACCGUCUUUUCUUUCCCCAUCGCCACGGACAGAGCUCGAGCGGAGCGGCGGCGCUGGAGGAGGAGCAGGCGCAGUGGGGAAAACUGAGAAGAGAGAAGAAGAAUGAGGACGCACUGUUCAAAAACCCCGGUCCGGCGCCUUAUAUGGGGUUGCUUCCGAGUGACUGACCUGUAGGCCCGGGCAAUCUUAUCAAAUCCCGCAACAGUUGCGCGCGUGAUACGUGGCAAAAAAGGCGGUGCGGGAAUCGAGGCGGCCUUGCCUUAUCCAUCCCGAUUACUGCGGCCUCCCCCGCCCCGCGCGCUUCCCGAAAUUCGAAUCCCGCGAGAUCCGCGGGCAGCAGAACAACUUGUCAGAUGGAAGAUCUCCACCACAUUAGCACUCGGAUCUCUUCCAGCAAAAGUUCACUCGACAAAACCAGGAAUGGAUCAAGGCGACUGAAAAAGAAGUUGGUGUCACCACCUCGGUUCGUUGAUCCAAAACAAGACACACCCGAAGCGCGAAAAAUGAGUCGAAAGUAUUUUCAACUCCUUCUCCACUCAAACCCUGAUCCAUUCGGGGGCUAAUGAUGAGGACAUGUACCUAGGGUAGGGUCACAGGCCUGACCUAAAUACCUUCCCCAAGGACAUCACUCUAAAGCCAGAAGCAUUCGAGGGGUACCAUCACCCACUCGACCAGAAACAUUUCCACUCGGAGGAAUCAAGAUCACUCGACCGUAACAAGAAACACUCGACGGACAGAAGACCUAAAGUCACUCUACACAGCAACGGUCGAGCAUUAACUCCUAGACUUAAUAGCCAUUUAUAACACUUUAUUACGGACGUUACCAGUAACGCCCCCCUCUUGAUGUACCUUAAAUCCCUUGUAACGUGGGCUGGCCGGGGUGCUGGCGCACUCUAUAUAAGCCACCCCCCUCCACAUGCACAAGGGUUCUCACCCCCUGUAACACACACGCAUAUAAUCCAGUCGACCGCCUCCGGGCUCCAAGACGUAGGGCUGUUACUUCCUCCGAGAAGGGCCUGAACUCGUAAAACUUGUGCGUACAACUUCUCCAUAGCUAGGAUCUUGCCUCUACAUCCCUACCCCCCAUUCUACUGUCAGACUUAGAACCACGACAGGUGGUACGUCACCGUGUCAGCGAGAAGGACGAGCACGUCCGUCGCUACAUGGUUGCGUUGGAGGGCAGGUUCGACAAUACCUGGCAAGUUCUUCAGGGAUCUCACUGGAGCUAUGAUCCUAUGAUGGUUCCUUCCCUUUGGGUGUCCACCGCCCGCGCCGAUACCCGUCGGGCGCUACGGUUCUAGCUGUACUAGCGAUGCUAUAUAUAUGUAUGAUAGUAUUCGAGGUGUAUUAGUGAUAAUAUUCGACGAUGUACGGACGGAAGAGAUGAUGUAGUUUUGCUUAUAAUUGAAUGCAUGCUAAUUUGAAUACUACUUUAUCUUACGAUUUGGUUUUGCUUAUUGAAUGCUCAAAUUGGAAAACUACUCCUACUUUGAAUGCUAAAAUUGGAGAGCACUAUGCAAGGCGUAUGCAUAUGAUUAGUUGAUAGCUUUUAGGGUUUUUGUUGUCGCAGAAAUCUAGGAGCCCCCCUCCAUCAUCCCCGCCGUCAUCCCCAUCACCGACCCCCUCCGACCUCGAGGUGAGACCAGCCAAAUCCUUUUUUAGAAAGAUAAUUAAACGAUAUUUCGGGUUGACUUUAAGUUUGUCGAGUCUCCACCAUAUAUGAGAGGACGAAGAAUCCCGACUGUUGUCGUGGGGUAGCUUCUCCUUCGUUCCCGUGUGCUAGACAAUUUGGUGUAAUGCACUCGGGAACGAAAGGAGGAGCUACCAUCACCGACGAUCACAAAUGUCAGAGAGGAAUCAGUGAGGGAGAGUUCCACCAUAUAUAUAUGAGAGGACGAAGAAUCCCGACUGUUGUCGUGGGGAUCGCUUCUCCUUCGUUCCCGUGUGCUAGACAUUUUGGUGUAAUGCACUCGGGGACAAAUGGAGGAGCGACAUCACCAACGGUCGAAUGUAUACACCACGUGAGCUGAGAGUUUUCAAGAAAAGAUUCGACAAACCGAUAGUCAACCCGUGAUGAAUAAUAAUGAUCUAAUUUAGUUUUUGUAGUACAUAUAUUUAAUUGUACAAGUUUCAUCUUUGAAUUAUGAACGUAGGAAAUGUCGUCAUCGGACGACGAAAGUCUCCCGGGGGAGUGCGGCUGGUGCCACGAUGAACGAGGCUUGUGCGACAGGCCUCACCUGGACAAUGAUCGGCGCUUCAGCAUUAAGCCCGAGGAGACCUUCGAUGUUGAAACGGUACGCAACGGCGACAAGUGUAUUUUUCGUAAUUAAGCAUGACUUCAACUAUUUCAACGUGUAAUUUUCAUCUUUUACAAUUCGAGUAUAGCUUAUCCCAUGCCAUGCAAGACGCUAUGUCUUAGAGAGGAUGGAUUUUGAAGACCAUAAAAAUUUUGAAACGAAGAAAAUUCACCUAAGGACCCAUCAUGAUGUGGAUUUUGAAGUAAAUCUGUAUAAUGCUGAGAGCGUAACCCAUUUUGGUUGCAAAAUUUGGGAAGCAUUUUGCAAGAUGUAUGGUUUUGAUGAGGGUAUGCUUGUCACCAUGGAUCUUGGUGAUCCUGACAUCGACCAAGACAAUAUGGACAUUUGGGUCCUUGUUGAUACGCCUCCAAUUCUACCGCUAUGUGAGUUUCUCAAACAUAGUUAAUUAUUAACUAAUUUAUAUUGUUUAUUUCAAAAUAGUUGACAGCUUAUUUCCAUUGACAGCUUAUUUUGAUUGUUCAAACAAUAUGCGGAACAUGGUAGACAAAACCCACUACACCGAUGGCUCCGAGUUAACUUAUCAGGAGAAAAAUCAUCUGGUCGGAUUUUGUACUGAUCUUGAGAAUUAUAAUAUCUACAAUCAAACUCCUCAACAUUAUGGUCAAUACGUGCCACUAGUGCACGUGUUAAACUACGGUAACUACCAUGGAGAUACCCUGGUAAGAUUUUUUUACUAUUACGACAUCCGUGCAUCUUUUGCAUACUUCUAAAACUAGUACAUCAUUGUUAACUAUGAAGUUAUUACUAUGUUUUUCAACAGAGAAUCCCAAAGGAUUGUGUGCCUCAUUUGAUGUAUCAGAAUGGCAGCCUUCGUGUUUUGAACAUAUAUCCAGGUCAUCUUAAGAAUCUCAACUGUCCAUACCGGAUUUCUAAAAGAAGUGAAGACAUGCUAAUCAGAGAAUGGAAAAAAUGUAUGGACAGUCGUAAGGAGGUUCUUGGAAGCAAAAGGAAGCGCCGCGCAAGAAUUGGAGACGGGAUGAUCUCCAUUCUCCAUAAUGGAGAGUCAGGGUCUAUAUUGUUUUAUGCUAUUUUACCUUAAAUAGGGUAUUUAGGUCCUGCAUAAUACUGAUGAUCAUGUGCUAAGAACAAUUAAGUAGGGUUGGUUCGAUGACUAUCAGGAUGAUGAUCGUAUGACUUGUUAUUAAUAACGAGUAGAAGUUGUAUGAUGAUGAUUAGUAGGACUUGUUAUUAUGAUGAUGCAUGAUGGGAGCAUGAAGAGUUAUUAUAUAUCUGUGGGUGAAAUGAACGUGGAUUGGAUUGAAGUGAAGGCCACAUGCAUGUGGUGCAUGUCGAAAGUAGUACAAUCCAAACUUGAUCAAGUUAGGAUUAGUAUUACUUUCGACAUGCACCACAUUUUGCCUCACUUCAAUCUAAGUCAUGUUUAGGCAUAGCAGUAGCAGUAGCACGGAGAUAAGAGAGGACACAUCUCUCUAUUAGCUACCUAAAACAACCUAAAUUAACCCCCAAAACCCCUAAACCACCUCCUUUCAAAAAAACAGCCCCUGAAAUGCUGACGCGUGGAAGCUUAUUGGUCCCGGACCGGGACCAAAGGCCCUCCUGCCUGGGCUCGCCGGAGCGGCCACGUGGAGGCCCGUCUGUCCCGGUUGGUAUAAGAACCGGGACUAAAGGCCUAGGGCAUUAGUAACGACCCUUUAGUCCCGGUUCCCGAACCGGGACAGAUGGGCCUUAUGAACCGGGACAAAUGGCCCUUUUUCUACUAGUGCUCAAGGCUUGAUAAAUAUGGUGAGCGCAAUUCCAUUACGGUGAGGUUAAAUUUAGCCAUUAAUUGAUUUGAUAUUUGUUCCCGAAAAAGAUGUAUUUUGGAAGGCACACGAUGAAUGUGUCCUGACCUCUUAGGAAAACGGAAGGCAGAUACCAGUUGUCAAUUUUAUAUAAAUACAAGGUGGGUACUUUUUAAUUGAUUUAAAAAGAUAAAAAGGAAAGUCAAACUCUUUUGUUUCUCUGGAGAAGUCAAACGAGUGAGGCAUUUUGGAGCUCAGGCUCCAUGGAUCUUUUUUCUUUAACAUUCAAAAGGUGUAUUUCAGAGGCUCAAAAAAUAUACUUGUGUCAUAAGGAUGAUUUUUUGCGGGGUAAAGGGAGUUUUAUUGCAUUGUAAGAGUGUUAUAGUCAAGAGGCCACAAAUUCUCAAUACAAGAUGGAACCGAGUUUAACCACACGGCAUUAGUUCUCUCGAAGCGGCCAUAAUUGGCCAACCAAUCUGCAACUCUAUUAUGACUACGAUGAAUUUUCUGAGAAUAAAACUCCCUACUACUCAUUAACUAUUUUAUCUCUAGAACUAUAUAAAGUUUCACUAUGUACAAUAUCAUGUGAGCUACAUAAAGAGAUAAUUUCGUGUGUUUUUAAAUAAUGAACAAUGCAUGCACACUCACCUUUUUCAAAUCACGAAUUUAUCUUUUUGUUCACUACUCCCUCCGUUCCACGAUACAUGCCUUUCAUUUGUCAAAAUAUAGAUGUAUCUAGACAUGUCUUAGUAUAUAGGUACAUCCAUUUUUGGACAAAUGAAAGUCAAGUAUUUUGGAACGGAGGGAGUACUUUUUUGUGUAACUAUCAUCGUCCAACUUUACACAUAUGUAGUGCACAUCCACAUGAACAUGUGUGGUUAUUUCUUUUGAAACUUCAAAAUGUGAAUUUUGAUUAUUGUUCUUUUUAAGAUCCGUCUCCAUUUUCGAAGUCAGAUGCUAUUUAGCAUUUCAUAAAUGCAAACUGGAUUGUAAUUUUUGCAUCCUGCAAAUUUCAGCUUUGCUUUGCGAACGAUGAUGUAUGGGCUUGCAGCUCGUGAGGUAUGAGGGCCUUAAAACAAAAGCCCAAACAAACGUGGUAAGUUGAAGAAAACCCUAACUCAGGUUCAGGCCGCACGCGCAGACGAGCCGGCGGAGGCACAUACUCUGUUUCCGGGGAAUAGCGGCGACGUCGUCGGCGCCGGCGACGCAGCGAGCGGAGCGACGGCGACUCCGUGGCCAGGUUUGCCCCUCAGCUCGUCCAUCUCAACUCUGAAACUUUGGGAUGCCAACAUUUUCGAUCGAUCCAUCCGCAGAUUAGGCCAUGUCGUCCACGUUCGCCGGUGUAUCCGUCCUGGCCGGCGGCGAGCUGUGCCCUUCCACAGAGUCGUCCGUCGUCACCAGCACGGACUGGGGGUACCACCUGCUUGUGGUCCAAGACUACUCGCGUACCAAGCAAGCCACUCCCACCGGCGAGUGGAUCAGCUCUCGUCCUUUCAUGGUAGGAGGCCAUGAAUGGAGCAUCGACUACUAUCCUAACGGCUACACGAAGAGUUGUGCCGACUUCAUUUCUCUAUUUGUUAACCUUCUCGACGAGGAUGCCGAAGAGCCUGUGAAGGCGAAGUUCAAUGUCAGUUUCAUCGACGAGGCGGAGAAGCACAAGCCAAUGUACAUUUCGGAAACUGAAACAUUCGACUUCCGCUCUGAGUCCAUGCUGGGCUACAACAUGUUCAUGGAAAAAGAUGUCCUUGAACAAUCAUCGCAUCUAAUGAAUGAUUGUUUUACCAUCCGGUGUGACAUCAUGGUAUUCAGCUCCAAGGAUGCCGGUGGCGAUAAGGUGCCCCUGCCUGAAAUAGACCAACAUUUAAACAAUCUCCUUCAAACUAAGGUGGGUGCUGAUGUGACAUUCGAGGUCAGCGGCGAGAUGUUCGCUGCGCACCGAUGUGUGCUUGCAGCCCGGUCUAAAGUCUUCAUGGCACAGCUCUUUGGCCCCAUGAAGGAGGGCACUACUACAUCCUGUGUCAUACAGAUCAAAGACAUGGAAGCAAAAGUGUUCAGGGCUCUGCUUAGCUUCAUCUACACAGACUCACUCCCUAAGAUGGAGGAGGACGAAACAGAUGCUGUGGAAGAAGGAGAAGAAGAGGAAGGAACAGAGGAUGAAAUGUCAGAAGUUGCGGAACAAGGACAAAGAGCGAAACCACCAGAGACUGUGCAAUGGCUGCAAGGCUUGCUUGUAGCCGCAGACAGAUAUGAUCUCCAACGGCUCAGGUUUAUCUGCGAAAGGCAGUUGUCCUUGCGCAUAGGUGUGAGCUCGGUGGCGUCUACUCUUGCUCUAGCUGAGCAGCACCACUGCCGCCCAUUGAAGGCGGCAUGCUUGAAGUUUAUCCAAGCCCAAUCUCCGUCGUGUUUGCAGAUAGUAAUGGCGACCGAUGGCUGGGAGCACUUAAUUACGACCUAUCCCUUUGUUUUGAACGAGCUCUUUGCCAUGGUUGCUUUGAACCAGAAGUAACACUUCAUAUGGUAUGCAUGUUCCUUGGAUCGGUAAUGACACUUGUGCAUAUAUGGGAUUCUCUAGAGAUCGUAGUAUGUCUGUCUUGCUUUUGCCUCGUCAUUUAAUUUGCCUAUCUGCUGAAUCGGACAAAUCCAACAUAUGGGCAAAUUGUCUCCUCAUGGUCUGUAAAAUGGGGAGAACUCCCAGUGCAGAUCGUUGUCUAUAUAUUGAUGUCAGUUUGCAAGAAAGCAGAGAUAUGAAUCAUCACUCUACCUAUUUGUAAAUUAUCAGCAAAGAAAAUAUGUGAAAGUGUCUGUGGCCUAUUUUAACUUGAGGAAACUAUGUGCUUUUUGACCGCUCGUAACUUGUUGCUAUUGGCGCGGCGGGUUUCAGCAGAAAUGUAUGUGGGGUUGGAAUUCAUGUUACAAAUUGGUGUGCAAGGUAGGCCAACCAUUAGUGCAUAUUGGUUUCUGCAUGCACCUGGCAAUCAGGCAACAUGUUGCCUGCUUAUCUUUUGUUUAUCAGAGCUACUACUACAUGAAAAUUCACGCAACAAAGAUAUAUAGUUUAGCGCAUCGGUCGACCUGUAGAACAGUAGAAAGAAAUCUUAUAUGCAGGUAUGGCAUACCCUGACUUGCUAGACAUCUACAGCAGAAGGCACCAAUAUAACUCUGUUUUCAACCAUCAGAAACAAAAUAUAUGGCAAUCAGAAAAUUACUUCUUGUAUCGACUUAGCCAUGUGUCUCUCACAAGAGACAACCUGCCAUUUUACGCAAAAAUAAAAAGUAAAAAAUUAAGAGACAGCCUGCCAUGCCAUAGUAUCUUGGGAGUUCGGUUCUCGUCUUCAGUGCCGUUGGAGGCAGGACCACACAGGCCUCGAAUAAGAUUAUCUAAAAUGUUAACAUCUUAUACUAUGCACUACGAAGGUGGUAUCAUACACUACGAGUAGCCUAACUGUACUGCGUGCUAUUAGCUGGAUGCAGGCCACAAAAUCAUUUGUUUCCCGACGGAAGGGCAUGCAACAUGCAUUUCUGUUUGUACAUAUACUUCUAAGGGAUUAGUCAAGGGUAUUUUUGUCUCAAGUUCUGCUCGAUUGCGUGUGUUGCCGAGAAAAUAUACCUUACAAAAAGGACGAAGGGAGUAGAAAGAAAAUUACGUCACGGUUUUUCCCGUCGGGAUUUUGAAUCUAACUCUGAUAUAAUUAUCAGUGGUUUUAAAAUGAAAUCAAAUUCAUUCAUCAAGGCCCCAUAAAUGUGACGAUCGCAAUUUCAUUAUAGUGAGACUAAAUUUAGCCAUUAAUUGAUUUGAUAUGUGUUCCCGAGAAAUGAAGGUAUCUAGAUCUCUUUGGAAAACGGAAGGCAGAGAUCAUUUGUCGAUCUCAAUAAAUACAACGUGGAUACUUUUUAAUUGAUUUACAAAGAUAAAACAAAGGCCAGUCAAUUUUUUUGUUUCUUUGGGGCAAGUCAAACGAGCGAGGCAUUUUGGAGCACAGGCUCCAUGGAUCUCCUUUUUUGGGAAAUUCAAAAAGUGUAUUUCUGGUCCUAAAAAAAUGGAAAUAUCAUCAUAUUCAUAUGGAUGUGUUUAUAAGUGUAUAAAUUUUUCACGAUGAGAUUCAUUGACAUGUGAGCUACACAAAAGAGACAAAUUCGUGGGUUCUUAAUAUUGAACAAUGUGUGCACGUUCACCUUUUCAAAUCACAAGUUUAUAUUUGUGUUCAUUAUUAAAAAGUAAAAAAUCACGAAUUUGUCCCUUUUGUGUAGCUCUUACGUUAAUGUAUAUCAUCGUCAAACUUUACACAUAUGUAGUAUACAUCCAUGUGAACAUGUGUGAUUUUCUGCAAAACUUAUUGAAACUUCAAAAUGUGAAUUUUGAAAAGAAAAAAAAAAGAGCUGCAUCUGCAUUUUUGAAGUGAAAUGCUAUAUAGCAUUCUAUAAAUGAAAACCGGAUUGUAUUAUUUUUCUGAAAUGAACUGGAUUAUAUUUUUGCAUCUGCAGAUUUCUGCCCGAUUCAUUUCAGGCUUUGGUUUGCCCAAAAAAAAUUAGAUUCUUGGUUUGCCCAAAUCAGUGUAACGAAUGAUGUAUGGGCUUGCAGCUCGUGGGCUGUGAGGGACUUCAAACAGAAGCCCAAUCAACGUGGUAAGUUAUAGAAAACCCUAACUCCUUGCCUCAAAAAAAGAAAAAGAAAAAGGCAGGCUCAGGCCGCACGCACAGACGAGCCGGCGGCGCAUACUCUGUUUCCAGGUUGAAGCGACGGCGUCGGCGCGGGCGGCGCAACGAGCUGAGCGACGGCGACUCCGUGAGCAGGUUUGCCAUGUCAAUCCACUCGCAGAUUCGCCAAUGUCAACUCUGAACUUUGGGACAUCAACAUUUGGAUCCAUCCACUCGCAGAUUCUCCAUGUCGUCGACGUUCGCCGGUGUAUCCAUCCUGGCCGGCGGCGAGCUGUGCCCUUCCACCGAGUCGCCCGUCGUCACCAGCACGAACUGCGGGUACCACCUGCUUGUGGUCCAGGACUACUCGCGGACCAAGCGAGCGACACCCACCGGCACGAGCAUCUGCUCUCGCCCUUUCAUGGUGGGACGCCAUGAGUGGUGCAUCGAGUACUAUCCUAACGGUCAGAAGAAGAGCUGUGCCGACUUCAUUUCUCUAUAUGUUAACCUUCUCAACGACGACGACGAUGCCAAAGAGCGUGUGAAAGCGAAGUUCGAGUUCAGUUUCAUCGACGAGGCGGAGAAGCACAAGCCGAUGUACAUUUCUGGAACCGAGACACUCAGCUUCCGCGGCGAGUGUCUGCGGGGCUACGGCAAGUUCAUGAGAAAAGAUGUCCUUGAACAAUCGGCGAAUCUGAUGGAUGAUUGUUUCACCGUCCGGUGUGACAUCAUGGUCUGCGACACCGAGGAUGCCGGUAGCAGCAAGGUGCUCCUGACUGAAAUAGACCAACAUUUAAACAAUCUCCUUCAGACUAAGGUGGGUGCUGAUGUGACAUUCGAGGUCAGCGGCGAGAUGUUCGCUGCACACCGAUUUGUGCUUGCAGCCCGAUCAAAAGUCUUCAUGGCACAAUUCUUUGGCCCCAUGAAGGAGGGCACUGCUGCAUCAGGUGCCAUCCAGAUCAAAGACAUGGAAGCAAAAGUGUUCAGGGCUUUGCUUAGCUUCAUCUACACGGACUCACUCCCUCUAUUGGAGGAGGACGACAUGGAGGAGGACGAAGGAGAGGCCAUGGAAGAAGGACAAGAAGAGGAAGCAGCAGAGGAUGAAAUGGCAGAAGUUGCGGAACAAGGACAAGGAGAGGAUGCAGCAGAGGAUGCAACGGAGCUGCAAUGGCUACAAGACUUGCUUGUAGCAGCAGACAGAUAUGAUCUCCAGCGCCUCAAGUUUAUCUGUGAAAAGCGAUUGUCUGAGCGCAUAGGUGUGACCUCGGUGGCCUCCACUCUUGCUCUAGCUGAGCAGCGCCACUGCCGCGGAUUGAAGGAGGCGUGCUUGAAGUUUAUCCAAGUCCAAUCGCCCUUGUGUUUGCAAAAAGUAAUGGCGACUGAUGGCUGGGAGCCGUUAAUUACGACCUAUCCCUCUGUUUUGAACGAGCUCAUUGCCAAACUUGCUUCAAACCAGAAGUAACACUCUGUGCUGUACGCAUGUUCCUUGGACCUGUAGUGACUCUUGUCAGUCUUAUGCAUAUAUGGAAUUCUCUAGAGAUAUUGUAGUCUGUAUGUCUUGCUUUUGUCUCGUCGUGUAAUCUGCCUAUAUGCUGAAUCAGACAAACCUGGCAUAUGGGCAUACUGUCUCCUCAUGGAAUGGUGGUCUGUAAAUUCAGGAGCAAUGAAGCAAUGUUCAUCUGCAUUGCAGCAAUGUGCAAGUUCCUUAGGCCUGUGGCGACUCUCUUAUCAGAAGCGUCGAUGUUUAUCUGUGUUGCAGCAACGUGCGAGUUCGCCAGCUAGUCGUUGUAUCCUCGUAUAUUUCUCUGUGCAUUAGUUGUGUCUUAUAUUGUUUGCUGUCUACCUUCCCUGUCAUGUUAAAAAUCAUUUUUCCAGUGGUUAUCAAAAACAUGUAAAUCUUGAUCCAGUACGCACCUUAUCCUGGGUGCUCUGCUGUUCUCCUUGGCUGGUGCCGCCCAUGGGAGAGGAAGGUCGGAGCUCCAGAAGUCCAAUGCUGUAGGUGUGCCCCUGUUUUGAAGCGCCGUUGAAUGCAAUGCAGACAGGGGCCCUACUUGGGAGCUAUGCUCGUGUUAACCUAGAUAGGUGUGCAAUCAAUUGAUAUCUUAGCUGCUUCGAUCCUGUUACAAUUCCUUGCUGGGUAUUAGAAUCGAAACAUUUGGCGGUGAACACGUUAUUGUCUAUAUGUUCAUGUCAGUUUGCAUGAAAGCAGAGGAUAUGAAUCAUCAGUCUGCCUGUUGGUAAAUUUUCAUCAUCAAAGUAAAUAUGAACACGUGUGGCGUAAACCGUAUGCUCUAACUUGAGGAAACUUAGGUGCUUUUCGACGCUUGUAACUUGGCGUGAUUGGCACAAUGGCUUUGAGCAGAUGUGCAUGUGGGGUUGAAUUGUUGGCCUAUGAUUCAUUUUGCAAAUUAGUGUGCAGGAUAGGUCAACCUUUAGUACAUACUGGUUUCUGCAUUCACCUCCCAAUCAGGCAACAUGUUACCUGUUUAUCGCACAGCCACGGUUACAUGAAAAAUGUAGUGCUGCCAGCAAUGUUAUGUUCAGUUGUGUAGGUUUAAUAUCACAAGCAACACGGAUAUAUAGAGUUCCGCAACUCCGUCGAUAUAAUUCGGUUACCAACCACAACUAACAAAAACAUGACAUAUGGCUGUGACUUCGAUCAGAAAAAUAUGUGCCCGUAUCAACUUAGUCAAGCGUCCAUCACAGGACACGCCCUGCCAUGCCAGAUGACAUACUUUCAGCUACCUACACUGCAUUCCCCGAGAUUCAAGCGGCAUGCGCAGCGAGAUAGGCAAGGCGCCUCUCUUCAAAGGAGUACUCGGUGCUCUCUAGCAAACACAGCUCCGGCUUGUCAUUGGAGACGCAGACAGGUGCAGCUCUUGCGGCAGUCAGAGCAGGCGUUGUGGUCAUUUGCAUAGGAGAGGUCACCGUCAUCGGCGUCCUAGGACUUGGUGCUGCGAGUAUCUUGGGAGUUCGGUUCUCGCCUUCGGUACCAUUGGAGGCAGACCGCACGGGCGUCGAUUGGAUGCUAUUUCCGGGUGUGAUCUGCGUGAAGGGUUUACGAGGGGUUUCAGUCUCACCAAGAGUACUUGCCUUGAAUGAUAACUUCUUGAUCGGAGGACUGGCAGUGCCUUUGCCUCUACUACCUGAAAGCGUUUUUUUUGUUUUCAUCAGAGAUAGUCUGUUAAUUUGAAAGUAAAGAAACUGAACAACUGCAUCAGCUAUGGUUAAGUGAACUUGCCAGGGGACAGAGUGCCACUAUCUUCUGUCUUCUUGGCUGAACGGACGGAUCUUGACUGAGGUGUCAAUGAUUUUGGAGUUCGCACUGGUCCUCCGCCGACAGACAGCCUCCGGUUUGUACCAGCCAAGGGGUUUCUGGUAAGCUUCUUCCCGCUGUUCGACCUUGAUGAAGGGCUCGGCUUUGAUCCGUACAGCAUCUCCUGCUCAGCUUUGAAUUGAUCCUCAAGCUUCUUCUGAUCCUGCAAUCGCUCACCCAUCAGAUACCAUCCGCAGAUGAAGACAGAUACAAGUGCAGAAAAAGUUAAGCAAAAUAUGAAUACCCUUUGUCUCUUCUUUUCCUGCUCCUUUUCUUCACGAACUAUCCUAUAAUCAUCAAGCAUCGACAAAAGACUAACCUGAAAAGGUUGAAUGGCAUGAACUUUUGACAGUAUAGAAACAGAAAUUGUGUUUACACACAAGAACAGCAGUGAAAUUAUGGAUACAUACACCAUCGUAAGUAAACUCAGUGCCCCUUUCUUUCUCCCAAGCUAGAACUUUGUUUGUAAGAACGUCCACAAUUCCUGCUUCAUGCAACAAUAAACAGAUCAGCAGCAGUAUUUUAAAAAUAACAAGCAGAAAAUCGUACGUAGUAGAGGUGUUUCACCUGGUAUCUUGUUAACCAAAACACGGGCUUUUUCAGCUCUCUUGAGCAUAAUAUGUGCACCCCUCCCAGCAUUAUAUCGGUUAUCAUCCUAACAUAACAUGUAGAUAGUGAAAUUAGUAGUAGUUGAUAUAGACCUGGAUCAAGUAAUCAAACACAACCAUACUUUGCUGUAAUCCUCUAACCAAGCUUCCUCCUCACAUGCAUUUAGCCACCUUUCAACUCGCUCAAGUAUAUCCUUCCUGCUAAAAGCAUCUUCUUUAACUGUUGCGAUGUAUGCCUCGAUUUGUUCUAGAAGAAGUGAGGGAUCAAUAGCACCUGCAAUGAAAUAAAAAAAAGCAAAUUACGUUGGUUGUUACAACAUUAAUAAAUUAUAUCAACAAACACAUCUGUUUGUAUCUGAAUGCUGCAGCAAAGAAAUUUACAGGAAAAAUAUCCUUAUUCCGCCCGAUGCGCCAAAGCAUGUUAGAAAACUAGAAACGUACCUGCUUCAAUGGCCUCGAUAUUGAACUGAGUUGCAUAAUGUUCAUCUCCAACCAAAUGCGCCCGUCGACGAUGCUCUUCUAGUUCUGUUUGCUUCUUAAGAACUAAGUCCUUCAUUUUACUGACUUUCAGUUGCUCAAGCCUCAAUACCUCAGCUUCUACCUGCAUCAACGAAUAUCAUCUCCACUAAGUUAACCAAGAAAAACAAUUAAAGCAAGUUCUGCAAACAACACAUUGACUCACAAAGUUCAUGACAUCAAUGGAAAGGGCAUUGGCCUCUGUUAUUUCAGGUUCUGAUGCAGCAAUAUUGCAUGUUAUAUUCUGGAAUGACUGUUGCUCUUCUAUCGGCGUAUCCAUAAGAUUCCAUAGUUCGAGCAUUGUAGACGAGAGAUCUUGAAGCUGUCAGAGCUAACAGAGUUAAGGGCCAAAAGCAGUCAUAUGAUGAUUUUCUAGAUUAGAACCGUAAGAUGCUAACCUUCUGCAUCCUUUCAAUUUUUGUUUCCCGUAGUCUCUGUAUUGCCAACGCCAACCUCUCAAUUGUGGUGUUGCUUAUGUUCAUUGGUACGCCAUCCUCAUCGAGACUGGGGUGUACAUCAGAUAUUGUUUGUUUGAAGUCAACGGCAAGUACUUUACAUAAGGAAUGCAAAGUAUUCAGGUAAUCCAUUACUUGCUUUAGCCGCUCACUCUGCAAGAUAUUCAGAAAAUGACAGAGCUAGCAUAUGUGAGAAACAGAAAAUGUAAUCAGUGGGUACAAAGGGGAAAAGGCAUGAAUAUGAACCUUCUCUUUCUCUAGGGACUGCAGCUCCAUUCUUAACUCUUCUAGCCUUCUGCAGGAUAGAUCAGAUUGAUCCACAGGUGCUUUAAAAGGGACAAAAUCUGCAGGUCUGAUCUCAGAUGAUAUCUUCUUUAUCUUGCCUAUAACAUCAAGAAUCUGAUUCCAUCUUUCGGCCUUUCUCUUCUUCAUCUCUUCCAAAUAUGGGACGAUUGCACUUAGUUCCUCCCGUAAGCCGCAUCCUUUCUGUUAAGAAUGAAGAAAAGAUAUGAUGGAAAAUACUCAUUAUUGGUGGAGUCCCAAUAGGAAGCGCCAAGCCUUUAAAAUUAGUUCCAUUAACAAUAUAUGUGUGGAGCGAACGCGCAACAUCAUUAUUCUGAAGCUGUGUUUUACAGUUAAAUUGGUCGGUUAAUAAACACAGCUGCCUCGUUAGGAUGGAAUCAAAAUGGUAUGACUGCAACCAAAUUUACACGAGCCUUAGUUUUCCUCUGCCUGGAUUGGUUGGAAUCACUACCAUUCUGAACACUUCAGCCAACUGAUUGUUGACAAUUAGGCAUACUUGCAAACACCUAUGGGAGAACUGGUGCAUUUAUUUAUUUGAUAGGGGGUUCAUAUUUUAAUAUCCUGCUUUCUCAUCAGAUGAAUGAAGUGACAGAAGUAACAAAAACAGAUGGCUGUCCUGUCCUCGCAGGAAUUUCUAACGUAGCUGACCUGCCGUGGCACAGAGUUAAGUUCCUAACACAAUUAGGAUCGACUGGAUAACAGAAUUGUAGGGACCCGAAAUUCAUUUACACAGUGUACACUGCACACAAUUAGCAUAGUAGUUUUGUACCAACCUGCCUGACGAGGACGGGCGGCUCGGCCAUGGCGGAGCAGACGGCGGCGAGCUCGGCCUGGGCGUCGGCGAUGGCCUGGCGCAGCUGGGCCCGGCAGCGGCUGGCCUGGUCCACCUUCCUCCGGUAGGCGUCGAGGCACUCCUGCUGGAGCUGGAGCAGCAUCGUGUCCCUCGCGGCGCCCUGCUCCCCGAUCUCGUCCCAGAUGACCUGCGCGCACACACACACGCAACCAGCCAACACAACCACGAGCGAUCAUCAGACCCGCCGCGAAUCACACCGUCGCCGCACGUAAUCGAAGGGGCAGCGGGCGCGCGCACCUGGAGCUCGCGCAUGAGGGCGCCGCACGCCGUCUCCAUCUGGAGGAGCUGGUCGCCGCCGCUCAUCCCGGUCCCGGCGACGGCGCCGCGGCCUGCGAGGGGAGCGAAUCGAGGGGGAUCAGUUAGGGCCUGGCGCGGCUUAAUUUCCGCCCCCGUGAUUACGAGCUCACUCACCAGUGUGCGGCGUCUCGGCGUGCGGGCGGGGCGGAGGAGCGGUCGACGGGGGCGGGCGGAGGUGUCGCCGGAGAGGGCGGCGCGAUUGGGGUACGGCGGAGGAGAGGUUUGAUUUGAAAUGGGUUGGAAUGGGGAGGGAGGCGAUUGCGGGGCACACGGGGUUGGCGUUUGUGUUUUCGGGAUUUCCGGGGAGGAAGAAGGAACUGCGCUGGUCCCCACUCGUUUCGAAUUCGCGUCAGGAUCCGUCCUGGGCCUUCCGUUUUUCUUUCGUUGGGAAGGCAACGUCUGGGUUGGGCUCGCCUCCUCAUUCUGUGCAUUCUCAUUCUUUCUCAAAAGAAAAAAAGGAAAUGUGCAUUUUAAAACUGAACUCAAAAACCAUGCCAAAAACAAAUCGAACCGGUUUUUUUAUAUGGUCUUCAUGGUAUACGACAUCGUUUUGAAUUUCGGUUUCUUAUAUAUACCAAAAAACCAGAAGAUGAAUUGAAUUAACCGAAGUAUUUAUAUUUCUUGAGAGAACACCAUACAAAGCAGUCGAUUGCAUGAGCUUGUCGAGCUUGCAUUGUCCAAUAUUCACAUGCCGAAGCACACUCUUAUAUACACCUCGCAUCAACCACAUGGCAUCUCUAUUAUUAAAGGGGAAUGUGUAUGUCGUCGUCGUUCGUACGCAACUAUCAAUGCGAAAACAUUUUAAAAAUCAAGCGUCGGAUUAGUUUGGAAAUCAAGCCAUUAAUGAAUUAAUUAGCAAGACAAUUAAUUACAUGUGCAAUUAAUUAGUCCAAUUAAAUAGAGAUUUUCCGUGUGGAAUCAAUUAUCGAGUCAUUAAUACAAUUAUUUAAUUACUAGGCAGCCAGUUAAUAAGGCCUUCCAGAUAAUUAGAAAUAGGGAUUUAACUCUAUUUUCCAGAAUAGUCUAAACUGCUCAUAAUCUACCACCUCGCAUGCCACAACUCUUUAAAUAUUGUUUCAUCCCUAGCAACUUUUUGCAUGCCACCACAACAUUGUUUCAUCCCAUAGAAAAGCUACUAAAAGAUUAAAAGGAGUUGCUGCCUGCUCACUCAGGCCCAUGGUACAAGUUAAUGGGCAGACCAAAGGCCCAAUAAAGCUUGUAACUUGUUGUGUUUUUUUUUGCAAGAGUCAGAUUCGUUAAGCACGUCCAUUUUAUUUUAAUUUCUUUGUAACAAUGUCUUGGUAAGGAUGGAUAACUCUAGGGUGGUUGAUGCUAUACGCUUAAAUGAGGGACAUUUUAUGGUGGCGGCUCCUGUUCUUAACGACUAUAGAGAAUUUUUAUGAGAGUUCAGGAAGGUUAUUAUUGAGCAUUGUAAUAGAAAAAUCAAAUGUAGUUGCUCAUGAGCUAGUUGAGUAGGGGCAUACAAACACCCCUUCUGUAUGGGUGGAUGCACCUCCGGUUUCUAUUCCUAAAAAAGUAGCAGAUGAUGUAAGCAUUAUUUGAAUGUAAUAAAACUAUUCCCUCCGUUCCUAAAUAUAAGUCUUUGUAGAGAUUCCACCAUGGACUACAUACGGAUGUAUAUAGAUGCAUUUUAAGUGUAGAUUCACCCAUUUUGUUCCGUAUGUGGUCUAUAGUGGAAUCUCGUCAAAGACUUAUAUUUAGGAACGGAGGGAGUAGCUGUAAAGGCCUUUCCGUAGAAAGCAACAUGUCCAUUUUUUUUAGUUUUUGGUAAAGUAGUCAUGUUUCUCUACAGAAAACAUGCUAAGCACGCGGAAAUUGCUAGUGGAAGUUGAGCUCCACGGAGACCUUCAAAUAUAAAAUUAAAAAUUUGUGAAAAUCCAUAUUUUUACAUUUCAAAAAACUGAAAGAAAUAGAGAUAGAUAAAGGCAUAGUGCAUGUGUAAAUUUUCAAGACGAAAUACGUUGAAAUGAGGGUUGUGCAAAAAAGGACAUCUGAGGCUUUUUAACAAGUCGCAUUUCAACGUAUUUCAUCCUGAAACUUUACACACAUACACCUCACAUCUUUAUUUAUUUGUACAAUUUUUUCAGAUAUUUUUGAAACCAAAAAUUCGAAUUGCGGUUUUUUCUAAAAAUCAGCCCCAUGGAGGCCAAGAGCCAAAACGCCAUUCUCCUAAGAGCAUCUCCAAUAGAUGGUCCAAUUUUUUCAGAUAUUUUUGAAACCAAAAAUUUCGAAUUGCGGUUUUUUCUAAAAAUCAGCCCCAUGGAGGCCAAGAGCCAAAACGCCAUUCUCCUAAGAGCAUCUCCAAUAGAUGGUCCAAAAUUUGACGGUCCAAAAUCGGAGAUGUAAAAUUUGGACCGCCAAAAAGUGCGUUUCGGAGCUCCGAAAAACGCUCAACUCCAACAGAUGGUCCAAAAGAGCAACUCCAAUAGAUGGUCCAAACCAAAGAUGUAAAAAUCUGAUAGUGGUCGUGCGGCUGCUGCCAGCCACUGUUCAGCCGCGAUUGCAUUGAAAUAGCAACAAAAAUUUGAAAAUAAAGUGCAUCAUCAUCAUAGUUUCAAUCAAAAGUGCAUCACCAUCAUAGUAUCAACUCCCUCUACCAAAAGAGCAUCGUCUCAAUCAAAGUUUUUCGCCCUAGAAAUUGAAAUGCACAUGAAUAUUACUCAUGCGGGUCACCAACACCACCGGCGUUGUGAACCGUGGUACGAUCAUCAUCUUCACCACCGUCUUUGUCGACGUUCUCAACAAGCGGUGAACUCUCGUUGCCGUGAGCACCACCGGAAGCAUCUUCAUUGCGUCCCAUGUUGCCGCCAUAGCCACCUCCAGCGCCACUCAUGUUGCCGCCAUAGCCACCUCCCAAGCCACCCAUCAUGUUGCCACCAAAAGCACCUCCCAUGCCGCCAAAGCCACCUUCCAUGUUGCCACCGAAGCCACCUCCCAUGUUUCCGCCAAAUGCACCAUUCAUGGAACCUCCAAUCAUGUUCAUGUAACCACCCAUGGCACCUCCCAUGCCUCCUCCCAUCAUCAUUUGCCUCAUGAGCAUUUGCUCCUUCAUGAGCAUUUCAUCGCGACAAAGUUCAACAUAUGCCUUUGCCUUGACAUCAAGAGUUGAUGUGUCCAUAAACAUAAACUUGAGUGUCCUCUCCUCAACCAUCUUCCUCUCGUCGGCCGCGGCCUUCUUCUCCUCUAGGUCUACCUUCCUCUCCUCGGCCGCGGCCAACCUCUCCUCGGCUGCCGCCCUCUUCUCCUCGGUCGCCGCCCUUCGCCGCACGGCCUCACUCCUCUCCUCUAUUUCCUUGAGCUUCAAGAUUCUUUUCUCUUCGGCAUACUCUUUCCUCGCCAUGACAAUGGCAUCAAAUCCUUCCUUGAGAUCAUUGUCUCCGGCCUUGGUUCCGUUCGCUUUCUUGUUUCCAUUGGGCCUAUAAGAUUUUGUCGCGGAGUGAGGAGUGGGGCUCAUCUCCUCAAUGGAGACAUCUUCUUCAUCCUCAAGCAACGCAUUCUUCUUCUUCUUCGAUGAUUCAAAAGUCUCUUUAGUUUUUCACUUCUCCACAUCCUUGAGUUCUUUGUAGCAAUGAUGAAAAGUGAAAGCUUUUCCUUUCCUUUUCUUCUUCUCGCCUUUCAUGUUCCUCUCUCAAAACAAUCCUUGUGCAAUCAUUUUCUACAAUGAAACAAGCAACACAUCAUCAUCAACAUGUGGAACAAAGAGGAAAUAUUUGACAAAGCACGGACGAAGAGGAAAUAUUUACCAGAUCACUAUCACCGCAACCACUUGGGUUCAUGCGAGCAACGUUUGACAAGCAACCGGCCCACUUUUGGCAUUCGGCGUUGAUGGUGGACCAACGUUGGCGUAGAGAGUCGCUCGAACGGAAGUGACCACUUGUGUUGCGCUCAUCGAAAUACUCCUUGAUGCGUUGCCAAUAGGUGUUCACCGUUUGGUCGCUUCCAACGCUUGCAUCUUGAGAGAUUUUCUUCCAAGCGGUGCAUAUCAACACAUCCUUCGCGGUGGUAUAAUUUCCACUUCUUCCCUUGACAACAAAGCCCUCAUCGUCCACAUCAAGAUUGUCAUCGUCAUAUUGGGUUUCAUAUUCUUGUGACGCAUACAUGUAAUCAUCAUUUGCCACAUUUGUUGCGUGCAUGAAAGCUUCAUCAUCAACACUACAAUUGGACGCACAAACAAUCAAGAACACAUACAAUUUGAAACAACAAACGAAAGCACAACCGAAAAUUUUUAUACCUUUGCGACAUUUCGUCGAACAUGUUGGAGGCGGUGGCCAUCGGCGUGGCCACAUCUUCCUCCACAGCCGGCGGUGGCGGCGGGGGAGGUUGAGGAAUGGAUGUGUGGCUGCUGGAGGAGGCCGCCGGCCGCACCGUCUGCGAGUCGUCACCCCGAGCCGCCGCGACCGCCUUAGAGACCUUCGUCUGUAGCGUAGAACUGUCGGUCGGGUUGCGGUUGCGGUUGGCCGGCCGUUUUACGCUGCCUCCUCGUCCCUUCGCCGGCUUCGCCACCGGCUGGGGCGGCGCCAAUCCGGGCCGGCAGGCGGGGGGCGGCGGCAUGGCAGCGGUUGCGGGCGAGAUGGCAGCGGCGGCAGCGGCUGCGGCGGCGGCGGGGUUGUCGCCAUCGGCCAUGGCGGCGCCGGACGGCGGGGGCGGCAAUGGCCGGGAGGCUCGCGGGCGGGCGGGAAAGGAAAUGAAGUGGCGGUUGGGCGUUCGCGAGCGGCGGCUGGUUUUGGACUAGAUGCACCUCGUGAUGUAAAUUUGCACCGCGAGGUGUUGUAUUUUACAUCAUGAGGCCGCCGUCCAAUUUUUUUUACAUAUAGACCGUCUAUUGUAGCAGCGUUUUUUGCCCCAGACGGUUCAAAAGUUAGGUAUUUUUACAUUUGAACCGUCUAUUGAAGAUGCUCUAAGCACGCCCAUAGACUACAAAGCAAAGUAAAGCAUGCAUAUGCAGAGCACUUCCGUUCAGCAAAGCAUUCAUUCAAGAUCAACAUUCCCAAGACUCUACAUAACUAAAACAUACAAAGAAGCCACAGUACUUAAACAAGGGUCGAAAACAGAUGCGAUGUUUGACUUUGCUUGCAAUGAUAUUUCUAUGUUAUCAUAACAAGAAACCCAUCCUUUUCACCAGAAGAAAAAACACAGGACACCCCAUAGUGGCACACACGAUGCGAUGUUUGACAUUGCUUGCGUUGACUUGAAUUUAUUUUUCUAUGUUUCUCAGAGAAACCAAACAAGACACGACAUAGAAAACGAGGCCAUUUUUUAAACCUGAACAAGAAACAGCUUCGCCAACAACAAUAAACUAAACCAAUUCAUGAUCUGUCGGAUCUGCAUUACAAAGGGCACAAGUGUUUUCCAAGCCAAGAGUAGUGUUGCUGUUGUGCAGACUAAACCAAUGUCACUGCAGUUGCUUAUUACGGGUAAAUUGGAGUAAAAACGAACAAAAACAAGGAUCCCUCAGCAGGAGCUGGCACACUCCUGCUCGUGAGCAAGUCUCGGGCGAACAGCUGAAACCCAAAAAAUUUAACUUGUACAGAGCGGUGGUAACACCUCGUCAUCAGGCAUUCUCGCUGGCGAUCUUCUCUGCCUUGGCGAUGACUUCGUCGAUGCCUCCAACCAUGUAGAACGCGUGCUCCGAGAUGUCGUCGUACUUGCCGUCCAAAACACCCUGCACGAUUCACCAGGCACGUUAGCAAAGCGCACACAGUAUAAACGAG